rnacentral:lncRNA from 1 species
GGAAAUAGCCUCCGUAUAAAUAUUGCCCAAAGUUCACAGCUGCAUGCUGACCAGAUGCUACCCAAGCGAUAGUUGUGACUAUUUCAAUUAAAUCCUGAGGAGUUUUCAGGACAGGCCACCAUGGUUCAUCCUUUUUGUCGGCGUGUCCCAGAGUUCGAAUUUCAGUCCACCACGCUUGGAGCUCUUCAUCAGACUCUACAAGACUUGGAUCGGUAUAGUAGUGAUUCACAUACUCAGUAACCCAUUGUUUUAAGGCAUCCCAGAGAUCGAGUCCAUCGUUGGCAAAUGGGUAGUCUUCGAUUGUUAGCUUUAGGCCGUGUGGAGCGUUUGGAUCUUCAACAGCCAUUCCCCUAGGAUUGCAAAAUGAAAAAGAAAUUAUUCUUAACAGAGGCAUGGUUUUGUAUGUCAAAAACAAUCACAUUUACUCUUCUUUAGUAAAGUUAGAACAUUAAAUUUCUAACAUCAAAGAUGUAAUGGGUUUAAAAAACAUUAGAGACCUGGGUGACAAUGGCCAAAAAAAAAAAUGCUGAGGACCCAAGUGUCAUCCUCUCUUUGCAUUCACGAAGAGUUACAUGCAAAUACUUGGACAAAAUUUUUUCUUGUUGAUGCUCUUCUAUAGACUCCCCCCAGGUGGUUCUUUGGUUCCUUAUUUCAAUUUAACCGCUUUCUAGAAGUUUCCUAUUCCCGAAGAUUACUCAGAAAACUUGUAUUUAGUUUCUAUUUUUAAUGCAUUAGCUCGUAAAUGGGGGAACCUUGCGAUCUAAUUACCUGCUAAUAAGGUCUUUGGGUAGUGCUUCAUGGUCAAACCUCCACUGCUUGUCAUAGAUUACAGAGCUGAACUCCAUAGAGUAUUUUCCAGGAAAGAAUGUGGUUUCAACGAGUCCACCAGCAUUAACAAGAAUAAGUCGAGCUUUAGCGUUGAUCUCCAUUGUGUAACGGAAAUGAGGUUUUAACAGUCUAUUGAUUGGAUGCAUUGCACUGAGUUUCCGGUUGGCUGCAAUUAUGUAAGGUUCAACGCAACAAUGAGUUCUUAACCUGCGAAGACAAUAAUCAAAUAAAAUAAUAACUUUUAAUUUAUCAUUCAAUAUACUUGCUAAAAUUAAUUUUAUCCUACUCUUACAUAAUUAAGUUAUAUAAUAUUUGUACUAUUUUCAUCAAAAUUAUUAUUUAAAAGUUAUAUUUAUCGCCUAUUAUCAAUUUUAAAAGUUAAAUAAUAUACCAAUGGCUAAUGAGCUGGUGAUAGCCGGUAUCGUGAACAAGGAAAUGAGCCUUUGCUAGCGUCCAAAGCCAGGAGUCAGUAGAAUGCCUACUGGGUGUGAACACUUGUUUCCAUUGUGGCUUGCCGUCCAAUGGAGGCCGAGUUAGCUCGAUGGCUAGUGGUCUCAAUGUGCCAUCGGGGUUCAAGAAGAAGAGUGCGCGAGAUCCGUACAGCGUGGAGCCUUCGAUCUGUCUCAGUUUCCCCACAUACGGUAAUAACGCAUCAUGGUAAUCUAUGAUGAACAACUUUUUUUGUUUUAUAGCCUGCAUAAUAGAAAAUUUUAAGCGUUUCUAUCCAUAAUUUUAUUAAAUAUAUAGAAAUUAUGAAUUUUUCUCACAAAUUAGGAACAUAUACCUCGUUAACAGUCAUCAAGCCUCCAAUUUCUUGCUCAAUCAAUUCUGUGGUAAUUGCUGAUUCCGGUGGGCCGUAAAUUUCAGGAUCAAGCGUGCUUUUUAGUGGCAAUUCCUGUACGAAUUUAGGCAAAUUGUUAUGUACAUAAUACUUUUGUAACAGUCAGGAUUUUGGUUCAUAGGGCCAUAAAGGAGAAACAUUGAAGUUUUGGAGGUAAUACAGUAAAUAAUUUAACCAUUAGGGGUUAUACGUAAAUUAUUUUUGUUGAAUAUUUUGACCUGGUGCAACAACAACUCAUUCAACGUAGAGAGACCAAUCAAUUGAACGAGAUCCCUUACGUUUACAAUUUCGUUGUUUUUGCUUUUUUUUUUUUGUUUUCUAUUUUGUUUCACUAUAUUAUAUUAGUCAUACCGAGAGCAAUUUAAUGCUGUAUGGGUUGAGACCAGCUAGAGUCUCUCUACCAAAUUCUUCGUUCCUUAUCCAAAAGAAUUUAUCUCCUGCAAUACACGCAAGCAGAAUAAAACACAUAUGAAUACACAUUCAAAUUUAUUUUUGAUUCAUCUAGUUGUAUUUUUCCCCCUCUAUUAACGCUUUAACAACAGUGAUGUGUGUGUAUAAUGAUUAAUUGUAAAAAUAAAAGGACCCAAUUGAUAAAAGUGAGAAACAUUAAGUAUGUCAGUAUCAUUUAAUAGAUUUUAUAGCUUACUAAAAAAUAAAAUUAAAAGUGAUAAAAGGGCCUUAAAACUGACACAAUGAUGACAAAAAUAAUGUUAGACCAUAUAGAAUUAUAAUAUUAACUAUAUGAGUUAACAAACGUUAUUUUUAUUGUCAUUGUGUCAGAUUUUUCGAUUUAAAUAUUAAUACUUAUUAAAAUUGCAUGAAGAGGUUUAAUUCUUACUAUCCGCUGUUUCUGGCGUGUCGAACCGAAAAACCUCUUUGCCUGUAUUAGAAACAGUCUUAAACAAUAUGGGAAGAAUUUUUUUCCAUAAAGGUUGAUCUUUGAGUUCCGGAGGCAGCUCAAUUCCUUCGUUGAAGACUUUGUCAAUAUCCGAGAGUGAUGAAAAUCCUAGAUCCUUAUCGAUAAGGAUGGCUUCUAAGAAUGGCACCAAUGCAUGCAACCCUGAGUAUAGUGACGAAGCUGAAAACUGCCCUAAUUUUAUAUCUGCGAAUGCUUCAUCUCUGGGCACAUAGAUACUGACGCUCCUUGACUCUGAGGCUGGAUCUACAAUAAUAAAACAAAGCUGUUUGUUUCAUUCUAUGUCAAAUAUAUAUGUAUAUACACACACAAUUGUAAACAAACGAAAAGGGACCACAUAAUAAGAAUAAAAAUUGUAUAUUUGAAGGACCAAAAAAUAGGAUAUAUAUUUGUUAAGUUGUGUCCCAUAUUAAUUAGUAAAAGAGGAGUUAAUUGAGUUUAUAAGUAUGAUAGAUUCCUCCAUCCAAUAGGCUAGUCUUUUGGUAUGAAUCGAAAUCCUAAGCCCAUUACUUAUUAGUCGGGACUGAUGAUUUUACCGGCAAAACUUUUUGGACGUCCAGUUCUGCAACGCCUUGGAUAAGGGUGCUCUUCGCCACCAAGCACUGGUCGUGCCAACUCUUUGAUUUCAGGUAAUGCAAGAUCAUUGUACACAUCAUAAUCGUAUAUUCUUUCGUGUCUUUUACGCUCUCCUUGUCCAUCGCCUUGCAAAUUGUUAAGCUCUUCGGCUCUUAACCUCUUUAAUCCGUUCGGUGUUUGUGAGGGCAAGUAUGACUAAUUCAAAAAUGAAGGGGAAAAAAAUCAAUUAAGAAUUAAGAUGAAUGUGACUAUAUACGAUAUUAUAAAAAAAAAAUUACUAGAAGAAACUUGACAGUACCAGGGAAUCUUGUAAAAUUUGGUCUACACAACAUAUAUUUGAUAAAAAUAAUCUUCGAUAUAAUUUUAUUAUUUCGGCUGUCAACUUCAAGUUUCUUAGGUCAUGUGGUAACUCAUCGCGGAAUCAAAACAAAUUUAAACAUAAAGUCCGGUGUUUAGAUUCUGGAAAUAAACUACAGCAAAUUCUAAUUUACAGGUAUGGGACGAAAUGGAAUAUCAUAAUAUGAAAGGAGUUAUUUUUGGUUUUAACUUUUUACUUUUAUAAGUUACAUUUGCAAGGCAAUCAUAAGGUCUCACAUUACUAUUAAUUUUCUCUCCCUAGCCUGACUCACAUUACUAUUAAUUUUCUCUCCCUAGCCUGACUUUUUUUGUGCAUAUACAUAAUUCAUGAAAAAAGGAAACUAAAAGGAAAAAGAAAAGAAAAUUGGCGGCAGAGAAGAAUAUAAGUUUUACAAUUAUAUAAGCCAGAAAAUUAAAAUCUGAAACUGACCUUAUUAGUAAAGAAAAUUCUCUUUUGUUUGUCAACUAUUUUUGGCUGAAUCCAUGAAUCACAAGUUAAAUUCACAGGACCAUUUGGGAGACCAUCAAGAACAAUAUCCUGCAAAUACAUUUCUGUGAGUUGAUCAGAUUCCACUAAUAUGGCACCGACAUCUCCAAAACUUGCUGGAAUUUUUAAUUCUGCUUUAUAUUUUAUGUUUCCAUCGUCAUCCUUGCCCAAUACUCCAAGUGCAAGACCUUUGAUGGUGGGUUUCUCUUCUCCCGUUUCUGCAAAAAUACGCAACAAUUGUAACUCAAACACCCACAUAUAAGUUUUCAGAAAAAUAAAUGAUUAAUUAAUUUGUUAGAGGACUAAUAAUUUCUUUUUUGAAAAAAAAAAAAUCUGUAUAGGAUUCUGUUAUAUCCUUGAGUUGGAAUUGGAAAACUCAUCUAAUGUUACUUUUAUUUCUUUAUCUGCGAAAUAUUUUGAGUAUAUUGUGCUAACAUCUAAACCUUAUCGUUCUGAACUUAAAAGAAAAGGUGAAUAGUGUAAAGCUAGCCACAAUUCAACCUCCAUACGUCAAAAAACGGAAAAGUAAAUUGGGCAAGCUGAGUUGAACGUACAAAAGUUCAUGAGCACUCACACCGAAAAACUAGCUUAUUCAUGAACCGCACUAAAAUCAUACAAUAAAACUUUCGACCGGACAGCUGUCAGCAAUCAAACGGGAAGGAGACAAAGCAAAGGUUGCAAUUCAGACUACAAUUGAUAAAAAAAGUCAAACCUUUAACAAUAAAUCAUAAAAAUCAAAUAUUAAAAUAGCGUUCUGACGUAUUUUCAAAAAAAUCAAGGGUAUAGUUUGAUAUCACGAAAAAGAUAAAAAUUUAAAAUCAAUGAGAGUAAUUGAGUUCCCCCCCCCCCCCCCCUCUUUGGAGUGGAAAAAGUCCGAUGUAUUGAUCGGAUUUCUCAGUACUUACUUGGAUCGAGCUCGGCGCUAACAAGCUCCAAGCCAAGUGCACCAACUAAACUGGAAAGUGCUAAAGGAUCAGGGAUAAUUGGUUUCACAGUGAUAACAGCCUUAACUUUGGUAGACUUUUCAGUCAAAUUAAAUAUAGCUUUGAUACUGUUAUUACUAGGAGAAAAGCCGACUCCGAUUUUGGAUGCUUUUUUGAAUGAAGGAUUCAACUGAGCUGGACGAAAAGCCUGACCAUUUCCACGGAGAAAUGGCUUGGGUAAUGGACUUAGGGUUCUGAUAGAUUGAGACUGAUGAUGAACUUGUGGAUUCAACAUUCUUUCACAAGUAAGAGACCUUUGGCUUGGUGACUGAGACUUGAGAGAUCAAUCCACUCUUUAUAUAGAAAGUUGGAGAAAGAGCAGGCAAAGAGAAAGUUAUGGCACAUGAAAAAUGAAGAGAACUGUGACUACACUUGACAAUGUUAACUAUUUCAUUAUUUUAAGUGAGGAAAAAAUUAAUUGGUUGUUUAGUUCAUAUAUUUUAAUUUAAAUAUAUAUUUAUUCCCUGUAUAUUGAAAAAUAUUAGAAGAUAUUCUUUCUAUAUUAAAUAUGUUAUACUCUUAUCCUUAAUUUUUUUUUUUACUUUUACAAUAAUAUCCGUGAAACAAUAUUUUUUACAUUAAUUGUUUAAUCUAUAAAAAGAUUAAUUAAUCAAUUAAUCAAUAAUUAUUUAUUAGUGAAUUAAGAAAUAAUACUAUUAUGAAACAAUUAUUUUUUAUGUCAUUGCAACAAUCUUGCUAGUUAUUAUUUACAAAUAAAUUAAUAUCAGCCAAUUUAGAGCAAUGUAUAAUAUACGACAAUCUUAUUAAUAUUUUUUGAAAAAAAAUUAAUUUACCAAAUUAAUAAAAAAAAACAAUAACAAGUAAUUUUUAUUAUACUUUCAAGGCUAAUUUGAUAAAUUUACAUUUUUUUCUUUUCAUUAAUAUAUUCAAGAAUAUUGUUGUAAGGGUAUUAUAGUAAAAAUAUAGAGAAAACAAGGGUAUGAUUGAAAUAUAAUUAUCAAUAAGAAUAUUUUUAGGCAUUUUUAAAAAUAUAAAGAAUAAAUGAAUAUUUAACUCAAAACAUAGAUACUAUGCAAGUGUUCACCCUUUUAAUUUGGCUUGGUGAUUGAGACUUUAAGUGAUCAAUCCAUUCUUUAUAAUCUAUGUACAAAAUUGGAGAAAGAUGCAAAGAGCAAGUUAUGGCACAUGAAAAAUGAAGAGAACUGUGACUACAUAUGGUGGUGUUAAGCAUUUCAUUAUUUUAGUACGGCAAAAUUUAAAUGUGUGUGGAUUUUGUCGUUUGUGGUGUGUGUGUCUCUCUUUCUCUCUCUCUAUAUAUAUUUCAAAAUAAUUUUUAUAUUUAAAAAUAUUUUUAUAUUUUUAAUCUAUUAGACCUAUUUUAUUAUAUUAAAGUAAUUUUUGAUAAUAGAUAGAAACAUAAUAUUAAAACAAAUAAAUUAAAAUUAAAAUUAUUUUGAAUACUAUGUAAAAGUUAAUUUUAAUGUUAUUAAUAGGGAGAUUUUUUUAAAUUGUAAAAUCUAUUUAACCCAAAGACUUAUUUAAGAUCUUUAUAAUAUUACAAAUAUAUUAUUAAAAUAAAUAUAAUAAUUUAAAUUUUUAAUAUUAUUUUAAAUAUAAAAAUAAUUUAAUAUUAUUAGUCUAGAUUAUAUUAUUUAUAUAAAUUUGUGUUGAUUAAAAACCUUUAAAGUCAAUUUUUUAAUUACUAUAGUCAAAAGGUAUUAUGGACAAAAAGAAGUAUUGAUGUUCCCUUUUUUAAAUUUGGGAGUUUUUGUGACUAUUUUUCUAAAUUUUGUGGGUGUAGGUGUCAAUUUACCUAAUUUAUAUACCAAAUUGGAGAAUAAGGCAAAGAGCAAUUUAUGGCACAUGAAAAAUGAAGAGAACUGUGACUACACUUAGUGCCUUAGUGGUGUCAAGCAUUUCAUUAUUUUAGUAAGGCAAAAUUAAAAUGUGAUUGGAUUUUGUCGUUUGUGGUGCUAAUUUUUUUUUUAAUGUUACGUGUAUAUACUUCUAUUAAUAUUAUAAUUAAAAAUCUACCGGCACUAGUAUUGAAAAGCACAACAACAAAGAGCACAGUUCAAAAGUCUUUUAAAAUUCACUUUUAUUCAUUUAUGAACACAAAUAUUUAAUUUGUAUAAGUGUUUUGAAAUGUAGAAAAAAAAAUCAUACAAUGAAAUAAUUUAGGAGUAAUUGAUUGAUUAACUAAGAUUGAGUUAAUUAGUUUUUAUAUUAAUUAACAAUUAAUCUUUUUUAAUCAAUAAUUAAUUUUUUUUUAAAAAAAGCAAUCAAUCAUUUGAUUAAUUACUUUGUUUCUAUAUGUCAUUAUUGUUUGAUAUAACCUAAAAAAGGGCACAAGAAGCACAUUGAACUCUAUGUGAAUUUCAUUUCCUUGAUGGUUAAUCUGACCUAAAGAUUUGAGGACUCUUAACCAUACACCAAUAAUGGGCCUAGUCAUACUCAAUCAAUUUGACUUUAUUUUCUAAACAUCAUCUAAUAAAUAUAAUAUACAUUUUAGUGAUUACUUAGAACGGACAAAAAUAAAAUAUUAUUUCAAAAGUAUAAUACUGGCGGCUUUAACUUGCUUUUUUCCUUAAUGUAAAAUAUUAUUUUAAAAGUAUAAUACUGUCGGUUUUAACUUGCUUUUUUCCUUAAUGGCUUGGCAGCCAUGAUAAGGUUGAAUAAAAAAAUUGGCCAGAUUUUUGUCCCUUUUUUAUUUCUUUUCAUUAUGUUUGUAAAUUUGGCCACAAACUUAACAAGUGAUUCGUUCUGAUAACUCGUGAUACUCCGCGACAAAGUUUCUUUGUCGUACAUCACUUCAUUUAUAAUCACGAGUUUUAUAUUUCGUGAGCCUUUUUUUUUCUUUUUUCUUUUUCCUAAAGUGACGUAGUAAUUUCAUUAAACAGCCAACAAUACAACACCACAUUUACCCAACAGCAGAUUAGGACCGAUUUAAAAUACUAACACAAUAGCCCAAUCAGUCAUGCUGUUACUCUCACGCUAAAAUAAUUUAAGAAUAAUGAUCCUUCAGUAAAGAUAGAGUCAAUUAGUAUUUUUUUUAAUUGAUAAUCAGGAUAAAAACAAACAGUCAUUUAUCUUAUCAUUUUAUUAUUUUAUUUCCAUCAUUAUUAUUCUCCCUCGAGAUGACGAGGGAAACUUUGUGAACUCCUAAAUCACCUUAAAAUGCCAUGCAACAAAGAAAGAAGCAUUCCUUUGAAACUUAUCUAGAAAAUCUUCAGGUUGUUUCUGUGAACACAUUUUUUGAGAAAGCAAGAAGCAUUCCUUUGAAAUUUGUCCAGGAAAUCAUGAAACUCUUUCUAUGUACACAAAUUUUAUUUUUAUCUUUUAACAACAAAAAGUAAAUUCAUCCUCUAAUUGAUCUUCUUAAACAAAUUUUCAUUUUCCAUGUUUUAUUUAAUUUUUCUUUUGAUGUUGUCAGUGAUUUCUUUCAUGUAGAAAGUCGAAGAAAACUUAAAAUUUGAGGAUUUUUUUAAUAGUUUGCUUGCUUAAAAGUUGGUUCCAGAGUUGAUAAUGGUUGUCUUAAGUUUAUGUUGUUAGCCUAAUAAUCAAUCUCAUGGCUUCUAAAUACCCUCAAUUCCUGAACUAAUUUUUUAUUAUGAGUUAGCCUCAUGGACCUAACUUAUACUUAAAAAGUCAGCAAAAGAUUCAGGGAUUGCUAAUAUUAUUAGUCCAAUAAUUGAUCUUAGUUGGUAUUGAAUAUUUUCCCUACUGAAAAGAAGAGGAAGAAGUAAACUUGGGGGUUGACUGGCUGUGAUGAGAAUUCAAGAGGAGCUUGAAAAGGGGAGGGCAAAAAAGUAAAAAUCGAAUGGAUAAUAAUUACUAGUAAGGCAUUAGAUUUUGGACUUCAUCGUUUUUUUAAUACCUUAAUAAUUGGUUUUUAUGUACUUGAUUGUGACCAAUUCGUUUUAUAUACCUCAUUUUCAUUUUUAAUGAUAAAUUAUUUAUAACUAAAUUUUGAUAAAUUAGCAUUCAAUCCCAAACUUAGGUUUAACAUGCUAAAUUAAUAAUUUGAUAAGUUUAUACGAUAAUAUAUUAUUAAAAAAACUAUUGUUUUGAUAUAGGAUCUCAACACUACGUAAAUUAAUAUUACAUACACAUGUGAACUGGAGUAUUUUUCAGAUUUUUGAAGUCUAAAAAUAGACAAUAAAACAAAAUGUGAACACUUAUAGUCAAAGAGUAUUGAAGCACAGUCGAAGAUAAUCAUUUCAUUUAUUCAAAUUGACUAUAUUGACAUAGAAAUGAUUAAAUUAUGUAUUAUUGAUGGUUGGAAUGAUAAAUGUGUCUAGUUUUUUUAUAAACUUUAAAUAAUUAAAUUUAAACUUCUCUUAUUUAAGAUAUUUGAGAUUUAGUCAACAAAAGUUAUAUUUGUAAGGAAUCUACACAAUGCCAAAAAUUUUGAGUUAACAGCUAGCAUCUAUUCAUUCAGAAUCAAUGGGCAAAAGUGCAUGCAACUAGAAUGCUAAUAAUUACUAGUAAAGGCAUUAGAUUUUGGACUUCAUCGUUUUUUUAAUACCUUAAUAAUUGGUUUUUAUGUACUUGAUUGUGACCAAUUCGUUUUAUAUACCUCAUUUUCAUUUUUAAUGAUAAAUUAUUUAUAACUAAAUUUUGAUAAAUUAGCAUUCAAUCCCAAACUUAGGUUUAACAUGCUAAAUUAAUAAUUUGAUAAGUUUAUACGAUAAUAUAUUAUUAAAAAAGCUAUUGUUUUGAUAUAGGAUCUCAACACUACGUAAAUUAAUAUUACAUACACAUGUGAACUGGAGUAUUUUUCAGAUUUUUGAAGUCUAAAAAUAGACAAUAAAACAAAAUGUGAACACUUAUAGUCAAAGAGUAUUGAAGCACAGUCGAAGAUAAUCAUUUCAUUUAUUCAAAUUGACUAUAUUGACAUAGAAAUGAUUAAAUUAUGUAUUAUUGAUGGUUGGAAUGAUAAAUGUGUCUAGUUUUUUUAUAAACUUUAAAUAAUUAAAUUUAAACUUCUCUUAUUUAAGAUAUUUGAGAUUUAGUCAACAAAAGUUAUAUUUGUAAGGAAUCUACACAAUGCCAAAAAUUUUGAGUUAACAGCUAGCAUCUAUUCAUUCAGAAUCAUUACCGCUAAAACCUUUAAUUCAAGCUUGAUUUGGUCUUUAAAUUGAUAAAGAUCAUAUCUUAUGUUUUGAGGGAUGUUUCAAGUUAUCCAUAUAAAGAUAAUAGAUAUUAACUUUGAGAGUGUGAUUUUAAGAUUAUAAUUUUGAAGUAUUCCCUUAUUUAGAGUUUCGUUAUUUAACUCUAUAUCUCUUAAUGGAUUCCUUAGAGUGGUGAAUUAGAGAGCCCUGUAUCUUCUGUAGAAUAUUAUUGAGCGAUGUUUCUAUAUCUCAUUGUAAUCAUUUAUGUUAUCUUUACUUACUGGAGUGGGAGUGAAGAGUGUAGAUUCAUCUCACUCUAGUGUUUAUUUGCAUAUUUUAAGGGGGAAGUGGGAAUCUCACUCCUGCCCCCACUCAUUUUUGGAGUGGUGAGUGAGAUUCACACUCCCAUGGGGGGAGAAAUGGAAAUCCACUCUCACCUCUUCCUUUUCUACCCAUUUUUAAUUGAAUUUAAUAUAAUUAUAUUUAAUGAAAUAAAAUAAAUAAUAUCAUAUUUAUUUAAGUAAUAUUAUUAUACUAUUUUAUAAAAUUAAAUUUAUUAAAAAUAAUAAUUUACAUUGAUUCUAAGUUAAAUUUACUUAAAAGUAAUAUCAUUAUAAUUAUAAGGGUAAAAUUAUAAUUUAAAACUAUUUACUCUCAAUACAAAAUAAAGUAGACACAUAAAUUGAAUUUUGAUUUUGAUUCCAUACGCUCAUUCUAGUAUAAGUAAACAAUCUACUUUCAUUCACACUCUACACUUCUAAUCAUAAGAUUUUCACUACUCAGGAUUCUCACUCUAAUUUAAAAUGUAAACGUUAGAGUAGUGAAUUUUUGUUCUUAUCUACUCUAUGAGUGAUUCUUUACUUUAUUAAUGAAUUAAAGUUCAGUUUGUUUAUAGUUUGGUGUCAACAUGUAACGUUUAACAUCAUUUAGGAGACUUUGUUCAAUUAACUUGUUUAUGUGAUGUUAUCAAUUAUUAUUUUACUAUUUAUUGUCAAAUAUACCAUUGGUGAUCGGCCAGAAAAACUGUAUUUGCGAUCUUAUCUAAGGAAUUGCUUGUUAUCAUUUUCAACCAUAAAUAAUAAAAAUAAUAGUGCAAACAAUUUAAAUAUAUUAUCAUGUUCAAUGAACUUUCACUUUCUCACGACAUCAUAUUACACGUGUACGGCUAACAAUCAACCAUAUGUAUCUUUCAGAGUAGUAGGUUACACACGUUUUAAAAACUGGAUCAAAGUCUUGGUCAAGCUCGAAUAUAUUAUUUUCCCUUACAUUUCAGACGUGUAGGACCAACACUCAACCACUUAAAUCUUUUAGAAUAUCAUGUUACACGUCUAAAAGUUGGAUCAACGUGUUAGUCAAGCUCAAAUACUAUAAUUUUGCCUUAUAUUUGAGAUGAAUUGAAUUUACACACGGUGGAGUAAGCCUCUUAUGUCUGAUCAUGUGACAAGUCCAAAUUAGUGUUUCACGUGAAGGGGAAUGUUAAAAGCAAGCUUAAAUACUAUUGUUCACCCCUUACCUUCAAAAUUACACCUUUUUUUUUUUCGGGAAUCUUAAAAUUAAUCUCAUUAAACAGUCAAUAAUACGACAACAUAUUUCAGCAAUAGCAGAUCCAUCAAACAUGAGGACUGAUUUAUAACACUAAUACAUUAGAGUAAUCAUCAAAACGUUCUAGAAAACUGACGGUCCAAGGAAAAAACAAAUGUAUUAGAUAUGGUAACGUCUAACGUCACAUACACGUGUUAUAGGACAGCUCUAUUGCAGAGGGCUAUAUUACCCAAAUGUGGUUAUAUUUUUCAACCAUAAAUAGUAAAAGUAAAAAUGCUAUCGGUAUGAUUAUAUUAUUUCCUCACGACAAUUAAGAACUAAUCAAUCUUGUAAUUUUUUAGAAUAUUAUUUAACCAACACUGUAAUAGCAUUAUUUUAUAUUAAUCCUCAUAUUCAUAUCUAAGGCCCAAUAGUUUGGGAUUGUUGCUGCUUAUAAAAUAAUGUAUUAUAAUAAGUAUUUAGUUAAAACAAAAAAGAAAAAAAAAAAGAAAAAGAAGCAACUGAAACAUUUAUUCAAGGGCGACAUAGUGCGCCUUAUUCUUAAAAAAAGCCGUAGCACUAGGAGCAAUGAAGAAAACUAUAAGAUAAGUAGACAUCCAAAAAGUAAAUAAAAUAAAACGAUACUUCAAAAAGCACUUUAGCAUCUUGAUAUAAGAAUUGCUGAAUGUUCGCAGCGGGAUCAUUCCACCACAAAAGCUCAUCAUGAUUAAGAUUUAGAUUAGCAAGACAAUACAGCAGCACUGCUGUUCUCCCUAAAAGUGUGUAGGCAAUGAAAAUCCAUGAAAGAAAGCUUCAUCUUACAUUUCAUCUUACUAUUAAUCUAUUUGUUCUUGAGACGCCAAGAGGAUUUCAAAGAACUUUUUAGAAAGAAAUUUACAACAAGCAAUAAACCGCAUUCUAACCAAAAUUUGCGCCAACCUUGAUAACCAUUAGUUAUGCCACCCUCUCUCAUAAGCCUGCCAAUAAUAUGACUAACAAACAUAAUCUCCGCAAUCAGCAACUGAACCCGCUAUAAAAUCACCACUGGCAUUCUUGGUAAACACCACCACAAGUAGCAUUUUAACGGAACCCGUCUGGAAUUACAUUUAAAGUAUCAUCAGACUUUACUGUUUAACUAUAAACCGCCUUAGUCAUUUUGUAUUCUCACAUUCUGUUUUCUCCUUUUUAAUUCCUUGCUUAGCCGAGGAUUGCUCAUGUGUAUAUAUAUAUAUAUAUAUAUAUAUAUAAUUUUAAUUAGCCCCAAAAUGAUAUGUUUUUGUGUUUAAUAAAAAGUUAGGAUUAAUUUAAAUAAUUGUUAUAGGAUUACUUAUUUGACGUAUCAAAAAAAAAACUCUUACAAAUGUUAAAAAAUAUUAAAAUAGGCAUAAAAUCUAAAUUCAUAUAGUAUUAUUCUAAAUAGAGUAUCAGUUCCCAAUUACCCAUGGAUCACAUUAGUUUGAAGAAGAUUUAUUCUUGAUAAAGAAAACAUAACAUCACAUCAUAUACUCACAGAGCUAUAAACAAUUUAUUCUAGAAGUGACUCCUAGGACCCACUCCCACGCAACAUAAAGUACAAACAUCAACUACCAAAACCGUGUAAUGAGCUCAUUGGUAGUUUUGGUAUUUCGCUAGCCGGAAAAAAUUUCCGGCGAAGCAGCUUAUUUAAAUUAAAGACGUAUGACAUCUUAUUUCUUAAAGUUUGAUUUGCAAUGAGCUUCGUGCACUCUAGAUAGAGAUGCUGUAGGGAACUCCUUUUCCUGUCGCGCCAGCUUCCGAAAACGGCUUCAGGAGCUCAUAUGGAACAAUCGCAGCUCCAGUUCUGUUCUUCAAAUUCUCAUUCGAAUUUCUGUCAUCAAUGAUCCUUUCAAGCUCCUGCAUUUUGAGGUUAAACUCUUCAAAUGCAGCCUUUAUAACUGGGUCAUCACCCCAUGCCGGCUCCAUUUCCUUCCCCAAAUACUCUUCAUCAGGCGAAUGAGUCGACAGCAAAUCAAUAACGAGCAUUACCGUAAGAGCUUGAAACUGUGCAGGGAAGCAUCGCAAAAGUGCAGCUUCAGGUUUUUCGAGAAAGGAUUUCCAUUCUUCUUUUGUUUGAUCUUCAUUUGGCAUGUUGGUUCUUGCAACAGUUGGCCUGUUAGGGAAAUAGCCUCCGUAUAAAUAUUGCCCAAAGUUCACAGCUGCAUGGUGACCGGAUGCAACCCAAGCGAUGGUUGUGAUGAUUUCAAUUAAAUCCUGAGGGGUUUUCAGGACAGGCCACCAUGGUUCAUCCUUUUUCUCGGCGUGUCCCACGGUUCGAAUUUCAGUCCACCAUGCUUGGAGCUCCUCAUCAGACUCUACAAGGCUUGGAUCGGGAUAAUAGUGGUUCACAUAGUUAGUAACCCAUUGUUUUAAGGCAUCCCAGAGAUCGAGCCCAUCGUUGGCAUAUGGGUAGUCUUCGAUGUUUAGCUUAAGGCCAUGAGGAGCUUUUGGAUCUUCAACAGCUAUUCCCCUAGGUAGUCGAAAAUGGAAAAGAAAUUAAGCUCAACAUAUGUUCAGCAUUUUCAAUUCAUCAAUUUUGGGUUCUUCUAUAUAAUACUCUGCUGUCAAUCUAAUGUGAUAUUUCACUAAAAAGAUAGAAGCAUGAUCUUAUAUGUUAAAAAAUCUGAUACUGUUCUAUAGUAAAUUUUUAAUAUUAGGGAUAGGGUCCUAAGUAGCAAAAGUGAAUUAUAAUGGGACCUAAGUGUUAUUCUCUGUAUAAUUUUAUAAAGAAAUCUUAGUUUUAACCUACUAGUUCAUAAAUUGGGAAGUCUUUGUAACUUAUUACCUCCUAAUAAGGUCCUUGGGGAGUCCUUCAUUGUCAAACCUCCAGUGCUUGUCAUAGAUGACGGAGCUGAACUCCAUACAAUAUUUUCCAGGAAAGAAAUUUGUUUCAAAGAUUCCAUCAGCAUUAAUAAGGACUUUUCGAGCUAAAGCAUUGAUCUCCAUUGUGUAGCGAAAAUGAGGUUUCAACAGUCUAUUGAUUGGAUGCAUCGCACUGAGUCUCCGAUUGGUUGCAAUUACGUAAGGCUCAACGCAACAAUGAGUUCUUAACCUGCAAAGUAAUAAGCAAACAAAUCAAGAACCUUUAAAUAAUCAUUUAAUAUAGUACUUGCUAAAUAAAAAUUAAUGUAAACUUUUUUUGUUAUUAUUUUAUUUUAAGAUAAAUUCUGUAAUUUAAUUUUUUUUUUCUUAUUAUCAAUGUCCUCAAGAUUAUUGUAAAGGCAUUAAGGACAAGAUUAUAACGCAAUUAAUAGUAAAAUUGUCUUGGGGUAUUUUUUAAAAUUUAGAAACUAAACAAGUAAUUAACCCAAAACUUAAGGACUAAACAAACUUAAUUAACCCAUCAAGAGAUUGAGUAUAUAUAACAUUUGGAUUUUAAUUAUGCCCGUUUAAGAAAUCAGCAAACGUCCAGUAACACUAAAAUUUUGGAUCUAGGAUCAAACGAAUUUCGGUAAAAUUGAGAAUAUAAAACAGAUAUACCAAUGACUAAUGAGUUGGUGAUAGCCAGAAUCAUGAGCAAGGACAUGAGCCUUGGCUAGCCUCCAAAGCCAGGACUCAGUAGAAUUCCCAGUACUGGGUGUAAAAACUUGUUUCCAUUGUGGCUUGCCAUCCAUUGGAGGCCGAGUUAGCUCAAUGGCUAGCGGUCUCAGUGUGCCAUCUGGGUUCAAGAAGAAUAUUGUACGAGAUCCAUACAGAGUUGUGUCUUUGAUCUGUCUCACUUUCUCCACAUACGGUAAUAAUGCAUCAUGGUAAUCUAUGAUGAACAGCUUCUUUUGUUUUAUAGUCUGCAUAAUAAGAAACUUUAAUUAAGUGCUUCUAUUCAUAAUUUUAUUAAAAAAAAAAAAUUGAUUGUCCGUUAUGAAGUUUUCUCACUAAUUAAUGUACAAAGGAAGGAAUUUAUAUUGCACACAUACCUCUUCAAGAGUCAUCGAGCCUCCAAUUUCUUUCUCGAUCAAUUCUUUGGUAAUUGCUGAUUCCGUUGGACCGUAAGUUUCAGGAUCAAGUGUGCUUUUCAGCGGCCAGUCCUGCAAGAAUUUAUGCAAUUGUUUUCUGUUAUACAAUCGGGAUUUUGGUUCAUUGCGCCAAAAAGGAGGAAAAAAAAAACUUAGGAGGUAAUACAACAAAUAACGGAAACAUUGGGGGCCAUAAGUAAAUUGUUUGUUCAAAAUUUUGACCUUGGGCCCGCAACAUAGUUAUGUUCUCAGUGACCACUCAUUCACCAUGGAUAAAUCAUUUGAACCUCAUGAUUACAAUUUUGUUGUUUUUGUUUUUAAUUUUUAAUUUUGUUUCAUUUUACUGUAGUUAGCCAUACCGCGACCAAACUUAUGCCGUAUGGGUUGAGACCAGCUAGAGUCUCUCUACCAAAUUCCUCGUCCCUUAACCAAAAGAGUUUGUCUCCUGCAACACAAAUAUAAUGAAACACAUAUAAGUACACUUUCAAUUAUUUGUAUAUAACGGUUAAUCAAAAAAUAAAAGGACCUAAGCAGCAGGGGCGUAUCUUAGAGUUAAUCUCCAGAGGGCUAAGUUCAAACUUCAAAUAAUAAUAAGGAUUGAUUUUUUAUUUGAUUUGUAGAGUUUGAUUGAUAAUUAAAGUUAUUAUUGCAAGUAAAAACAAAAUGAAAAAAAUAACAAAAUAAAAAUUAAAGAACUAGGCCCAAAUUUUAUCAAACUUUUAAAAAGACUAUUUAUCAACAAUCAGGCAAUUUUAACUUUAUUUUACAAAAUAUAAAAUUAUACUUUCAUCCUAUAUAUAAAGUUUAUAUAUCAAGUAUGUAGAGUCAAAUCAUUUUUUAUACUUAAUUUUUAAUAUUUUAUUUAGAAACUUCAAUUUUUUUUUAAAGCAUGCAGCCCCGGCCCCCUUUAGUCUCUGUAAGCCUCUGCCCCUGCCAAGCGGUAAGCUAGCUAGAGUGAGAAAUAUUAAGUACUUAAGUGUCAACUUAAUAGAUUUCGUAGAUUAGUAAAAAUAAGACUACAUGAAGAGGUUUAAGUCUUACUCUUCAAUGUUUCCGGUGUCUCGAACCGCAAAAUAUCUUUGCCUGUAUUGGCAAUGGACUUAAAAAAGUUGGGAAGAAUUUUUAGCCAUGAAGGUAGCUUUUCGAUCUCUGGAGGCAGCUCAACUCCUUCAUUGAAAAGUUUGUCAAUGGCCUCGAGUGAUGGAAACCCUUUAUCCUUUCCAAUGCGAAGGAUGGAUUCUACGAAUGGUAUCACUGCAUGCAACGCUGAGUAUACUCCCGUAGCUGAAAAUUGUGCUGUUUUCAACAGUGAGAAUGCUUCAUCUCUGGGCACGUAGACUGAGAGGCUCCAUGAUUCUGAGGCUGGAUCUACAUUGAUAAAAUAAAGCUGUUUGUUUAAUUCUAUGCAAAACAAUUAAGUCUAGUACCUUAAUAACUAGACUAUUAUAAUGAUGUGUUAUAGGUUAAAGAAAUGUAAUUAUCAGCUGCAUUCUCAAUGUUAACAACAAAAUAUAGAUUUAGAUAGGCUAAAUUUUUAGUUAAGCCUUCAACUUUUCAAAAUAGUUUCAACCCUGCACAUAAUGCCAUUUAUAUUUAUAUUGUUAUAAAAGUAGAAAUAUGAUUUUACCUUUAGAACUUUUUGGAUGGCCAGUUCUGCAACGCCUAGGAUAAGGGUGCUCUUUGCCACCAAGCACCGGUCGUCCCAAAUCUGACUUCAAGAUGGAAUCAGGCAUUCCGAGAUCAUUGUACACAUCAUAAUCAUAUAUUCUUUCGUGUAUUUUACGCUCUCCUUGUCCAUCGCCUUGCAAAUUGUUAAGUUCUUCACCUCUUAACCUCGUUAAUCCAUUCGGUGUUUGUGAUGGCAAGUAUGACUAAUUCAAAAAAUUAAAAAAAAAAGAAAGAAUUAAGAUGAUGCGUGCGAAUUAAGUGUUAGAAUAAUGUUUGGCUAUUAUUCUUGUACAGUUUAUUGUAGUUCGAUUGUGGUAGUUAUAUUGCAGUAGUGGCCUUAAAAAAAGGAAAAAAAGUAAAAUAUAUUGUAUAAAUGGUCUGUGUUUGGAACGUUACCUUCAAGCCUAAAUUUUUAGGUCAUUGGUAACUCGCCGUUGUAACUCAUCAUGGGAAUGGUAUCAAAACAAAAUUUAACAUAAAGUCUUGUAUUUAAAUUCCUUGAAAUAAAAUAAAUCAAAUUCUAAUCUAGAUUGGACGAUAUGAAGUAUCAUAAAUAAAGACACAAGUGUUAAUAUUACUAAUUUACUCUUGUUGGUGAUCGAUUUUAGAAAUAUUUUAUGUUCCAUAAUUUGUUUAAACCCGCAGCCUCAAAUUAUCCUUUUUUUAAAAAAAAGUUGACAAAUAACAGUAUAAAGUAAUCAUAAAGAUCUCCCAUUAUUUUAUUCUCCCUAGUCCAACUUUUUGUACAUAUAUGUAAUUAUUAUUUAUAAUCUGAAACUGACCUUAUUAGUAAAGAAAAUUCUCUUCUGUUUGUCAACUAUCUUUGGCUGAAUCCAUGAAUCACAAGCUAUGUUCACAGGACCAUUCCGGAGACCAUCAAGAACAAUAUCCUUCAAAUACGUUUCUGUGAGUUGAUCAGCCUCCACCAAUAUGGCACCAACUUCUCCAAAAUUUGAUGGAACGUCAAAUUCUGUUGUUUUAUACUUUAGGUUUCCAUCGUCAUCCGUGAACAGUGAUCUAUGUGCACGGCUUUUGAUGGUGGGCUUCUCUUUUCCAGUUUCUGAAAAAGUAAACAAAAAACUGUAAUUAAAAACACCUUCAAGUAUUCAAAAAAUAAUUUUUUUGGUUUGUUUGAGGACUAAUAACCACAAGAAAUUAAUUUAAAAGAAAAUUAUCAAUUAUAUGUAUAAUAAUAAGCUAAAACCUUCAAAAUGAUAAUUGUUAAAUAUUUUUUAUUCCUCACAAAUUAAGUUUGAAAAAGCAAAACAAAAUUAUGCAAUCCACAUUGAUUUUUUUUCUUGGGUUAAAAAAAAUACUUUUCAUUUACUUGAAUGAUCAAAAUUCAUUAAAGUUAAAACCGUCAAAUUAUAUAAAAAGAGGGAGAGAUUGAUGUUUUGAGGUAUUUUACGAACUAUUGGGAUAAAAAAGGCAUAUAUAUAUGUGUGUGUGUGUGUGUGUGUGUUUGUGUGUGAUUUUUCUUUGAAGUGAAAAACUCCGAUGCACUUACCAGGAUCAAGCUCGGCGCUAACAAGCUCCAAGACAAGUGUACCAAUUAAUUUUUCAACUGCCAAGGGAUCAGAGACAAUUGGUUUCACAGUGAUAACAGCCUUAACUUUUGUAGACUUUUCAGCAGUCAAAUUAAAUAUAGCUUUGAUGCUGUUACUACUAGGAGAAAAGCCGACUCCGAUUUUGGGUGCUUUUUUGAAUGAAGGUCUCAACUGAGCUGGACGAAAAGCUGGACCAUUUCCAUGGAGAAAUGGCUUGGGUAAUGGACUUAAGGUUCUGAUAGAUUGAGACCGAUUAUGAACUUGUAGAUUCAACAUUCUUUCAUAAGAAAGAGACACUUAAGCUUUCCUUAACAGAAUUUUAAUUUGGCUUGGUGAGUGAGACUUGAGUGAUCAAUCCACUCUUUAAAUAGAAAGUUGGAGAAAGAGAGAGAGCAAGAUAUGGUGAAGAGAGAAAGAACGACUUAUGGCACAUGAAAAUGAAGAGAAAUAUUGAUGUAGGAUGAUUGUGUAAGAUGAGCAGGAUAUUUUUUUAGAAUUAUAAACUUGACUUAUACGUGUCUUUUUUGGGAGUAUAAUAUACUAUGUCAAAAAUUGUGAUGAGAUAAAUUUAACACAAUAAAUCUAUGAGUGUUGGCCUUGUGGUACAGUUAAAAAUUCUUUUUUUUUUGGGCCUGUUACGUCGUUUUAUCUUUUUUUUUUUUGUCUUAUACGGAAGAUUAGGAAUAUGCUCCGCUUUAAAGCUCGGUUCACUUUUAUUUCUCAGGCUAAGGCCCCGUUUGGGAUUGCUUUUGGGAGGGUUAAAAGUGAUUUUAAAAAUCUAAAAGUUAAUUUUGGUGUUUGGUAAAAGAAAAUCAAAAUCACUUUUGCCAGAAUCAGCUCCUCCUACAGCUGAUUUUGAAAAGCAGGGAAAGAGUAACUUUUAGAUUCUGAUUUUGAGAAUCAAUUUUAUCCUUUAAUAUAAUUUCAUAAAUAUCCUUACAAUUAUUACUUAAACCCGAAAUUAUCCUUAGUUAAAUUAGAAAUAAAAUCAAUAUUUUAAUAAAUUUUUAUUAUAAUUAACGCACACCUUUCGUUUACCCUAUUUCUUCAUAUUUUGUGUUCUAUCAAAACUUCUCUAGUGCAAGUAAAUUUAUUUUCUUACAGCAUUUUUAUAUGUAUAAGUAAAUUUCAUCUUACAUUAUGUACAUUUUGGUCAUUUAUUUUCUUACAGCAGUUUAACAAUAAAAUUUACCAAACACCCAUAACUGCUUUCAAAAUUCACAGUACUUUUGAAAAUAAAAUUUACUAAACACUUAACUGAUUCUCUUCACAGCUGAUUAUUUCUACAGCACAGCUAACAACAAUUAUUUUAAAAGCUGCAGCAUUACCAAACUGGCCCUAAGUCUGAUUGCUUUGCUCAUUUAUAUUGUUUUGCUCACCUUACUCCUGGUUAUGUGAGAUUGGUGUUAAUAGAGACAUAAUGAAGUCUUUGUGGGCUGAUUUCUUUGUAGGCUAAGUCGUAAUUGUCUACGGCUUGAAUGUGCCUCCAUGCUUUGGUUGAUUUGUUUCAUAAUGAAAACUUGGAGCCUCCCUGACUUAUGCGUAACAGCUGGAUCAACAGUAGGCAUUUGGCAGCUUCUAUAAACUUUCGAUUUUGUUAUUGUAGGACCAGUUUGGAAUUAUUUUAGAAGAUUUGAAAGUAAUUUUAAAAAAUUAAAAAUUAAUUUUAGUAUUUGAUAAAAUUUUUAAAAAAUUAUUUUGACAAAACCACUUUAUGUUACAGCAGAUUUUGCAAAAUAGGGAAUGCGUAUUUUUUGAAAUCUAUUUUGAUGAGAAUCAAUUUUACAUGUAAUAUGAUUCUCUAUAUAUAUACCCAUAUAUAUUAUAAAAUCUAAAAUUAUUCUUAUUAAUUAGGAAAUAAAAGUAUUAACUUUAAAGAAAUUAUCAUUAUUACCAAUUAUAUUGAGAUAGCAAAAUAAAAAUAAAAUUAAUAAUAUAAAAUAUUUAUUUUAGUUAUCAAUUCUAUAUAUAUAUGCAAGAAAAACUAUUUUACAUAUAUAUUUAAAAAUAUGUAAAUAAACUUCAGUCAACAUUAUCUCGAAUUUAGUUAUAUAUAUUUUCACAAAAUUUUAAUAAUAAGAUUUAUCAAACACAUAUAACUGUUUUUAAAACUAGCAAUAUUUUUUAAAAUAAAUUUUAUAAAAAAUUUUAACUAACUCUCUUUACAAUUAACCAUUUUUACAGUAUAGAUAAUAGUAAUUAUUUUAAAAAUUAUAAUAUUAUGAACCUUACAGAGAGUCUAAUAUAGUGACAGUGAGAAUUUUUUUUUUUUUUAAGGAAAUGGUAGUUAAUGGCUUUGGAAAUCAAGGUUGAGUUAAAUAACAAAUUUAGUCAGAUUUUAUCCCAAAGAUAAGAACAUGACUUGGAUGCACAAAACUUAAUAAAGUGACUUGUUCCGAGUUCUGACCAAUCCUGAUACUCUUGCAACAAAUACAAUACAUUACAGCAACAAUACAAUACAUUACAGGAAUAGCAGAUUCAUCAAUAUUAGGACGUACUCAUGUCGUUAAUACUGAAUAUUUGGGAGAAAAAUUGCAUUAGAUAAUGAAUGUUUAGAAAAAUAUCUCACAUCGAAGUAUUGAUUUAACGCUAAGUGUAUAAGGUUUGGGCAACACCUUAGUUGGCUCUUUUGACAAGCAAAAUAAUGACUUGACUGUUCAAAUCGAUCUAUUAAGAUUUGUAAUUUUUGGAAACAAUCGAUCAUAAGUUAAGUAUAUAAGGCUUGAGUAACCCCUCAAUUCUUAAGAUGAGUUUUGGAUUGAGAUAGACUUAUAAGUUUCUAUACAGUACUAGAGCUAGAGUCAUUCACAAGUGGACUCACACUAUCUCAUCAUGUGACAUGAAUCAGUUAAAAAAAAAAAAAGGGCAGCACAUGAUGGCCCAAGGAUCUUGGAUUACAUAUACAAGGCUUGUACAACAUCCUAGCUGGCUCUUUUGAAUAGCAAAAUAAUGGCUUGUUCUUUUAGCCACUAGGCUAAGCUUAGUGGUUAGAACUCAAACCUCAUAAUUGUGAGGUCAUUGGUAUUAUAGGGGUUUAAUUUUAUUUCUUAAUUUGAGUGAAAACAGUCUUUUCCUUUUCGAAAUGUGAGUGGAGUAUGUAUUUUUUGAAUAUUAGAGAGUGUAAAAAUAUGGACAGUGCUUCAUAAGAAUUUAUAUAAAUUAAUCUCAGUAAUAAUUUAAUUUUAAAUAUCAAUUGUAAUCUCAUCUUACAUGAGUUAUACUUCUAAGUAAUAGUUUUAUGUAAUAAAAAAAAUAACUUGUCCUUUUGAACCGAUAUUUUAAGGCUUGCAAUUUUUUAAAUUGAAACAUAGAGACUUCAUAGAUUUUAAAAGCAACCCAUCAUGAUACAAAAAACCAUAAAUAGUACCAUAUGUGACCACCACAUACCCGAGUCUAAGUGGAAGAAUAGCCACCACAAACCUGAGCCUGAGUGGCAUUUUUUGUUAAAUUAAUAUUUUUUCUUGAUUAAGUACUUAUUGAAGUUCUACUAUAAUUGCACGUUUCAUAUAAAAUUAAACAUCACAUUCACAUGUUAUAGGACCACCCUGUUGUACAGGACUAUUUGUGCAAUCACGACGUUACAGGUAGGAGGCAAGAACAUAAUAGGCUUUUUUAUUUAAUUGGUUGUCAUCUUUUUCAAUAUGAUCUUGACGUUAUAUAUGUAGGACCGACUAAUUAACAAUCAAUUAUAAUUAAUAUUUUUUUCUAGAAUAUUAGGUUACUCACGUUUAAAAUUUGGAUUAACAUGUAAAAAAAGCUCAAAUACUAUUAUUUUCCCUUACUUUAGAAUUUUUGGUAUCGGGAUCGUGUUUGACACAUUGCUUUCUCAAUUAUAAAUAUAAAAGUAAUAAUAAUACCAAUAAGAUGAUCAUGUUGAAUGAACUUCUACUAUCUCAAAACACUACAGUAUGAAAAUUGACAGGAAUAUUAGGUUACUCAUGUUUAAAAUUUGGAUUUACUUGUUAAAAUUAUUUUCUCUUACCUUUAGAAUAUUAGGUAUCGGAUCUUGUUUGAAAUAAAAGUUUUGAAUUUAGUGACUCCGUAAACACGAGUUCAAUUUACACAGAGUGGAAUAAGCUUUUAUGUUCGAUCACGUGGCAAGCCCAAAUAAGUCUCCAGAUUUGGUCAAGAUGUAACUCAACACAGAAGAUGAUUAUUUCUUUUUAAUAAGAAUCAUAUGAAGAUGUCAAUGUGACGUGUAAAUAUGGUAGGAAUUAAUAUCAUAAUAUAAUGUAAAUAUGAUAAUAAUCAGAAUUCUUAUAUGAUGCAAAUAUGAAAAUGAUCAACACGAUCAUCACAUACACAGAUGGAAUUAAAAAGCAUAAACCGUAACUUAGCUUACAGCUGAUACUUGAUCAGCUCUUAAGUGCUUCUAAUGUGUUCACGUGGGGGCAAUAUGCGGAAGUGAACUUUUUAAUAUUAUCAUUUAAUUUAUAAAUCCAUCUGUCAGUACAAUUAUGUCAAAUCAAAGCAAUAAUUUAAAGAAGAUGAACUGAAAAAGCGAAUAGGGGCGAGGACCCCGAGAACUGAUGCUCAUAUCAUGAUUCAUGAGCUUCAACGAACUUGCAUUCAAAGUUUCAAUAGGACGCCUUAACUUUGUUCACGUGAAAUUACUCGCGAACUAACGGUCAGGAAUAAAAUUAAAUAAUGAUUUUGAGCUCUACUGGAAGAAUAUCCUCGGCUUUUUGGCAUUAUACUCCCCACCAUGAUGUCUUUCUCUUUGGGCCGAUGAUGGCUUGUCUAUUAUUAAACUAGUUUCGCCCCCCUAAUAAUUGGCAUUAGCUUUUGGACUUUAAACCUUAUCUUCAUUUGUUUUAUUCGUCAAUUAUUGGUUUACCAUGCACGUGAUUGUGACCAAUUCGUUUUAUAUUCUUAAUUUUCGGGAACCGUAAAUAUUAUUAGUUGUUUAUAGGCUAUUAUCUUAUCGAAUUGUUUGUUGUCUUUUUUCUAUUAAAAAUAUUAAAAAUAAUAAUGCUACUGAUAUGAUAAUGUUAAGUAUAUUAUUAGUUGUUUACAGGCUAUUAUCUUAUAAUCUAGUUGUUUGUUGUCUUUUUUCUAUCAAAAAUAGUAAAAUAAUAAUGCUACUAAUAUGAUAAUGUUAAGUGAACUUUUACUUUCUCACGACUCUAUACGUGUACGAUUGACAAUCAAUCUUGUAAAUCUUUUAAAAUAUUAGGUAACUCACGUUUAAAAAUUGAUUAACUUGUACCAACCUCAAAAUACUAUCAUUUUUUUCGUUUAAGUCAUGUCUCAGCUUUGGUAUCAUAUCAGUUUUUGACCUUUUUUCUUUGUUUUUUUAAACCUCGACAAAGCAAGAGAAAAAACAAAAAAAAAUCAACUGAUAAACAAGGGAAAAAUGAAACAGACUCCCCUUAAGAAAAAUCAAUAUAAUAUCAUGUCAGGUUUGAUAUGAAGAUUUUGAGUUCAAAUCAAUUACUUUCUUUCUGUUAUUAAUUAUGAAAUCAGUCCCCACUUCCGUCUUAAUUUAAUAAAAUUCGGGCCUUUACUCGAUGGAAUUAAGAAGAUUCGUAAUUUGGUCAAUCCGUCAAAGUUAACCAUACAUAGCUCAAAGUUAAGACCUAAUAUUAAACGAAAACGUAUCCUAAUGAACAAAUUAAUAAUCAACUCAAAGUUAAAAACUACAUGGUAUAAAAGAUAUAUUAUGUCCGAUGAUAUCUUAGGAUUUUAAUAUUUUAGGGUUUUUUUUAAGGGGACCUCUAAAAAGGAGGUUUUUACUUACAAAAUAAUUCACCAAGAAGAAAUAUCACAAUGAAGGCCCAAAUUAGCAGGCUAGUUGCUACACAAUUAUUCCCUAUGUAGGUAUAAGAAAAUUUAAAUGACAUUUGAGAAAGCAACGACUUAUAGUAAACCGAUGAUUUCUUAGUAGCCAAGGAGAGGAAGUCUCAUGCAGAAGCAUAUUCUGGGGAGAGUGCUUUAUAUUACCUGAUUAAUUAUCUUUUUCAAUGAAACUUUGUGUUUCCUAUGGGAAUUCUUUGAAGCUUUGUGUUUCACUAUCUUUAUCUUUUUCCACUUCCUUAUUUAAUAUCAAAACAUGAAUCUUACUUGACCGUUCUACUCACGGUGAUCAGAGCUAUUUAGACCCCUCCAUUAAUCUCUUCAAAUUUUUUAAUUACAGUUUUAUUGUUACCUUAAAUUACUGAAAUGGGAAUAAAAAAACCUGCUUUACAAUUGCUGGAAAUUCAUCCUCAACUCAACAUACCAGUAGCCUCUACUCAUUUUGUUGAUUUUGAUUUAAUCAACUAUUUAACUUUCAAAUUCUUCUCUACCGCUCUUUCCCAAGUCCCUUCCGAAAACAAUCUUUGAAUAAGACUGAAAUUCUUGAAACAAGAAGUCUCUUAUAAUUUUUAUUCAUUGACAUCAAAUACAUUGAAGAGAAAUAUCUUUUUAUUUGCUCACCUAGACGAAGUACAGAGAUUUUCAAACUUAUUUGGAGAAAUGGAGCUUGUCCUCAACAAUUAAUGAUUAAAGACAAUAAAAUCUGGCGAGUUUCGAUGUUCUUUUUGGUAAGUUCCCUUAAAUUUGAAAUUGGGAUUCUGGCUAUAAGUUGAAUAGAUCCACUCUUGCGUAAUUUCAUUAAAUUUGAAAUUGGGUCUAUUUUACAAAAGCCUUGAAUACUUAAAUUGGGUCUAAUUCUAAAAGCCCAUAACAUCUAAUUCAAGUUGGAGGUCGGAAAUUUUGACAGAAAUCAUGCAAGCUUUCAAUAUUCAACUAUUAUAUUGUUUUAUUUUUGAAACAGAACAUCCUAAUAAAAUUGAUGAGUGGAUAUUGCUGACUCACAAAUUGUUCACAAGUCUAUGUAUUAUUGGCAAAAGUUCAAAAAAAGGGCACAAUGCAGGAAUCUGUUGGAGAGUGCGAUAAAAAGAAAUUAAUAAUUAAAAAUAAUAAAACAAGAAAGAGGAAAAAAACACAAUUGGGAGAGUUAAUUCUCUCUUACUUUUAAAAUUUUAAUUAGUCAUCAAAACGCAUCGUUUUAGUGUUUAGUGAGGAAAUCUACGAGUAAAUUAAAUUCUAGUCAUAGAAUGACAUAUAUGAUUUGUCAGGACAACACCCCCCCCCCCCCCCCCCCCCCCAAAAAAAGGAAAAAUUAAAUAGAGCAACAGAAUAAUCAAAACACUACUCUAAUAGAGCACAAUUUAAACCAACCAACACCCAUGAAUCACAAUAUACACAGCAUAAGCCAAACUCUAAGACUUAAUUGAUAUUUUAAAUUUUUACAAUGAAAUAAAGUUGUCAUUAUUUUGAAGGAGAUUUAUUCAUGAAAACACAAUUUCUUACAACAAAAAAACGAAGGGGUUCAGGAUUGAAUUUCAAGUUGAUUUUUGCACACAUGUAGAUAUUAGUUAAUCAAGACAUAGGAAAAAUAAGAGUUGAUUCUGAGAAUCGAAAUAAUAUUUAUUAUUUUUCGAAGAUUUUUCCCCAAAAAAAUCCUAAAAAAUUAGGAAAAUUUGUGGGAUUGAUAUGAAACUCUUUCGGAGACCUUUUUUAUAGUCCAUGUAGGGCUUUGGUGGAUAAAAACUCAGUUUUUCCUCCUAGUUCAGAAACCACAGUUAUAGCACACAGUUUUGAGACUUUAAAUGGCAAUUUUGCUGUUGAAAGGCUUUGGGAUUGAAUUUCAAGUUAUUUUCUUUUCAUGCCUGUGGAUAUUAAAUCAUAUAAAAAAACGAAACUCGAUUCUAAAGCUUGAAGUAAUUUUUAUGAGUUUUUAAAGAUUUCUCUAGAAAAAUUGAAAAUUUAUGAGAACUUAUCAAAUUGAAGUAAAAACUUUUUAGGAAUGUUUUUUUUUUUUGGCCCACAUAUGUUUUGGUUGGGAAAAAAAAAACUAAUUUUUUUCUCCUGCCCCACACCCGAAGGCUAGCACAUGGUUUUGGGCUUUCAAGGUGUUUUUAUCUUGAAGGGCAUUGGGGUUGAAUUUCAAAAAGAUUUUUUAUACUCAUAAAUAUUGGUGAAAGAAAACCAUAGGAAAAAGGGGAGUUCACUCCAAGUCCCAAAAUAAUUUUUAUGAGUUUUAGAAUUUUUUUUUUUUAAAAUCUAAAAAUUCCUAAGAAUUAAGAGAACUUGUAGGAUUACUAUUAAACUCUUUGUGAGGUCUUUUUUAUGGCCCGCCUAGAGUUUUAGUGGAAAAAAAGACUAUUUUUCCUUCCGAGCUCAUAACCAAAGACUGAAGCACAUGAUUUUGGGUCUUUAAAGUAAUUUUGCCAUUGAAUGGCUUUGAUGUUGAAUUUUGAACUUUUUUAUGAGCAUGUAGAUGUUAGUGAAACAAGAUUACAGAAAAAGGAGUCAAUUUCAAACGUUGGAACAAUUUUCACAAGCUUUUGAAGAUUUUCCCAAAAAAAAAAAAUGGAGAACAUUUUCAAUUGAUAUGAAACUUUUUGAAAGACAUUUUUUAUAGCUUACAGAAGAUUUUGGUUAAAAAAAAAUAUUUUUUCUCCAUGGGCCCAGUUUAGGCCUAGAACCAAAUACUAUAGCAUAUGAUUUUGGACCUUUCAAAAGCAAUUUUGCAAUUGAAGGGUUUUGGAGUUGAAUUUUUGCAUGCACAUAGAUGUUGCAGAAACAAGACCACAAGAAAAAAAAUGGGAAUUAAUUCCAAGGCCUGAGAUAAUUUUUACAAGUUUUCAAAGAAAUUUCUCAAAAAAUAGUUAAGAAUUUUCAAAAAAUUAGGAGAACUUGUUUGAUUAAAGAGAAUCUCUUUCGCGGGCCUUUUUUAUGACCCACGUAGGAUUCCAAUGGGAAAAAAAUCUAACUUUUCCUCUAGACCUACAACUAAGGCUAUAACAUAUGGUUUUGGGCCUUUAAAAGGUAAUUUUGCCCUUAAAGAUCUUCAACGCUGAAUUUUGAGUUGAUUUUUACAUGCACAUAGAUAUUGAUGAAACAAGACAAAAAAAAGAGUCAAUUUCAAAGCCACAAAUUGAUGACAAUAAAAGAUUAUCAUGACUGAAAAAUGAUGGAGCAUUACAUAACAUCAUGGACUCACAGUUUUGCAAUCAAUUUAUUGUUGGAGUGACUCCCAAGACUCCUUACUGUCACGGGAUGAGUGUUUUGCGCAAUGAACCCGUGCGACGCUUGGACAACUCUUGCCGAAGGUUGCUAAGUAAGUUUUUUAGCUUUUCGAUUAGUUAAGCCUAGAGGUUUUCGAAGAGCUAGAGAGAAGAGAGCAAUAGAAUCGAAAGAGAGAAAUUAUGUUACUCGCAAGAAAAAUUACAAGAGAGCUUACAAGAGUGUUUCAGUUGCUUGCUCAAAACUUAAUACUCACAUGUCUAAUGUCAUGCCCUAUUUAUAGGGAAUGCUUGCCAAACUCUAGAGUUCUAGAGAAUUCUACCAAGUUUCCUAUCUAGAUAUUUACAUGUAUUAUAAAUGUGUAAAGAAUUCUCGAUAUAUACAAGCUUGAGUGUGCUAGAGUUGGCUAAAAAUUUCUAGAAUCGGGCCAAGCUAGCCCUCUUAGCCUUGUCUUGGGCUCUUUGCCUGAAAUUGUGGGCACUUGGACUAGCAACUUGGGCGGUUUACAACAUCCUCCCCCGUCUAAGCUCGCGGCGUCCUCGUUACACUCUCAUGCUUGAAAUUCUAAAUGUAUUCAACGAUUUGCCAUAAAUCAUCUUCGCGUUCCCAAGUGGCUUCACUCUCGGGGAAGUUUUUCCACUUCACCAAGUACUCAUUGUAUGGUGGUGCGCCUCUCCUCCGAACCACGCGAUCUGCAGUGAUGUAGUCCACAUAUUUAUCGAACGCGGUGACAACGGUGGUUGGCACCCGCCUCGAUUCUCUGCGACUUGAGUCUUCAGUAUCUCCAUGAUAUAGUUUGAGAAGGCUCACAUGGAAGACCAGAUGGAUCUUGAGUCUUGGCGGAAGUUAGAAUUAAUAUGAGUCGUUGCCCACACGUCGCACAACUCGGAAGGGUCUUUUGUAACACCUCAUUAACCCCUAGUGAACUUUCUGCAACGUCUUGAAUUGCUGGGGUAGGAGCUUGAUCUUGACUUGAUCACCUUUCUUGUACUCAACAUGACGUGUCUUUGUAUCCGCCCAUUUUUUAUCUUCAUCGCGGCUUUGUCAAGGUAGGCUCGUAUGAUGUCCGUUUCCUCAUACAAUUCGCGAGCAAGCUUGUGUGCCGUGAGGCUUUUUCCUCUAUAAGUAGAGGUUAUGGCGUUGGGGGUCAUGGGCUGGAAUCCCACGAUGAUUUUGAAUGGACUCACUUCGCUAUAAGUUAUAAGAAAAUUUGGCAAUAUCGAGUAACUUCGCUCAAUCCAAAUGAUGAACGCUUACAUAGUGCCUUAAGCACAUCUCGAAGAGGGCAUUGAUGCGCUGGGUCUGUUCAUCCGUUUAUAGGUAGAAGCUUGUCGAGAACUUCAGGUUGGUCCCCAAUAUCUUGAAGAGCUCUGUCAAAAAAUGCCCAGUGAACCGAGAGUCUUAGUCGUUCACAAUGCUCUUCGGAACUCCCCAAAGCUUCACUAUGUGCGUGACAAAUAAGCAGGCUGCUUUACCUACUUUGCAAUCGGUUGGUACGACAAUGAAAGUUGUGUACUUGUUUUAACGGUCGACAAUGACCAUGAUGUUGCCGCUUUUUUCGAAUUUGGGGCAAUGAUGUGAUGAAGUCCAUGGAGACACUUUCUGAUUACCUUGUUGCGAGUGGUAGCGACUCUAAUAAUCCCGUUGGGAGUUGAUGAUCCACCUUGUCUUGUUGGCAUACAAGACAAGUUUGCACGUAUGCCUCAAAGUUGUCUCUCAUGUGCGGCAAAAAAUACGAGGCUUGGACUAGUGCAGUGGUGCGCUCGAUGCCUAUGUGACUAACCCACUUGGAGUAGUGGCACUCUUUGAUAACUUCUUUCUGUAAAUUUUCUUACCUUGACACGAACAGUCUAUCUCCCUUGGUGAGGAUGAUACAUUUUUCUUGCAAAAUUGCCUUGUCUUGCCUUCGAGCACCUUCCCUAAUAAGUCAUUCGUUAGAGGGUCUUGUUGGAGGCAUUCCUUGAUGCAUGAGACAAGAUCAGAAUUCAAUUAGCUCAUGCUAAGUGUUGCCAAUUCGGCCUUGCGGCUUAGAGCAUCCGCAACGACAUUGGCUUUACCCAGUUUAUACUCGAACCGAUAGUCGAAUUCUGCAAGAAAAUCUUGCCACCGAGCUUGCUUGGGGCUCAACUUCUUUUGAGUUUGAAAGUAGCUUGUCGCUACGUUAUCCAUCAUGAUUGUGAAGUGUGAGCCAAGUAAGUAAUGCCGCCACACUUGCAAGCAAUAUAUGAUUGCAAUCUUUUCAUUCUCUUUCACCAUGUAGCGGCAUUCCGUUUCAUUUAGCUUUCGACUCUCGAACGCUAUGGGAUAGCCUUCUUGCAUGAGGACUCUACCUAUGGCAAAAUCCAAGGCAUCUGUUUAGACUUCGAAGGGCUUGGAGUGGUCCGGAAGAGCGAGGAUAGGUUCUUGGGAAAUUGCAUUCUUUAACUCCUCGAAUGCGCGUUGUCACUCUUCGGACCAAUGCCACGUUCAAUUUUUCUUGAGUAAAUCUUUCAAGGAUGCCACUUUGCCUGAGUAGCCUUUAAUGAAGCGUCGAUAGUAGUUCACCAAUUCAAGGAGUGAAAAAAGCUCAGGCACUUUCAAGGGAGGCUCUCAUUCGAAGAUGGCAUUCACCUUGGCGUUUUUCAUCAUAAUUUUUCUGCCCGCAAUCUUGUGGUCAAGGAACUCAACCUCUUGUUGAGCAAAUGAACACUUCACCAUUUUGAGGAAGAGUUGCUGUCUCGAAGUACUUGGAGGACUUAUCGCAAAUAUUUGGCAUGCUCCUCGAGUGUGGUGUUAUACACCACAAUGUCGUUUAAGUACACGACUACAAAACGAUCGAGGAAUGGUUAGAGUACUUUGUUCAUCAGUGUGCAAAAAGUAGCGGGUGCAUUGAUGAGACCAAAUGGCAUAACAAGAAAUUCGAAAGACUCGUACCUUGUUAUGCAUGCUAUGUUCCCCUGGCAAUGCGAACUUGGUAGUACCCUAGGUGCAGGUAAGUACUACGCUUUGCUAAACUGGUUGAAUAGAUCUACUAUUAAGGGAAUUAGGUACUUGUUCUUGAUAGUGAUCUUGUUGAGCGCUUUAUAGUCGAUGCACAUCCGCAACAAUUUAUCCUUUUUCUUUUGAAAAAUGACCAGUGCACCGAAUAGGGCCUUAGAGGGGCAAAUAUGGCCUACGUCCAGCAAGUAUUUGAGUUGUCUUCGUAACUCUUCAAGUUCGGGUGGCGCCAUGCGGUAGGGCGUCAAGGCUGGUGGCUUUACGCCUUGUUCUAACUCGAUCGCAUGAUAUACCUCUCGUCGAGGUAGUAGCUUCUUCGGAAGUUCGGGAGGCAUCACAUCCUUGAACUCGUUGAGGACGACUUGUAUUCACGGAGGGACUUGACUUGACGAGUUUACGCAAUCUCUUUCCUCGUUUAGUUCCCGAAUUGAGACCAAGAAGCUUGAGUCCUUCUUGAAAGCCCUUUUAAAUUGCAUGGCCGAGAGCAUCUUCUCCUCGAACCUGCCACGUUCCGUGGGAACCAUGCAUGCUUUACUCCCGUCGAGGAUGCUUAGGGAGUUCGUAGCGGGUAACGGGAAGGCAAAGACUUGAUCGAAAAAUUUCAUGUCGAGGACCAUCUUGAAGUCAUAUAUGGGCACGAUAGAGAAGUCAAGUUUUCCGCUCUACGUACCGAGGGUUGUGUGUAUGCCUUGUACAAUACCCACAAUGGGUUUGGCAGGUGAGUUCACCGCCUUCAUCGUGCUUCCUUUCUUGGUGGUCUUGAAGCCUAAGCGCUUGGCCUCAUCUACGGAUACAAAAUUAUGCGUUGCUCCUGUGUCUAGCAGUGCACGAACGAACUGGUAGUUUAUUUUUACAUUCACGUACAUGAGCCCUUUCUUGGUAAGUGCAGACUGUUGGCGAUUGAGUGCACCGAGGCGUUGGAGAGAACCCAUGCUAAAUUGGGGUUCUUCUGCAGACAUAGUGGGGUUGCUCUUGAUUUGGGCCGCAAGAGUGUUGAGCGACUUCUUUUCCGGACAGUCACGUACCUAAUGAGGGCCAUUGAAUAUAAAAUAUGGGCUUCGAGGCUUUAAUGGCUCCUUUUUGCCCUCCGAUUUGCCUUGUCCGUUCUUGUUGCUAGGAGGCUUUUUUUGCCCCCAAUCUUUGCAGUUGUUUCCCUUAUCCUUACUACUCUCUCCCCCCACCUUUGCCUUGGUUAGACUUUUUGUCUUUAGAUUGGGUGGAGUAUUCGGUGAGCGACUUGGCGAUGGCGAUGGCGUCAUCAAGUGUUUGAACACCCCACCUAUCAAGCUCUGUCUUGGCACAAUCCUUGAGGCUGUCUUGGAAGUAAAAGAGGGAGUCCUUGUCGGACAUAUCGCUUAUCUCGAGUAUGAGGGUAGUGAACUCAUUAAUGUAGUUGCGAACACUACCCGUUUGUUUAAGACGACGUAAGCGCACUCGUACUUCCUUUUCCGCAUUAUGUGUACAGUAGUGAGCGCAUAUUUGCCCCAAAAUUGGGUUGGUAGGUGUUCUUGGAAUUUUAAUGCUCGGGUUACUUGUAGGAUAUGGUGAUGUUUGCAUUCCACAACCCCGUUUUGUUGAGGCGUGUAAACGCAUGAAAUUUGAAAAACAACACCAUGAUCUUGAAAGAAAGAUCAGAGUGAGAUAAAUUCUCCACCAUUGUCACUUCGAAAUAUUUUAAUGCGACGGUCAAAUUGAGUGGAAACAUGGCUGAAAAAGUGUUUAAAAGAGAUUGUGUUUCGUUUUUGGGUCGCAUCAAAAAAAUCCAUGUGAAACGAGUAUAAUCAUCAACAAUAAUGAGGAAAUAAUAAGCUCCGGUAAGGGAAGGGUGUUGAUAAUGACCCCAAAUAUCACAAUGAAUUAUUUCAAAAGGUUUUGUAGAAGAAAUAACACUGUUAUUGAAAGGAAAACGACUUUGCUUAGCCAAUGAACAUAUGGGGCAAGCAUUAUUAGACUUAAUAGAAAAAUUCAAAAAGUUCUUGGCAGUAAAACUUAAACGAGAAGGUGAUACAUGGCCUAAACGAUUAUGCCAGAGGUCGGUGUGGAUUAGAUGGUGAGAUUGCAGGCUGGUCGAUUUUUUGGUGAGGAAGGUUUUGUCACAGAUUGCUUCGGCGCUAAUGCCACCAAAAAAUAUACUCAUCUCGUUGUUUACCCAAACCAAUCGUCCUCCUCGUAGCCAGACCCUUCAAAAUACACCAAGAAGGGAAAAACAUCACUAAACAACCCAAACCUCUUGUCAAAUGACUAACUGACAUCAAAUCAACUUUAAAUGUAGGCACAAAUAACACAUUAUGUAGAUAAUAGACGGAAUUGAAAGGUAAAGACCCUUUUGCAACAAUAUUUGCUCUUUCUCCACUAGGCAACAACACGUGCGGUAACAAGCAAUUGUUAUCUUUAUGCAAUAAAUUAGAUGAUGAAGUAAUAUGAUCUGUCACCCGACUAUCAAUAGUCCAAUUUCGCGAAACAAUCUUAGACAAACCUGGCUUUGUUACCAUAUUUGCUUUGGAGUGAGAACCUUCAUUUUGAUUAUUCAGGAGUGACAAAAGUUGCUUGAGUUGAGUAUCAGAUAUUGUAAGUGAGUCUUCAUUUGUGUUUGAGCCCUCUCCAACUUGAUUAGCCAUAGAAAUACCUUUAUGCCGAUUUGGAUUUUGGCAUGAGUUUAUUUUAGCUUUAGGAUGGCCUGGUCGGUAUCCAUGCAGCUUAUAACAUUUUUGGAUCUAAUGGUCGAAAUUUCCACAGUGGUCACACAAAGGCCUACCUCUCCCAGAGCCAGAUUGACGCCGAUCUCCUUCUUGAAGUCCUGCAAGUUCCGGCGCCUGAGAGUAUGUUCGAUUGUGAGAAUCUGGAAACCCAUGAGAGCGAGUUUGUUCAGUUUUUCUUGUUGCCGAAUGAGUCAGCUUGCUGCGUACAGCCAUGGCAGCAGCGCUGUUGUUUGAAUCGGUGUUCGUAUGCGCUGAACUAAGGAGGCGUUGUUUCUCUUCUUGGGAGAUUAAAGAGUAGGCUUGGCGAAUAGAAGGCAAAUGAUUCAUAAGCAGGAUUUGACCUCGAAUUGCCCUAUAAGUUUCGUUUAAACCUAUUAGAAACUGCAUCAAUUUCUGUCGAUCGGCUUGUGCUAUGUCUAAAUGUGUUGCCAAUUCAUCCCAUAAACUUUUCAACUUAGUAUAGUAAGCUGAGACAGAGAGUUGCUCUUGUCGAAGAGAAGCAAUAUCUUGUUGUAUCUCGAAGAUGUGAGUUGCAUUGCCUUGAGAGAAACGCUCAUAAAGAUCUUCCCAAACCUCAUGAGCAGUAGGAUAAUAAGUCACACUGUCAGCUAUUUCUGGAUUGCAAGAAUUGACGAUCCAGGAAUGAACCAUAUCAUUGCAUCUCGACCAAAUCGCAUAGCCUUCAGGAUCAGUUUCUUCUGAAGGAACUUUGAUAAAACCAUUGACAAAUCUGAGCUUGUUCUUGGAGUUUAAAGCUCGAACCAUAGCCCUUUUCCAACCGAAAUAAUUAUCUCUAUUUAGAGGUUUGGAGACGAGAAUCAAUCCUGGGUUAUCCGAAUGGUGAGUGAAGAAGGGAGUGGAAAGAUUUGCCUUGGAGAAAUCUGCAAAAAUCUCUGAUUUUUGUGGAUAAGAAUUGUUGGUUUUUGGAAUAUCUUCAAGGGCCAUGAUGGCUGAAAGAGAGAUGCUACACGAGAGAUUAAAGUGCAGCGAGUCCUUGCUAUGAUACCAUGUAAAGUAUGAGAGAAAAGUAGAAUGGGCAGAAUAAUUUUAUUGUCCAUUCCUGCAUAAAUUCCUACAAUUUUUUUUUCUUGGCGUUAAGUAAUUAAGAGGCAAAUAAGCCUUAUGCUUUUUUAAUUUUAUUUUCUUACUUUUAAAGGCAGAAGUUGGGCAAGGCCCAAAUUGAUAUUUUUAGCAAUUACCUCUGCAAAAUUUGAAUUCAAGUGGCCAUUAAAAAAAAAUAAAGUGACUUGAAAUCCACUAUGUCAAGUCUUUAUGGUAACGUAAUAAGCCUUAUGUACUUCUAUUUUAUUUAUUUAUUUUAAAAAAUUAAGUACUCCUACUGAAUACAUACACCUUACAAUGGAUGUACGUAUGAGUUGUUAGAUACACUUGAUAAGAAUCUAAUAAACUCGGGUGUUUAUACACCAAGAGUGCCCAAAACUUUCACAUAUGUUUCUAUUCAUUUGUAUAUGUGUCUUACCGUGACUGACUGUACGCUGUACAGGUUAAUGCUAGUGUCCGCCUAGCAAAUUCAUCCCUAAACCAACAAAAUUGAUCUCCCAGCACAGAUGAACAGGCAUGAAAGUACAAACAUUUUUCUUUUUAAUUUGAUAAAAGAAAGAAGAGGUCCAAUUAGUACUGUCCAUUGUUUCAGGUGUCUUAAAUCGCAAAACAUCUUCACCUAUGUCGACUGCUUCCUUAAUAAAUUUGGUAAGUAUUUUUUUCCAAAAUGGUUCUUCCUUCAGUAAAGGCAAUUUAACUCCUUCGUUGAAGAGGGUGUCUAUUCUAGUGAAGUACUGGAAAGAUUGAUCUGGAUCGACAACAGCAGAUUCUAUUAUGGUAUCAAUCCAUGCAACACUGAGUAUAGUGUCUUUUUUUGAAAAUUGUUGUUCCUUUAUAUUCGAGAAUGCUUCAUCUCUGGGUACAUAAUUGGUGCUACUCCUUGUCUCUGAGGUUGGAUCUGCAUCAAAGAGAAUUGAGUUGGAUUUACGUACAACUGAUGAGAGAAAAUCAGGGGAAAAAAAGAAACAAAGAAAGAACAAAGGGCACAUAUUUAGAAUUUUAGAAAAGUUAAAUUAAAUAAAUAGUAAAAGAAGUCUUGUUAAGAAAUUUUUUUAAUUUUGUCGUCUAUGAUAGUAUUGUACAAGAAUGUAACAUUAACCAAGUAACCAUUGAUGGUAUUAUUGUACAUUAGAAUGUUACAUGUGUGUAACACACAAUUGUUACUAUUAUUUUCGGUAAUUUUAUACCGGCAUAUAUAGUUUAAACUGUCUUGAAAGUUAAGGUUUUUACCCCCCCCCCACACGUCAUCAGCAGUAUACAAGGAAAUUUACCCAUAGGACAGUAAUUUGUCAAAAUUAUUAAUUUUAAAAAUCAUAUUUACCAAACAUGAUGACUUUUAUUUAUUAGUUAUUCAUUUCAUAGGGGUUGUAGUUUUUACGCUCGUACCGAACCACAAUAGCAAACAAAAGCUCAAUCUCAAUUUAUAUAGAAGUUAAAAGAAUGAAGGACAAGGAAUAUCUCAUAAUUUUGGAAUAUCAUAUCCAGGAUAAAACUUCUAUAGGAGAAUUGACUAAUAUUGCUUGAGUAGGAACGUUUGAUCAUUUUUAUCCUUACAAAUCUUAUUAAGAAUUACUAACAAUAUUAAUCAAAGGAACUGACCUUGUUGGUAAAGAAAAUUCUCUCAUGUUUGUUGAUGUGCUUUGGCUGAACCCAUGAACAGCAUGUUAUAUUCACAUAACAAUUCCUGAAACCAUCAAGAACAAUAUCCUUCAAUUAAAUCUAUAUCUGGUGCUCAUUUUCCACCAAUAUAGCACUGACUUCUCCAAAAUUUGGUGACAGUUCGAAUUCAGCCUCAUAGUUCAUAUUGUGAAUAGACUUUACAACGCUGUAAAUCCAGAAUAGCUAUACCUGUGAAACAUACUUUUACAAUGUUGUAAAUACGGAUUCAAAGCUUUACAACAGAUUCCCUCAUUUUUUUAAUGCGGACAUGCUCUUAAGUCAUAAGGUUUCAUAAGCUUAUUUUUGAAUGAGCUAUAAAGCCAUGUAGUUUAAUAGUAUUAAAAACUAACUCUCUUAAACCGCAUGAUUUAAAAGUGUUUCUAUAUGGAAAAAAAAAUAAUGGCACCCGCCCCAGGGAAGGACUCUAUAUAAUUAUAUAUUUAUAGUCAUGAUAAGAUUGAAGACUUUACUGAAUAGAUAAUUUUUCCCCAAAAACAAAAGAGAUUUCGAUCAUUUAUUUUAAGAAAACUUGGUACACAUAGACUCUAUUAAGGAGUAAAAGAGGCAUUUUUCGAUGUUCUUGUGCAAAAAGAAGAAAGAGUUAUAAAUUAAGAUGGUUGUAGUUGAUGAAAUAAGUUGCUAUUAUUAUGCUAAUUAGGGGUGGGCAAAAUCGGAUUCGGGUCGAGUUCGGGUUAAUCCGAUCGGGUUUCGGGUUGUUCGGGUUGGACAAAUAUUAAUCCGAAUACAACCCGAUCUUACAACCCGAUCCGAUCCGAUCCGAUAUAUAUUCGGGUCGGAUCGGAUCGGGUCAAAAAAUCGGGUUGAACUAGGGUAGAAUCGGGUUAGGGUUAACAAAUCGGAUUGAGUUCGGGUUAUUUAAGUUCUAAUCGGGUUGGGUGAAAGCUUCAAAAUUAACGCUAAUUAUAUACCAUGAAAUGAAAGCUUCAAAAUCAAAAGUCACAAAGGGCAAAAACUUGGGUCGGGUACUCGGGUUGGAGGCUUGGCCUUGGAGUAGCAGAUCACGGACGGGUUUACAGCAGCAGAUCGGUGGCAGUUGGCGGCAGCAGAUGGGCGGACGUGCAACGGCAGAUCGCAGACGGCUGGACGCGCAGUGUCGGGGACUGGUCGAAGUUCGGAGAGACAGGAAUAGAUCGCAGCACUGGAGGUGGAGCGUGUGUGGCCUCCGUUGGCAGUGGCCGUUGGGAGUCGGUAGAUCGCGGCACUGCUCUGUGUGUGUGUGUGUCUUGUGAGUUUUGUACUUUUGUUUGUGUGUUCUGUGUUUGUGAUUUCUUCAAUGAAUCACAUGUUGUGAAUCUGUUCAACUAUUACAACUUGUGAAUCUGUUCUACUGUGACUAUGUGAGUGUGAUUUGUGUGUGGUGUGCGUGCGUUUAGGUUUAGGUUUAGAUUUUUUUUUUUUUAAAGCAACCCGAUCUGGUUUUCGGAUCGGGUCGGAUAUAACCCGAUCCGAUCACAACCCGAUCGGGUUUAUAAUUUAUCAUCCAAUCGGGUUAUAUUCGCAACCCGACCCGAUCCGAACCCGAAAUUUUUCGGGUCGGAUCGGGUGGGGUCGGGUCGGGUCGGGUAUUUUGCCCACCCCUAAUGCUAAUUGUAAGGGUUUAGAAAAUUAUGUUGUUGAAAGUGACUUGACUUUUAAAAUCAAAGUAUAUGCAUUUGAUAAAUUUUAUUAGUGAAAUGUUAUUUCACUGUAUAAUAACUUGAAAGAAAAUGAAAUAAAGUUGUUUGGUUACUAAGAAAAUGAAUUGAUAAUUCUGGAGAUAUUUCCUUAACAAACUUUGAUUCUUAUUUUUUUGCUUAAUCAAUUGAUUACAAAGCAUCACUUGUUUAUAUGCAAUGCAAUCACGGUAACAUCAUUUAACUAAUCCAAAGACUAACUGUAAUCAAAGCUAACUAACUUCAGUACAAUGCACAUCAUGCUUACAACAAUCUUUAACUAAUCUGCUGAGCUGGCACUGCUGACACACUUACCCUGUAACUUGCUCUGUAUUUUCUUCAUCUUAAUCUUCACCUUCUUCUGUUCAGCAUAAUAAGCUGCUCUAACAGCCCCCCUCAAACUCAGAGGACAAAGAUGGACAUUGAGUUUGGACCUCAAGUAGUUGAACCUUACAAACGAGAGAGGCUUGGUCAUUAUGUCUGCAAUCUGUUCUUCACUUGGUACAUAGUGAAUAAUCAACUCACCAGCAAAAACCUUAUUCCUAAUGAAGUGCAUAUCAAUUUCGAUAUGCUUUGUUCUUGAAUGAUACACAGGGUUCCUUGCUAGUUCAGUGGCACUGAUGUUGUCACACCAUAUGAUUGGCUUCUUUGUGCAACUUAUUCCCAACUCAGAAAAUAAGGAUUGUAACCAUGUCAGCUCUGCACUUACUGAUGCCAAAGCUCUAUACUCACUCUCUGCACUUGAUCUGGUUAUCACUGAUUGUUUCUUAGAAGACUAGGAUAUCAAAUUGUUGCCCAAAUAAAUGCAAUAAACACCAACUGAUUUCCUAUCAUCUAAGUCACAUGCCCAAUCUGCAUCAGUAAAACUAGUUAAUGUUAAGCUUCCUUCUCUGAAAAAUUUUAAACCAUAAUCUUGAGUUGCCUUCAGAUAUCUUAGAACUCUCUUGCAUGCCAUUAGAUGUUGUAGUGUUGGUGCAGCUACAUACUGGCUGAGCUUGUUUACAGCAAACACAAUCUCAGGUCUGGUAAGUAUUAGGUACUGCAUUCCUCCAACUAUGCUCCUAUAAUGAGUUGGAUCUUCAAGAUAGUAUCCAAGUUCCCCCUGAAUUACCUUUUGCAGCUUAGAGCCAGUACUCAUGGGUGUAUCAAUGCCUUUACAUUCAGCCAUUUCUACUUUCGAUAACAAAUCUCUGAUAUACUUCCUCUGUGACAAGUACAUACAAUCUGCAUCAUAUAAUACCUCAAUUCCAAGGAAAUAAGAUAACACUCCCAGAUCCUUUAGAGCAAAAGUUUUGCUGAAUUCAGUUAUGAAACCUUCCAGCUCUUCAGUAUUUGGACCUGUGAUCAGUAUGUCAUCAACAUAUAUAACAACUAUGAGCAUAGAUGCCUUAAUCCUCCUAACAAACAAUGAGGUGUCAGAACUAGUAUUAGUGAAACCCCAGCUCAUUAAGCAUCCUUUAAGCUUGUCAUACCAGGCUCUAGGAGCUUGCUUGAGUCCAUACAGAUACUUAUGUAAUUUGCAUACAAAAUCAGAUCUCUGAGCAUCCAUAAAGCCAUCAGGUUGAGACAUGAAAACUUCUUCUAUUAGCUCUCCAUUCAAAAAGGCAUUAUUGACAUCCACUUGCCUUAUUCUCCACUGAUUCAUCACUACCAGGCUAAGUAUUACUCUAACUGUGGCUGACUUCACAACUGGACUAAAUGUCUCAAAAUAGUUAACCCAUGCCACUUGCUGAAAACCCUUUGCAACAAGUCUAGCUUUAUACUUAGCUACACUUUCAUCUGUAUUAUAUUUGAUUCUAUACACCCAUUUAUUUCCAACCACAUGCUGAUCAGCUUGUCUUGGAACCAAUGUCCAUGUAUGAUUCUUAAUUAAGGCAUCAUAUUCCUCCCUCAUAGCUUGUAGCCACUUUGGAUCAUUUAAUGCCUCUUGCACAGUAUCUGGUUCCUUGUGAGUAAGCACAGCAGUAUAAAUUUUGGGCUUGAAAAUCCCUGCUUUACUUCUGGUUAUCAUCUGAUGUGUAUUUGGUUGUGUAUAUAGAUAUAAAGAAGUAUUGCUAGGAUGAUGACUUUGUAUAGGUAAAGAGUGAUGUGGAGGUUUUGGAAUAUUUUGUAUAGGUUCAACAAUUAUUGGACAUGUAUAGAAAGAUGACAUGUUAUUUACGGUAGCUUAUUGUGAAUUCUGAUCAGUUGCUGUCUGUUCUAGAUGAUCUGAGUGACUUGAACUGCUGCUUCCAGAUCUUACAGAGUUCAGAUUACCAGUACUGUUAUUGACAGGCAAAGAAGAGAUAUGAUGGAUUUGCUGUGGUGUACGAGAAUGAGAAAUUUGAGAAUCAGUUUUAGCAUGACUAUGAAAAACAGACUCAGUGGCAUAAGGAAAAACUGAUUCAUCAAAGGUAACAUGUCUUGCCACAUAGACUCGACCUGAAGGGUGUAAACAUUUGUAGCCCUUAUGUGAAGGACUGUAACCAAUGAAUAUAAACUUACUAGAAUGGUAGGCAAAUUUAUGUUUAUUGUAAUCUCUCAAGUAAGGAUAACAAGCACACCCAAAACAUCUGAGAAAAUCAUAAUCAGGUUUGUGUUUGAAUGUCUUUUCAUAUGGGGUUAAGAGUUGCAAAAUAGGAGAUGGAAGUCUGUUGAUGUGAUAUACAGCAGUAUGGAAUGCAUCCCACCAGAACUUAAAGGGAAGUUGAGCUUGAGCUAAGAGAGUCAGACCCAAUUCAACAAUAUGCCUAUGCUUCCUUUCAACUAACCCAUUCUGAUGAUGAGUAUAAGGACAAGGAUGUCUAAAGAUGAUACCAAAUUGGCUUAAAAACUCAGUGAAUGGUCUAUACUCUCCCCCCCAAUCAGAUUGCAUCAUCUUAAUGGUUGUGCUAAACUGAUUUUCAACCUGUAGUUUAAAGAGCUUAAAAACUUCUAAUGCCUCAGACUUUAGCUUCAAAGGAUAAAUCCAUGUAUACCUGCUAAAGUCAUCUACAAAACUUAUAUAAUACUGAUAACAAUCUCUAGAAAUAAUGGGAGAAGGACCCCAUAAAUCAGUAUGUAUAAGUUCUAGAAUUUUGGAGGUUUUGGUUUCAGUAAUUGGAAAAUGAAGUUUAUGUGUUUUGCCCAUUUGACAGGCCUCACAGAUAUACUGAUGCAUUUGUUGUUUUUGAUAUGCAGGUAAAUGAAUAGAUUUUGCUGUCUUGAGUAUAUAUGUUAGUAUUUGAUGAUUGGGAUGACCAAACUUUCUAUGAAGUAAAAUACCUUUAUUAACUGAAGUUUUACAAGAUGAAUCAUCAGUUUGAUUACAUGAUUUUUGAGAUUCUGUAACAACUCCAGAAGGAACAGAAUUGAAACAACAACAAGAAAGCAUAAACAAAGGUUUAUUGGAACACAUGUGAGAAAGAAAAGAUGAGUGUGAUAACUGAGAGGAUGAUGAUGAUUUCAAUAACAGCUUGUAUAACCCUUUCUCAGCAAGACCCUACAGAAGCACCUGUCCCAUCAGAGAAUCCUUCACAAAACAAACAUUUCCAAGAAAUUCAACAGACAAGUUGUUAUCAGUGGUAAGCUUCGAGAUACUUAACAAAUUUUUGGUAAUGGAAGGCACCAACAGAAUAUCUUUAAGUGCUAUAGGUGAGUGUUUGUGUGUAGAAUUGGAACUUUGAAAGAGAAAGAAUGCAUCACCAACAUGAGUUAUGGGUAAACCUUGUCCAUUUCCAAUAAUGAGCUGAUCUGCUCCAGUGAAUUGAUCUCUGAUAUGCAUAUUGGCCAUGUUGUUAGUGAUGUGAUGUGUAGCUCCACUAUUAAGAUACCACCCUUCAUCAGCUGGUCCUUCAAAAUUUGCAAUAUAAGCUGCUCCAGGUGCAGAAUGCAUAUCAGAUGAGUGAUGACUUACUGAUGCAUUCAUAUCAGGUGGAUGGUACCCAUGAUAACCAGGAUAUUCUGUAGCAAAAGAAUCUUCAAAUUGUGAAGUAAAGCCAAUUUGUGGAUCAAAGUUAGCCAUAUAAGCAGACUUAUGCCCUCUGCCCCUUCCAAAUUGUCUAGGUUGAGGAGCAUAGCCAUCAAAGUGUCUGUGCCAACAAACAUCAGCUGCAUGUCCAGCUUUAUGACAGAUUUGACAGAUAAGCACAUUAUCAUCAGAUCCAUUGCCAUUGGACAUUGAAGUUGAACCAUGAUUCAUAUUGAAAUUAUGCAUGUUGUUAAGUAUAGGUUUAUAAGCAUAUGCAUUCAUUUGCUGUCCUCUACCACCAGCAUUACCAGUAUAUCCACCAACUGGAAAUCCUCUUGAGAAUGAAUUGAAAGACAUUCCUCUUCCUCCAUUUUGAUUCCUAUUACCAGCAUUAAAUUGCCCUUGAUACCCACUAUAACCACCUCUCUUAUUAUUUCCUCUAAACUGAGAGUAGUUAGCAUUCAUCAUCCCAUAGUUUGCACUAAACAGAUCUUUAGUAUUCUGAUUUUGUCCCAUUGUUGCCUCAUGUGUUAAGAGUAAUGCAUAAGCAUCAUCGACAUCCUAUUAGCAGUAAUUAUUGAAGCAAGAUCUAGAAAUCUAGGUCCUAGGCCAUUCAAAAUUUGCAUUAGCAGAUCUUUCUCAGACAUAGGACUACCAGCACAAGCAAGCUUAUCAGCAACAACCUUUACUUUUAAACAGUCCUCCUCAACAGACAUAUUCUCUUUUCUAAGGACAUUCAUUUCAUACCUCAAUUGCAUAACUCUAGCCUCAGAUUGUACUCCAAACUGUUUUUCAAUUGAUCUCCAUGCUUCAAAUGAAUUUUCGCAAUUAAGAACAGUAUUUAAGAUACCUUCACUUAUGGAGGAUAAAAUCCAGCCAAGCAAAGUUUGAUUCUGAGCUCGCCAGUUUAUGUAAGCUGGAUUCGUGAUUCUCUGUACUGAUCCAUCAGCUACUGUAUUAGAAAUAUAUUGUUCUGGUAUGAUUUGAUUUCCAGAAACAAAAUCUUCAAGACGAUUUCCUCUUAUUGUAGUAAGAACUUGCUUUCGCCAAAUCAUGAAAUUUGAUCGAUCCAAUUUGACUAGAGUGCUGAACGAAAAGGAGAUAUGUGAUGAUUGAUUUAUAUUCAUUUGAUUUGGAUUUGAUGUUGUGCUACUGGAACUAGCUAUUAGAGUGGCUCUGAUACCAUGAAAGAAAAUGAAAUAAAGCUGUUUGGUUACUAAGAAAAUGAAUUGAUAAUUCUGGAGAUAUUUCCUUAACAAACUUUGAUUCUUAUUUUUUUGCUUAAUCAAUUGAUUACAAAGCAUCACCUGUUUAUAUGCAAUGCAAUCACGAUAACAUCAUUUAACUAAUCCAAAGACUAACUGUAAUCAAAGCUAACUAACUUCAGUACAAUGCACAUCAUGCUUACAACCAUCUUUAACUAAUCUGCUGAGCUGGCACUGCUGACACACUUACCCUGUAACUUGCUCUGUAUUUUCUUCAUCUUAAUCUUCACAUUCUUCUGUUCAGCAUAAUGAGCUGCUCUAACAUAACUAAAAUAUACAUAAGUUACUCAUCUUGUGUUUUGUAUUUUUAAAUUAAGUUUUAAUAUAUAAGUUAUCUAGAAACAUCUUUUUUAUAUUUAAACACGUAAAUUUAUGUGAAUUAAAAAAAAAACUAGUUAAAAAUCCAAUCAACUUUAUAUAAAUCGUCCAUAUAAAAUAUGACAAAAUUCAUAGCAUAAUUGCCGUAAAGUCGUCUGGAGUUGUAGCGCUAGUCUAGUGUUUCGUCAUGGUUCGUAAAUUCCAGUGAGCACACUAUUGUCAUCGUCUGAAACAAUGCUUGGGAUAUUAAUGAAGUCAAAAAUCUCCCGAUCAUGCAAAAGUGCAACUGUACCAUAUAAAGAUUUGUAGUCCUCUGUAACGUGAUCCACUAUAACAUCCUCAUUAUCCUCCCACGAUGUUUAAUCUGCAUGUCUUGGAUGUUGGAUUUCAUAGCUUUAGUCUGGCAGAAGCACGGUAAACUUUCGAACAUCUAUCUGCAUCUUUAAGCCAUUUAAUUCAUUUUAUGGAUUUAUAGAUUGAAAAUAUUUAAAAAUAUAGUGGAAAAUUUGCCGGAUUCUCAAGUUUUCUGUACGAUCUUUGUGCGGUAAGUUCUAUUUUGUUUUGUUAGAUGAAAUUAGCGAGACUUGCUAAUGAAGUUCAGGGCGGGUCAUUUCAUUUCACUUGCUAUUUUGGUAUGCUAAAAGGACGACGUCGUUUGCGUACAGCCAAACAAUUUAGCGUUUAAGUGAUACUGCUGUCGGACGUACAAUAUAUUACUUCUCUGAUUUGAAAGACCAUAUGUACAGCUUCUGCGAGGUUUGCACAGGCUAUACUGAUUAUAUAUGGCCAACUUGGUAAAAGUCUUUUCAAACUGCAAAGUUUUUUUUCAUUUUUCUUUUGAAAUAAAAAUCAAGUAGGUCUUUGUUAGAGUGCAAUUUAUGGACUAGUUUUGUAUUUUUUACUUCCCUUAAUAUCGAUGUUUUGCACUUAAUAAUAAUGUUUUACUUGUGUUUUACUUUUGUAGGUGCAAUUCUAUUGAUUGGUGAUAAAAUUGAGCUAAAAGAUGAUGUUUAAGGAGGAUUGUUCUCUUGGAGAAAUUAUGAGCGUCAGAAGAACUUUGUUGAUAAGGCGUGGGCGCGUGCUGUCAACUGCGGACCUGCAGUUUUUAGUUUAACGUGUUUUGUAUUUUUGGUUAUUUUUGUAAUUACGAAUUUAAUAUUUCAGAUAUUAGUAUUUUAUUUUAAAUAGAAUUCUAAAAGAGAAGAGAGAGAGAGUAUUUAAGGGAGGAAUCUAUUGUGAAAAAGGGGGGGAUUGGGAUUGGAGAAAAAGAAAGAAACCCUAGAUCUAAUUUUUCUCUUCUCUCUAUAAAGAACUAAACCUAUUUUUCUGGUUGAAGGUUAAUGAAGCUUUGAUUCAUCACUACUGUGAGAUCUUUCUUAUGCUUUAAUUGUUUUAUUACUUUUUGGGUAUUUGUUUAUUUUCUGAAUUAGUUUCAUGAUUAUGUUUGUUAAUUAGGUAAUUGGCCACUAUUUAAUUAUCAACUUAAUCUAUUGUCAAUUAAAAGAUUCAUCGUAUGAGGAUUUUAAUGUUUGUGACAAAUAACAUAGCAAUGAGUUGUGUUAUGAGAAUAAACAAUCUAAUUUAAAUGAAUCAUCAUAUGUGUUGAUUAGGAUUUGGGUCUCUCUGGUUUUUCAGGCUGUCAAUUGAUUAAAUCCUAUGAUCGUAUCUAGGGUUGUCUAUUGAUUAGGGAAAUAACCAACGGUCGUACCUUGGUUAUCGACUGGUUAAGGAGAGAUUGGCUAUUAGAGGGUCUCAAUAGCUAUAACCGGUCUAUUCAUAAGUAAUAAUAAUCUAUAUUUGAAUCAAUGAUCAGUAGUCGAAUCAAGCUGAGUUAAUUCCUUCAACCAGAGCUUUCUCCUAUUUGAAUCACAACUUUAAUUUACAUUCUCGUUAUUUUAAUUUGAUUUUUAUUAUUGUCAACAAUUCCCCCAUUUUACGUUUUACGUUUCAAAAGGAUUUAAAUAAUUACCGAUCUCUGUGGACACGACCCUGCUCAAUCACUAUACACAAUUUAUUUAGAGUAGGAAUUUAUUUUUGUUGGCUUCGACACCCAUCAGUCUUCUUGUAGGAUUCGGAUUCUUCUUGUAGGAUUAAUCCCUUCUUGUAGUGUUGUCUUUAGAGAGCACUUUAAUUUUGAAUUUUUGGAUUUUUGUGAUCCUUUUGAAAUGUAAAAUUGUUUUUGUUUAUUCAUUUUAAAACUUUUUAGAAUAUGGUAGUAGGUAAAGCAUAAAUUAAUUUUUAAUUUGUGCUGUUUUUAAGAUUCGAAAUCGAUCAGUAAAAAAAAAAAACUUUGUUAUAAAAUUAAAAUAAAUGUAAUAUCUAAUAAGAUGUUCAAAAUAUUAAGAAAAUUAAAAAUAUUAAGAGAGAUUUUUUUUUUUACUUUUUUAUUGAACCUCGCUCGGUGAGCGAGGCAACUUUAUUUAAAGAAAAAACAGAAGAUAAAAUGAUAGAAUACAUAUACUAAAGUUGACGAUCGAACACCACUGCAUGCAUUCGAAGGCUUUAGCAGAACGUCCAAUUUCUCAAAAUAAUUUCAUUGACGCAAGAUCUAGACGAUUGCGAAUCUAGAUAGAGAUGCUGUAUGGAACUCCUUUCUCCUUGUCGCCAUCUUUCCAAAAUGGCUUCAAGAGGUUAUAUGGAACAACCCCAGCUCCAUUUCUAUUCUUCAAAUUGAUGUCUCCAUUCCUCUCAUUGAUAGUACCUUCAAGCUCCAUCAACCUGCCUCUAAAUUCUUCGAAAGCAACCUUUAUUUCUGGAUCUUCACCCCACGCUGGCUCCAUAUCUUUCCCUAAAAACUCCUCAUCAGGAGAAUGACAUGAUAGCACGCUUAAAAUUAGCAUAACUUUAGUAGCUUGUGUCGGAUUGGGGAAGGUAUGCAAAAGUGCAUUAUCAGGUUUUUCAUUGAAUAUCUUCCAAAUUUCAUUCGAUUUAUCUUCAUCUGGCAUGUUCACUCUUGUAAUAGUUGGCCUGUUGGGGAAAUAGCCUGCAUAUGUGUAUUGGCCAAAGUUUACAGCUGCAUGCUGACCAGAUGUUACCCAAAUGAUAGUUGUUAUGGUUUCAAUUAGAUUCUGAGGGGUUUUCAGGACAGGCCACCAUGGUUCAUCCUUUUUGUCGCCGUGUCCGACCGUUCGAAUUUCGAUCCACCAAGCUUGGAGCUCUUCAUCAGACUCCACAAGGCUUUGAUUUGGGUAGUAGUGAUUCACAUAAUCGGUAACCCAUUUUUUUAAGAUAUCCCAGAGAUCGAGACCAUCCUUGGCAUAUGGGUAGUCUUCAAUUGUUAGCUUUAAGCCGUGUGGAGAACAUGGAUCUUCAGCUGCCAUUCCCCUGCUAAUAAGGUUUUUGGGGAGUGCUUCAUGGUCAAAGCGCCACUGCUUGUCAUACGCAACCGAGCUUAGCUCCAUACUGUAUUUUCCAGGUGAGAAUGUGGAUUCAAUGAUUCCACCAGCAUUAACAAGAUCGUUUCGAGCGAAAGCAUUGAUCUCCACUGUGUAUCGGAAAUGAGGAUGCAACAAUCUAUAGAUAGGAUGGAUCACACUCAGUUGUCGAUUGGUUGCAAUUACAUAAGGUUCUACAACGCAAUGGGUGCUCAACCUGCAAAGAGUAUGAGAGCCGAGUCUGGUAUUAUAGUGCAUAACUGAGUGUGAAAUAAAAGCUUUAAUUAUCAAACAAACGUUAGUAUUAUUUGGUAAAAUAAGAUAAAAAAUAAUUUUAAUAAAAAUUAUAAAUAUACUGUUGAUGCUUAAAUCUGCUCGCCUUUUGACCGACCAGAUUCUUUCACCAACGUUUGUGUUGUCAACUGUUGCUCGGACAACUGGGGUUGGAAUCGCCCUCCUUUCUAUUACUAGACCUGCGUUCACCAAAAACGGAUCAGAGACGCCGGUGGUUUUGCCGGCGUAAACCCUCCGAUGCCUAAGUUAGCACAAGGUGUUUACGGGAAAACAAUGUAAUUUGGAUUCAAGAAGGGUUUCUAACUUGUUUCGAAGUUCUUAAGAAAAAGGCCUGAUUGCAAUUUGGCAGCGUUUUCCCUCUCUUAAUUUUUCUAUCCCCCCACUUCAUUGAUUUCUUCUUCUUUUUAUAGCCGCUGUCCCCACGUUCCCGUUUGCCCUUCAUCCCACCUUUUUCGGGUAGUGGUAGCCUCUCAUGGGACUCUAACUGCUGCACUAUGGGCAAACGUGGGAUCUCGCGUCUCCCGCAACGGUUCUGGGAAAGCGCAACUACCGUGAUUCUGUGAGAUCGUGUUUCCGCUUUUUGGGGGACGGGUACCGGCUCGGUAUAUGGCUCUGGUCAGUAUUCGUCUCUGAUCGGCUCAUGUUACCCCCUGUUCUGCUCGUACCAUUUGGCUGAGGUGAUUCAUGCCGGGGUGGAAAUAGUAGCAUGGCCGACUUGGUGCUUUUAUUUGCUUAACACCAGUCCCCCAGUUUCUGGUCUUGUGAGUGAAAUGAGUCAAGAGUAGAAACUGAUAGUCAAAUCUUACCAAUCCGGGGGCUUCUCCUCUGGUCUUCCGUCUACCGGGAUGGACCUGAGGUAUCAUUUUUCUUCAGGGGAGAUUUUGACCUGAGCAUGGGCCUAAAUGAGUAUGUCCAUUGCGUAUCUGGGCUCGCAUCUAGCCUGGCCUCUUAUAACGAUUGGUGACGUGGCAUCUCCCGACUCUUCGUAUUUGAAAUUUGAAACGACGGGCUAUCUGUCCUUGAUGUACGGUGAGUGAACUGGCGUCUCUAUCACUUAAAUGCUUUCAUUUCCCCCUUUUUGUUUCAAAUCCCUAGACUUAUAUCUUCAUCGCUUUGUUAUUCAUCUCUUCGUCGUUAACUAACUCCCUCUCUGAACUUUGCUUACACUUCUCGUGUCUGGAGUAUCCACUCGCUGGAUUUUUUCUCUAUCACGGUCGCGCUAUCAGUGCCAGUUCAAUCCAGGUAUUGCCUUUAACUUCUCCUCUGGUUGUUGUUGAUUGGGUUCUUUGUUGCCCUUUUUGUGUCCAUAUACUCGAGUUUUCUUUGUUUUCUUUUGAGGUUCCGAUAUGUCAAACCGAAAAAGAAAAUUAAUUGUUGAUGAGGAUGAUGAAGAAUCAGGGGAUUCAGGCCUCAACGUGUCAAUACCCACCGAUUUCUUAAGUUCCUCCAGUAAUGUAGGUCCUUCCCAUGGCAGGGAUACCCUUGAGUGCCCACGCCCCUUGGUUGUCUCUUCCUCUCCCGAACUAGAGCUUGUAGGGAAUAGAGGUGGACAUGCGUCGGGAUCUGGUGAGAACCACAACUCAAGUGGGGUUGGGAUCCCUGAAGGAGUUGGCGAUAGUGAGGGGAGCAGUUCCGGACCGAGCGGUCCUGCUAAGAAAAGGAAUCUUGGCCAUAGGGUGGAGGCUGAUUCCUACCCUAUUAAUUACAUAGCCUGUGCCACCACCCAAACUGACUUAUUCAAGCUUAGGAACCUCUACGACAUUCCUGAUGAGGUUCUCCUUAUAGUUCCUGGGAAGGGUGACGUUCCUAGUCGGCCUCUACGGGGGUAUGUGACAAUGCACCUAGAGAGUUUCAAACUAGGAGCUCGACUGCCCCUUCAGCGUUAUUUUGCCAAAAUAUUGGGGGGUAUGCACCUGGCCCCAGGUCAGCUACACCCGAACGGGUGGAGGGUUCUCUCGGCAAUGUUUGUGUUGUGGGAGAGGUGCGGGUCGGAGGAGCCUUCCCUUGUUGAAGUGAAACAUCUGUAUCAGCUGCGGAGCAGCCCAAGGGAGGCGGGCUGGUAUUACUUCAUGUCCAGUUCCGCAAAGAGAAAGCCAAUCACUGGUUUCCCCUCCUCGUGCAAAAAUUGGAAGAACAAAUUCUUCUUUGCUGGGGGAAAGUGGUGUUCAGCACUCCGUUCGUUGGGUGGUGGUAUUUACCUUCCAACGCAGUUUGUCACCCCAGGUCGUUCAUUUUUUGCCUAUAUUCUUUCUCAAAUUGUCACUUAUCGAGUUUUUUUAACCUCUUUUGCUAUUUCAGAGUCGUGGGGUUUGAUCGGGGGGCUUGAAGAUCGACCUUUGCUUCAGGUGGAAACUGCUCUGUUGAACGCGUCUACCUGCCAAGACCUCAUGUCGCCAACAAACCUGGUCGGUUCGGGCCUAGUGGACAUAGCCGCUGGAAUGGAUAACAAGAUCCUCAGCACGAUGAGCAGGAAGCGUGGUCGGGCUCCAAGUAGCUCCAGCAACCUUCCAUUUUCUCCAAAAAAACCCAGCGUCGGUCCUUCCAAGGCGCCUGUUCCUGCUCUGCCCUCUCCUCCACCUCGUAAGAGUGGUGGGGAGAAAACCUACGACAAGAGUCCUGAGGUCAGCUUGCAGUCUGGGGACCGAUCUUCUCCUCUUCCAUCUCGGGAUCAAGGUGACUACCUGAGCCCAUAUCAGAAGGAUUAUAAAAAAUCGGUUGGGCCCAAGAUGGUGAAGGACAUCGAGAGCAUGAGCCUCUCCGAGUUAGCUGCUUCUAUUCAGAGAGUCUCCUUCAGGUUGUCCACAAUGGUCUCGUGCUACAAGACCGGGUCCGCGCGUCAUGAGAAGAAGCUUCAAGCUGACAAUCAGGAGUUGAAAAAGAAAGCUGAAUCUGCUGACCGCUCCAAGGAGAAACUAGCCGAGCUGAACAAGCAGAUUACGGAGCUGGAGGAGAAAGUUGCAGUUGCUGAGUCUACUACCUCCAGGUUUGAGGGUGAGUUGGAUGGCCUGAAAUCGGACCUUCAGGUAACUCAAAGUGAAAGAGAUACUUUGAGGACCGCCCUUGAGGGAGAAAUCAAAUCCCUGAAUGAGCAGCUGGCUGAGGAGAAAGGCAAAUCCGUUGAUGUGGACGAUCGGUUGGAUGCCGAGUAUGACUCGGGGGUUGCUUUCUCCUAUAAGUGUAUCAUGUCUGUGCUUCAGGGAGAAUAUCCCGAGCUGGACAUGAGUAAGUUGGAGGGUGGAGUGCAACGGUAUAUGGCAGAGGUCGGCCAGGCGGACAAGGAGCAGGGUGAGCAGGAUCAGAUGGAGGCUCCUUUGGAUGGGGUGCAAGAGAGGGAAGUUGGGGGACGCCCUUUCGAAGUGGGUCAAAGGUCCAUGCCUCCUCCUCCCGGCAUUGCUGAUCUCCCACCUCCUGAUGUUGCUGAUCCCUUGCUUUCCGAGCUCGCUGAUCCUUCAGCUGCUGGAGCCGUUGACUCUGCUAAGCUUUGAGCCUAUUUUUGUAUAAACUCUAGAUUUGCAUUUGUUUUGUAAACAAUUGAACAUUUAUAAAUUUUUAGAUGCUCUUUAUUUGUUUUCUUGUCCGGUUUUUGCUCAUAGAUUGUUUCUGAAAAACAAUUGGACAACUUAUCUGAUUUUGCCUGCUGGUUCCUUAGCGGACUGAGCAGGAGUAGGCAUUUACUUGCCUUAGUAAAAUUUCCAUAAAACUGGUUGCUUGUCUUCAUUGACCGAGCCGAACUAGGCACUUACUUGCCUUAGUAGGAUUUUUUGUAGAAUUAGCUGCUGGUCUUUCGUUGACCGAGCAGAAGUAGACACUUACUUGCCUUAGUAGAAUCUUCGUAGAUUUAGCUGCUGGUCUUUCGUUGACCGAGCAGAAGUAGGCACUUACUUGCCUUAGUAGAAUCUUCGUAAAUUUAGCUGCUGGUCUUUCGUUGACAGAGCAGAAGUAGACACUUACUUGCCUUAGUAGAAUCUUCGUAAAUUUAGCUGCUGGUCUUUCGUUGACCGAGCAGAAGUAGGCACUUACUUGCCUUAGUAGAAUCUUCAUAAAUUUAGCUGCUGGUCUUUCGUUGAUCGAGCAGAAGUAGGCACUUACUUGCCUUAGUAGAAUUUUCGAAGCUUUAGCUGCUGGUCUUUCAUUGACCGAGCAGAAAUAGACACUUUGUUGCCUUAGUAGAAUAUUCGAAGCUUUAGCUGUUGGUCUCUCGUUGACCGAGCAGAAACAGGCACUUUGUUGCCUUAGUAGAAUUUUCGAAGCUUUAGCUGCUGGUCUUUCGUUGACCGAGCAGAAAUAUGCACUUUGUUGCCUUAGUAAGCAUUUAAUGGGCUUGCUAGCAGAAGGGUUCCAUACUGAAUUCACCUUUAUUGAAUUUCGAAUGCAUUACAGAAGUGUGGGAUAUCUGUGUGUGUCACAAAUCACCGUGCUCAUAACAGAAAUAACUUAUCACAAUGAAAAUUAGUAUAGCACUUUGCUUACUGGAAGUACUUUUUCAAGUGCUCGGCGUUCCACGACCUCUUCACCUCUCGUCCGUCUGGAUACGCCAGCUUGUAGGCUCCUGGUCCAGUUGCUCGUAUCACCCUGUACGGGCCUUCCCAUUUUGGACCAAGAGCUCCGUGGUUGGGAUCCCUGGUGUUUUGGUUCACCUUCCUGAGCACCCAAUCUUCUGUUCGGAACUGCCUCACCCGUACGUUCUUGUUGUAAUAACGUGUGACCCUUUGCUGACACUGGGCCACUUUCUGCGAAGCCCCUUCCCUUUUCUCCUCCAGCAGGUCCAGGCUCAAGCAGAUCUGCUCGCCAUUUCCUCCUCAACCAAUCAUGACCCGAUCUUCACUACCCUGCUCGGGUUGCUUUUGCUUACCGCAACUUCCUCCAGUUUCUCAACAGGCUCUUGGCGGCCCUUUUUGGACUCUCUUCGAUUAUCUAGAGAAGUAACCUGUAGUGUCUCCUUGGCCGCUGCAGCAUAACAGCUCCUUGCCAUCCUCUGGUCGCCUUUUACUACGCCAACCACCCCAUUUACUCUGUAUUUCAGUGCCAAGUAAUGCGUGGAUACAACGCAUUGACUUAUCCUCAUGAAUGGUCUCCCCAGUAUCAUCUGGUAAGGGCUUCUUUCCUCUACCACGACUAAAUCCAGCAUCAUUGUUCUUUCAAAUGGCUUCGUCCCCAUAGUAAUUGGGAGUUUGAUGAUCCCCAUGGGAGUUAACCGUCCCCUCCAAAUCCCUUUAAGGAUGUAUUUGUCCGCUCCAAUUUCAAGUCUGCGAUCCCCAUAUCAUCUAGAGCCGACUUAAACAGGAUGUCAACCGAGCUGCCUGUGUCUACUAGUAUUCGUCGCAAUUCUGUACCGGCCACCAUUGCCUUGAUCACCAAUGCAUCCUCAUGCGGAUAUAAGAUACCCUCUUCAUCGUCAUUUGUCCACAUAAUGGGAACUUGCCGCACUUUUGCCUUCUUGGUUGCCGGCAAAUUGAAAAGCACUUCUUUGCUAGUCAGGGCAUAUCUCCCAUAGUUCUUUCGUGCCCUGUUCGAAUCCCCAGCCAAUGUUGGCCCCUCUGCUAUUACACGGAUAGUCGGCUGUUCACGUUUCAGGCCCAUCUCAGCUCCUUCAUCCCGCGUGUACUGUGAUUCAGUGACGGGGGAUGUUCCAUCUACAUAUUCGUCCAAAUAACGGUUUCUCACCAAAUCCUCCACCUGAAUUUUCAGGUCACGACAUUGGCUGAUAGUGUGACCAUGAGUGUCGUGGAAUUUGCAGAAUUUGCUCUUAUCCCGUCGGUGAGCCGGUUUUGUUAUAGGGGCUGGAGGGUACAGCAGGCAUCGUCCCUCGAUCCUCUCAUACAAUUCCUCCAUGGAGAUCUUUAAUGGAGUGUACUGUCUAUAUGCCAAGCUCUGGUCUAUCAGCUGAACUGCUCAGCUAUCAUGAAUGUCACCUCGGGCUGGCACCGUCGCUAACUGAUCUGGUCGACUAGCCCUGGAAUUGGUUGCAUGUAAUGCUCUGGGAGUGUUGUGAUAGGGGUGGGCAGCCAUCUGCCGGAAUUCUCGUUGCCGAUCCGGAAAUGGGGGACGUGGAGGUUGAGCCCGGUUGUGCUGGAACUGCUGUGAUCUCGGAGCUAUGGGGUAAGGGCGGGACCGAGCCGAUAUUCCGCCCAUCACUGAAGAUUCUCCAGCUCGUUUUCCCGACCCGCUCCCUGUCGGGGCUCUCCGUUCCUUUCGCCUCAGCUCGUCCAACUGUUCACUUUUUAUUCUCGCCGAUUUCUCCUCUUCGAUUUCUAUAUCUCGCCUCGCCUGCUCAUACCCCGACGAGUAAUUCUGCACAAGGGGGCUUCUUAAGUUAUACCACAGUCGGCCGAUUCUUACACCUUCUUUUAAUCCCCUCAACGCCUGCGGGUGAUUAAAAGCUCCCAGAUCCAGCACGGCUCGGUGGUAUCGUUUUACAAAAUCUCGAAGGGAUUCAUGCUCCUCCUGUUUCAUCCCCAUCAGUUCCAUCAUGUCGUCCUCUGGGGCCACUGCCCCUCGGAACUGCUCAGCCAACUCCUGGCACAUCUGCUCAUACCCCUUUAUACUUCCUCGGGGCAGCUUGCGGUACCAUUCUCAGGCUCGUCCUUCUAAUGUCAACGGGAACACCCUGCACCUCUGAGCUGGUGUCAGCCCCUGCACACCCGUCAUGUCGUUGAAACUCUCAAUGUGCACCAGCGGGUCACUUCGCCCGGAGUAUUUGAGGUCGGGGAAGCGGAAAUCUCUUGGGAUUAUGGUACCCAUGAUCUCGGUUGAUAGUGGCGAUUCUUCAUCCAGCAUUAUCCUCCAGCUUGGGGGCUUCCUCUUACCCUGUAUCUCCUCUAUCACCUGCGCUAAUCUGCGCACCUCUCCCUCCAAUUCUACAGCGCGGUCAGGAUCAUGUGCAGCUAUCUGAUCUCGCUCCUGCUCGACAUUCUGCAACCGCUGUCUUAACUCUCCUUCAUCAGCAUUGGCCCCUCGGCCAUCAGCUUCCGGUGCUCGCCUGGGGCGAGGUUGGUUCCUCCCUUCAUCUACUUGUUCUCCCGGAACCCGACCAGUGCUUCUGUGGGCAUGCACCCCAUAAGGUUGGUCCGCCGGCGGAGGGAUUUCCUCGACUCUACGCCUCCGGAGGCUGGGUUCUUCUCCAACUUCAUCUCUUCCCACGGGGGUUUCACAAUCCCUUCUCCGCUCAUCCCUCAGCUCGAACAAUAUGGUUGCGAGAGUCUCCAUUUGUUUCUCCAUCCGCUCCAGUCUAUCUUGCAUCAUCUUCUCUCGGGCUUCAUUUGUAAUUUCCCGGAGAGUGACUGUCUCCCCAGCUUCGUUAUCCUCCCUCAAAGCGUCCUUCCUUGUCACAUCUAUGCCUAACCGUUCGCUGUUUUUCCGGUAACUACUAAUUCGGUGGUAGCUUUUUAUCCAGUUCCCCACAGACAGCGUCAAAAUGUUGAUGCUUAAAUCUGCUCGCCUUUUGACCGACCAGAUUCUUUCACCAACGUUUGUGUUGUCAACUGUUGCUCGGACCACUGGGGUUGGAAUCGCCCUCCUUUCUAUUACUAGACCUGCGUUCACCAAAAACGGAUCAGAGACGCCGGUGGUUUUGCCGGCGUAAACCCUCUGAUGCCUAAGUUAGCACAAGGUGUUUACGGGAAAACAAUGUAAUUUGGAUUCAAGAAGGGUUUCUAACUUGUUUUGAAGUUCUUAAGAAAAAGGCCUGAUUGCAAUUUGGCAGCGUUUUCCCUCUCUUAAUUUUUCUAUCCCCCCACUUCAUUGAUUUCUUCUUCUUUUUAUAGCCGUUGUCCCCACGUUCCCGUUUGCCCUUCAUCCCACCUUUUUCGGGUAGUGGUAGCCUCUCAUAGGACUCUAACUGCUGCACUAUGGGCAAACGUGGGAUCUCGCGUCUCCCGCAACGGUUCUGGGAAAGCGCAACUACCGUGAUUCUGUGAGAUCGUGUUUCUGCUUUUUGGGGGACGGGUACCGGCUCGGUAUAUGGCUCUGGUCAGUAUUCGUCUCUGAUCGGCUCAUGUUACCCCCUGUUUUGCUCGCACCAUUUGGCUGAGGUGAUUCAUGCCGGGGUGGAAAUAGUAGCAUGGCCGACCUAGUACUUUUAUUUGCUUAACAUAAACUAUAAAUUUUUAAUCAAAUAACUGAGAUUUAAAUCAUUAUAGCAUUCAAACCACAGCUACUACUAACAUUUACCAAACAGUACAUAAGAGUUAUAGUUUAAAACCCAUGGCUCCUCAAUAGCAGUACUAAACCGAGCCUAAGUAGCCAAUGCUCCAUCGCGUUAAAAAAUGACUUGCUUUACAAAGAUUUUUAUUGAAUGUGGGAGAAAUACACUUACCAAUGGCUGACAAGCUGAUGAUAGCCAGCAUCAUGAGCAAGAACAUGAGCUUUGGCUAGCCUCCAAAGCCAGGAAUCAGUAGAAUUCCAAGAGGGUGUAUACACUUUUCUCCAAAGUGGCUUGCCGUCCAUUGGGGGCCGAGUUAGCUCAAUGGCUAGUGGUCUCAAUGUUUCAUCUGGGUUUAAGAAGAAUAUUGUGCGGGAUCCAUACAGCGUCGUCUUCACGGCUUCGUCUUCGUCUUCGAUGUGUCUUACCUUAGAAAUAGGUCGUGGAAAUCUAAGAUGAAUAGUUUCUUUUGCUGAAUAGCCUGUAUAAAGUCAAAGAUUAAGUUCAAUUUACAAAUUAAUUGAUCAAAGUGGAAAAAUUAUCUGUUGGACGUGAUCCAUUUUUCUUCAAAAUUUUGUUUACAUAAUGUUUAUACCUGUGCAACAGUAAUAUUUCCUGCAAUUUCUUUCUCAAUGAUUUCUUCGGUGAUUGAUGAGUCUCGUGGCAAUUCCUGCACGAAUAUAUGCAGUUUUUUAAUAGUCUAUCAUGUAUUCUAUCAAAUCACUUUUCUGAUACGAUACGAUAUUAGUUAAAUUGUUGGACCCAAAAGUUUGAAGAUUGUAGAUAAGUGAUUUUUAUUUAAGGUAAGUCCUAAUAGUACGGUAAUCAAUUGUAUGCUGCAUGGGUUGAGACCAGCUAGCGUUUGCCUAGCAAAUUCCUCGUCCCUAAACCAAAAGAAUUUGUCUCCUGCAAAUGUGAAAAACACGCAAAUAACUAUGUGCUCCACAUUAAAUUCUUCUGUGAGAAAUUAAGAAGAGAUUCUUACUAUGCAACGCCUCAGGCGUCUCGAACUGCAAGUAUUGUUCUCCGGUUUCUUUAAUUUUCCUAAUCCAUCUGGGAAUUAUGUUCCAAAUUGAUUCAUUAAGAUUUGGAGGAAUGCUAAAACCAUCCUCGUCGAAGAGUUCGUCAAUCUCUGCGAAGUAUUCAAAUUUUUUAUCACCAUCGAAUUUUGUUUCGAUCAAUGUUGGCAAUGUACUAACAAAUGAGUACGUUUUCUUUGAAUCAAAUGCGGCCAGCUUUAUGUCCGAAAACGCUUCAUCUCUUGGCACAUAUAUGUCAUCUGCUCUAUUCUCAUCACCUAAAGGAUAUGCAAUAUUACAAAAUCGUCAAAAUUCAGGAAAAAUAAUAACCUGGCUAACGAAAGAAAUAGUCAUCUGAUCUACUUGAGGAAAGCGUCGUAUCUCUACAUUCAUAUCCUCAAAAUCAAAUCUGCUUAAUAGGAUUCCAAAGAAUAUAUAGUUCACUUGAUUUAAUUAACUCUUGUUGUUAAAGCAAUAGAUUACUAAUUAAAGUCUAAAAGGAUACAUUUAAUUUGAGAGUGGGGUGGGGGUGGAUUGCGGAGCAAUAUUAAAAAAUUAAAUUAAAUAAAAAACGUAACAUUUGUUAUUAGUAUUUAUCUUCUUAAUCUUCUCUCUCUCACUCUGGGUGAAAGCAAAUAACCCCAUGGCGCUAACGUGCAAAAGUCUAACAUUAAAUUUGUACGUUAUUUUCUUUCUCAUAAUACAAAGCAAAAAUAUAGAAGCUCGUGGGUCUAAUAUAUACUCAUGGUCAAAGUCUAAUUUAUGGGUUAUGGUUAGCUUAACUUUAUAUUCCCGUUCCAUGAACUAUUCUUAACGGACGUUAAAUAUUUUCUGGAGUAAAAAUUACCCCAAUGCAAUAUUUUAAACCUCUAUUGUAAAGAAAGUUUAUAGUUUAUGUGAAAGAAUUCAAAGUUUAUAUUUUAUAUGAAAGCAUUCAUCUAUAAUUAGACACUACCUAACUCAGAACGUGGACGUCCAGUUCUGCAACGUCUGGGAUAAGGAUAUUCUUUUCCACCAAGCACCGGUCGUUUCAAUUUCGGGUCUUUUUCAGGAUUUCCUAGAUCAUUGUAGACAUCAUAAUCGUAUAUUCUAUCAGAGAGCUGACGUACUCCACGUCCAUCGCCUUGCAAAUGUCGAAGCUCUUGACGUCUGAACCUCUUUAAUCCAUCUGGUGUUGCUGAUGGCAAGUAUGACCGAUUUCAGAAGAAACAAAGUUCUCAUUAAACAAAAGUAAUGUAAUAAUGUAUACGGUUACUUAAUACUUUCUCAUUACCAAAUCAUAUAAUUAAAUUACAUAUAUGCCACUGACCCACUAACCUUAUUAGCAAAGAAAAUUCUCUUCGGUGUGUUUUCUUCCUUUGGUUGAAGCCAUGAAUUACAUGUUAUCUUCACACCAUGAUCAUCAUUUCGGGACUCAGAUUUAAGUACAAUAUCCUUCAAAUACAUCUCAAUCCGGUGCUCAUUUUCUACAUAUAUUGCACCAACUUCUCCAAAAUCAAAUGGAACAUUGAAUUUUGAUUCAUAUAGAUAAUUUCCCUCCUUAUCGUUGCCUACUCUGAUUGCAUGACUAGGCUUGGUUGUUUUCUCUGAUCCCGUCUCUGAAUGAACACCAAAAAACUAUUAAAAUCAGUUUUCAUUCUUUUACAGUUUUGAAAAUUUCAAACCAUGGGGGGGUUUUUUUUUUUUUUAAAAAAAAUGGCUUCAUAAAAGCUUAACCCUAAAUAAAUGGAAAUGACAGAAAAAUGUUCAAAUAUCUGUUUUAUUUGGAGUACUUACUGUGAUCAAGCUUAGUACUAACUAGCUCCAAGCUGAAACUUUUACCAAAUAGGAAGGAUUCGUCGAUCUCAUCUUUCAAAGAGGAAUUUGACUUCACAGUAAUAACAGCCGUAACAUUGUCUAUUAAAGUUCUUUUAGAAGUUGCUAUAGCUUUGAUAUUGUUAACGGCAGCUGCAGAACCAACUCGCUCGUUGGGUCCCUUUUUAUGUGAAGAACUUGACUGAAUUUGGCGAAAACCAUGAUUAUUUCCAUGGAGAAAAGGCUUAGAGAAUGAAAAUAGGGCUGUGAUAGGUGUAGACUGAGGAACCAGUGCUGAUUUCAGCAUUUUUUUUCCUUUUUUUCCCUCGGAGGUGGGGGGUUGUUGUACUCAAAAGGAGAUGCUGAAUAGAAAGAUUAAUUUAAUUCUAGGCUUGCUAUGGAAACAAGAGUGACCAAUCCACUCUUUAUAUAGAAAUUUGAGAGAUAGGUUGAUAGUAUGAUUUUUGCUCCAUUUCGUUAUAUGAAAGGAAAAAAUACAUUUUUUCUGUAUGGUUGCGGUUGGGCAGCAACACCUAAAGUGUUCUGUAAAUACGUACUCCUAGUGGCUUGAAAGUUAAGUUGAUUUUAUUCAAAGCUUGUAUGAUAAAAUAUUUAUCAUAUCUUCAUUAUGAAAGUCACAUUAUUCACCACAUAUUAUCAAAUUUUAUUUUACAAGGUGAUUAGUUUUACGGUGUGUUUACCAAUUGUUUAUCGAAAUGAACUCAAACCAAAAUGAGAAUCAAAAUAAGAUGUUUACUCAAACUGUAAUAAUAAGAAUUGGAAUGACCAAUAUUACCCUUGAUGUGUUUUUUUUUUUUUUUUGAGGUUGUAAUGAAUUAUGACAUUAAAUUACACUUAGUUUAUCAUCAUCAUCAUCAAAAUUGCUACUAGUGGUGGUUCGAUAUUUCCAGUGAGAUCGACAAGUGGCUGACGAUUGGCUACUUUUGUUAGAGUUGAGCGAAACCGAUGACAUGAUUUCAACAAGUACUGCACGAAAUCGAGUGUUGUUGGUGGUUGAUCAAUUUGGGUGUUUUGUGAGUUUCAAUUUUUAAAUUUUAAAUUUUGUAAUUGAGGACAAUUUGGGUAUUUUAAAAAUAAUUUGAGCAUUUUAUAAAAUUUAGUAGGGAUUAAGUGGUUAAUCUCAGGAAUGAGAUUUUAAUUUCCAAUUCUCCCUUGGGAAUUAGUACUCCAUAAUUUAUUGCCUAAUUAGUAUGAUAAAUAAGUUAAGAAAUCACAUUCACCUAUUCUUAUUCUCAAUUAGUAAACACACCGUCAAAAUAAUUAAUGUUGUUAUUUUCUUCUAUGAAAUUCUUGAUUUCACACUCCUAGAUCUGAUUCAUGUGAAAGAACUAUUACAGUCUAAUAAUUACGACCUACAAGAUAAAAUGGGAAGAAAGAGAAUGUCUUGGCCUUUGCCAACUCACGACUCUUUCAAAAUUUGAAAAUUUUCAAAGAUAUAUUUGUGUCCCGUAGGUGUUUUGAUGGAUAGCUGUUAUAUAUUUGAAAAUUUUCAAUUUCCUUCUCAAGAGUUACGAGUAUUUAAUCCUUUAAUAAAUGCCUAAUUUUUGUUUCUUUAUAGAUCAUCAUAUUUGAAUUUUCAAUAUUCCUAACAACUUUGAGUCAUAACCUACAAAUAUCCAUUAUUAUUUCAAAUCAUAGAAUUUUUGAGACGUAAUUAAAACUCAUCUGGUAUUUAAGUGUUGAUCUGCACAGCAGCAAAAAAUUUACAAUGUUGUUUCUGGAUCUUUCCCUCGAUGAAGAAAAUAAAGAUUUAGGGUAAAUGAAUGGGUCUGUAGAGUAUUUUUAAUUUUUAGUAAAGUUAUUGUGUCCUUUUUAAUAAUUUUACAAAAUGAUAUUUUUUUAAUAAAAAAUUUUUUUCAAAUAAGGAGUGUUCAAAUUUUCUUUUUAAAGUGCAAAUAGUCAUGCUCUUUAUAUAGACUUCAUUCAUAUUGGUAACAAAGGUAGCUCAAAGACUCAAUUUAUACAAAAUGAUUAGAAAAUAAAUAAAUAAGUGUACGAUAAAUAUAAAUUGGGAAUAAAUGAUUAUUAUAUUUGACUUGGAUAAUUAUUUUUCUUUCCAAUUAACAAAGAUUUAAAAAAAAAAAUGUGUUGAUUUGUAUUUCGGGAGUACAAUAACUCUAUAGAAACAUCGUUCUUGAAAUAUAUACAAUAUUACGCCCACGUUAAAAGGGUACUGGAGAAGGAGAAAAAAACUGUAUGAGAUAAAUUUUACACAGCUAAUAAGACUGAAUUUGUACGGAAAAAUGACUGAUAAAAGAAAUAAUAAUAAUUUCAUGAUUUUUGGGAUGCGAUUGAUACACAUUAUUCCAUAUGUGAGUUGCCAUGCAACAAAAUAGAAAAGUUAUUUUCUUUAAAAAAAAAAAAUAGGAAAUGUUAUUUCAAGGAAAAUUUUUUUUCUCUCCAUGUAUAGAAUGACCUCGUAAGAAAGCAUAAAGUUAUUUAGAUCCAGUUUGAUAUUAGAAUGUUGUAAUUUUUAAGUUACAAUUGUUGUAAAAAAAAAAAAGAUAUUACACAUUUUUUUAUUAUACAAGAACUUAGCUUUCACACCAUAACAACUAUUGUUUACCAAAUAAUGCCUUCAUUUAAAAUCUGUCAAAGAAGUAGUUUGCUUAUUUAUUAGCCGACCAUUUUGGUUGAGCUAUGUGAAUUUUGAGGGGGUGUUAAAGUUCUUAAUUGUAAUUACCAUAGAAUGAGUAAUUUCAUAAUAGGUUAUGCUUUUUGAACCCUCUAAAUUUCUCUCUAUAUUCAUUUUAAAAAAUAAAGUCAUUAUUAAAAAUUAAAAAUUUAAAAAUCUCAAAAUUACUCUUUACCAAUUACUUUAUCUCUCUACCUUAUAAUUGUAUAUUCUCUCUAUACUCUCACAUUCUGCAAGAGCAUUAAUAAAUGAUUCUUCUAAUUUGACUCUUUAAAUAUUAUUUGCUUAAUUAUCUAUGUGGCAAAUAGAAGAGUAAAAAACUUAGUUAUCUCCCAAAAGACUUUUCAAAUUUUUUUCUCCAUCAAAAUAAUAACAAAUAUAACACAUCUUCCCUUCAAGAAUGAGAAGAUAAAAAUAAUAUAAUACUAAAUUAAAUGCUCUAAAAAACUCUUCCAAUGAGAUUUUUUUCAAUAUUAAAGAGAGAAAGGCAAUCUCAUUUGAAGAAUUAUUUUUGAAGAACCUUUUAAUGAUGCUCUAAACACUUAUUUGAAGAGUGAAAUUAAGAGAAAAUGACGAGAGAAAAUGAUAAUCUCAUUUGAAGAAUUAUAUUUGAAGAGUCUUUUUAGUGAUGUUCUAAACACUCAAUUUCACUCUCUCUUGAGUUUGUCACUUUGGUUUUUCUUAGUAUAUUAUGAUAUGCAAAUCAUACUUUCCAUAUAUAAGAACUUUUUGCUUGGUAUUUAUUAGUUUUUGUGUCUAGUAAAAUUUAAUUUCUUAAUAUCCAUUAACUUUUAUAAAUGAUAAAAAUUUGUUUAUGUUUGAAAAUAGAUGGUGAGAUUUAUUUUUCUUAAUUAGUAAUAUCAUUUAUUAGCAGGUAAAAAAAAAUAUAUUUAAGUAAAUUAAUGAGAAUUUAUGAAAUUAAGAAGAGAAAGAAAUUAAAAGAUUAAUUAAGUAUUUUUUUUAAAAAAUAAUUCAAAUAAUAAAAUUCUUAAUUAAAAAAGUGGUGAGUUUAAAGGGGGAGUUGCAAAGGUCGCAAAGACUGGGAUAAGUCUAUGAAAAGGACAAGUCCAUCACGUGUAAUAAAAAAAUAAUUCAAAUAAUAAAAUUCUUAAUUAAAAAAGUGGUGAGUUUAAAGGGGGAGUUGCAAAGGUCGCAAAGACUGGGAUAAGUCUAUGAAAAGGACAAGUCCAUCACGUGUAACACGCAUCACUAUAUUGACAGUGUUACUGUUUUCACACGUUCACGUGUAACACGACACAUGGCCCACGUUCAUUGAAACAAAUAAUUUUGGUACACCAGAGGAAAUUAUUUUGUAAAAGUCCGCAUUUAUUGUUGCAUUGUUGUCUUUGAGCUUUUGUCCAUUCUGCAAUAGUAUUUUGUACAUAGAAAGUUAAUCUAGCCAAGGACAUGUCUGAACGUUGAAUGAAAGUUAAUCUACUUUUUUCCAUUCUGCAAUAAUAACAUGUGCCGUGGCCUUGGACCUAUGCCAUGGUUAGCAACACAAGCCCUCUAUUUCGUCGGAGAUGGGGUACAAGUUGAAUUCUCUUCAGUUAAUCUCUUCCUACUCAGUAGUAUUUGGAUAGAGCUACAUACAAAUAUUUCAUCAUAAUUUUGCUCAAAGUCUAUUUGCAAUAAGGCUUUCAGAAUAGGUAAAUAAGACGAUCGCUUAAAAUUUUAAAUUUUAAGAAGACCUUUUUAAAAAAAAAAUUAUAUUAAUAAUUUGCUCAUUAAUAAAAUUUUUUUAAAAAAACAUAUGCAUGGUAGUAAAGUGCAUCACACAUCUCUCUAAUUAAUAAUUAUCCUAUAACUAACAAUUAUUUUUUUGUAAAAUAAUAUAUUUGGUAAUCUUAUUGUUAAAGAGAUAUAAUCAAUAAUCUUGUCUAACCAUUAAUUCAUUCAUUAUUGUUUUUCCAAGAAAAAUAUAUAAAUUUUUGACCUUUUUAGUUUCUUAAAAGAAUUAAUUAUUUUACAUUAGAAUAUUUGAUUUUGAGAUUUUUUUUUUAAUUUCUAUUAAAAACCUUAUAAUCUAAAAAAUUAUAGAUGAAAAAAAUUAUUAUUUUCUUCUCUAUAAAGAAAAUUAUUAUAUGCAUUUGUUCAUUCAAAAAAGUAAAAAGUUAGUUUCUUCAUAUGUAAAGUCCAUAUCCAUUAUCUGAUCAUCAAUUCAUCAUCUCAACUUUCUAUAUACUGCUAUUUUAAAUAUUCUAUUUGAAAAUAGUAGUUUUCUCAUUCAUUUAUUUGUUUAUUUUUGUAAAAGUUCUAAAGGAAUUAAACUUUAGAUUUUGUUUUCAACAUUGUUUAGGAUUUUCUUAAUCAUUUGUUGAAAUUUAAGAAUUAAAACUGAAAUGAAUUUUGAACUCUUUUAUAUUUUUUUUAGUAUUAAAGAUGCUGAAUAAAAAGAGGCAUCAUAAAAUAAAUUCACUUAAGGCCACAAAUACUCUAAAGUUAAUUAGCUAUGAUGCAACUCUCCUCAUAUUUAGAGUUGAAUAUAUAUAUAUAUAUAUUGGCUUGGAAGAUAUAGCUCACCGCUUCUAGGCAGAAGUCGACUCCCCAACAUGAAAACUUUAGGGGAUAAUGCUCAUGUAAUGCGAUUAUCGCACAUAAAUUUUUCUAUUAAAUAACUAUAAGUUACAGUUAUAAAGUCCUUUUCAGUAUUGCGAUGUGUGGCUUGAGAACUACUAUUAUCAUAAAAAAGGUUGUAAUUAAAAAUUAAAAAGUAAUAAUAUGAUAAAUAUAAUUUUACCGUGAAAGUUUAAAAACUACACUUAGCUGACUACAGUAUCGAACAUACUCUAAUAAGUCAGUCUCCCACAAAGCUUUUGUAUUGGUCAAUUAUAGAUUCCAUAAGUUCUCGGCGGCAAAAACUUUAAUUUUUCGGUUACAUCAUAAAUUGCAUUAAAUGCAUAAAUAGUUCAGUGGAAGGAAUGCCAGCUGCCAAUGAUAAAAGGUUGUUCCCAGCUAACAUCCAACACGUCAUUCAAAUUUAAUAAAUUCUUGAGUUGCUUAAACGUCACAUACAUAUGAAAAAUGUUAAGUUACAUUGAAUAUAAUUUAGAGACCCCCCAAACAUAUUAAUCAAAGCGAGGGAGUAGAUCAAACGAUUUCCAAAUUCACCAAAAGGUCAAAAGAAAACAAAGCGAGUUCUCAUAAUCUUAAAUAUCACGUGUGUUGUUCUGACGAAGAUUUGACGUUACCUGUGCAUUUGUUCCCACGUACGUACGACAAAUAAUAUGGGGCAUUCAAUCCUACUCCCUCUCUUUAUGUCACCUCUGCAUUUGCUUCCACGUACGUACGACAACAUAAUAUGGGCAUUCAAUCCUGCUCCCUUUCUUUCACCUAACAUUUUCUCCAAAUUCAUUCAGCAACUGUGGUGGAGAUUGGUGCGGUGAUAAACUUAACAGUACUACUUUAUUCUAAAUAAACUUUUAUUCACAUUUCUUAAAAUUUACAUAAAUAGAAUAUGUUGAAAUUAAAAUAAAAAAUGUUUAAUACUAAAAAUAAGAAAAAUUCUUAUUCUUAUUUUCUAUUUUAUCUAAUCUAUUCCAUAUCUUGUUUUUAUUCUAAUUUUUUUUAAUUAUUUAUAGACUGACAAGAUAUUAAUAAAAUAAUAAAUACAAUUUAAAAAGAUAUUUCAACCUUCAAUGGAUAUUUGUUUUUCACAUACAUUGCAACAUAUACAUUUUUAACUAUUUUUUCUUAUAAUAAAUAUAUAUUUUAUGUUCUCAAGAGCAAAUAUCAAGCAAAUGAUCUAUUUACUUAUCUUUUCUUUUAAAAUUUGGUGCGUGGAGAGUAUUUGGUAUUAUAAAAAUAAUAAAAGUAAAUUUGAAUAGGAAAAAACUGACAAUUUCCUAAAUACAAAUACUAAUCUAAUAACUUAUGAAUUCUCAAUUAAACAGCGGACACUGAAACUUAUUGCUUCUUCUUAACAUUACUCUUACUAUAUCAUAAUACAUAAAAAGUGAUACAUAUUGAUUUUAUGGUGUAGAAAAUUAGCAUUUGGGAGAACUCUAAUAUAAAAAAAUUAUGUAUUUCUUUUAUUUAAAAUUUGAAAGUUUCAACUAUUUUAGGCAUUAAAUUUAUGUUCAAUUGAAAAAUUUACGAGACACCAAACAAUUAGAUUAUUAGUUAUUUUCGAGAUCAAAUUUUAUUCGGCAAAAUAUUUCUAGCAAGCUCUAUUUGCACAAUAAAAAUUAACCAAACAAUAUGUUUGGGUGGUAAAAGGGCCACCAUCUACACGUGCACAUGUCUGGUCGAAAGUGCAAUCUCCUCGUGGUUAAGGGGAUGUAGGAGCAGAUGUUGUAGUGCUCACGAAUGUGAGAAUUAAAAUAAAGUUACGAGGAGAUACCAAGACCCUCUCCAGAGCGUGACCAAAGGUUGACCAGAGAGUUGUUCUAGAAAAACCGGGCACGAUGCCCACACCCAAAUGGUUAUUGCAUCAACCUCUAACCGCCCGGAGAUAAGCACGUUUGACCAUUACCUAAUUUGCAUAAUCAACUAACCCACUAAGGCUCACGAAUCAAAGAUGAUGUUGCACGUUUUGCUACACACUUGACUGCCUAUAAAGCCCCUGAAAAUUGCAGAUGGAGGAAAGACAUAAGAAGUUAAGGGGAAACUCUGCCAUUUUGAAUCUAGAAUUCAUUUCCUUUGCAUAUUCUGAAUAUUUUUAUUCUGUAAACAAAUUACUAAGUCACAUUGAAAAGUGGCUCAAGUUUUUUUUCUAGAAAACCUGAAAACUGACUUAAGCAUCAGAGGAUUUUCGCCAGAAAAACCACCGGCACCUUCUGACCUUUUUUUGUGAUUGUAAGUGUAAAGAGUAUAAAGGUUGAUGAGAUCGUUAAAUUCUGCUCGAUUGGAGUAGUUGCAAGCAGCUUUACUCCCCAUUAAAAAUAAAUUUAGGUGUUGACAAGACAACCUGGUCAUCUCUACACGUACGACCAGAUUUCUGCAUCAACACAAUAUUUUUGUUUUCAGUUUAAUAUAAUUUAAAACAUUUAUUAAUGUGUUCAUAUUUGAAUUUAUUGGGUUUAGUUAAAAAAAACUUAUUAUUAUAUUAUUUUUCUUGAAAGUGAACAUCAAAUAUUUAGAUGAGUUCAUAAUCUAAAAUUUAAAAUUUAAAUUUAAGAGAGUUUUUAUUUAAUAAUUGGGUUUAGUCAGUAAUUUUGUACAAUCAAAGUAUUCAAAAGUAAUCAGCUCACUAUUUUAUUAAUAGUAAAAGGGUUUGGAAAUUUGAAGGAAAUGACUACGUUCCACUUUAUAAUUUCAGAAAAGACCACUCUGCCAUUUUUCUUACAGUGUUAACCAAUUCCAAGCUUUUUGGACCAAAAUAUCCUUGAUUACCCAUAACUCAUAAAACACAAGAUUCCGUCCCUAAUACCAUCUUGCUCUUGGCCCCAUUUACAGUCUCAUCAUCCUAUAUUGAUGGUAUGAGAAGUGAAAUCAAAUCGGAGAUGAGAGAUACCAUUUUCAGCUUUCACGACAUAAGCUGAAAAUUUUAUUGAAUGGAUUUGGCAGCCCGUUGCCCAGGCACCAGGGGCCGUCGCCCACGAGAUGGGCCUGGCAAAAUGGCUUGUCGAUUGAAUUCUAGGUUUUCGAUUGAGUUCUCUAAGAUUUUGGUAGUUUGGACAUGUACUAAGCAUUUUAUCGAACAUAUAUUAGAGAGGGAAGGAAAAUAGAAAUAGGUCGUAAAUGAGAGUGAGGGAGAGGACUAUAAGCGAAACAGGGCACCCUGGUCGGUCAGGCAUUUUAUCGAACACUUGGUGAAGAUGCAAAUUGGCAGAGGCAACAAAAAUAAUUGUGAACAACAUAUAGAGAAGAAUGAACUGGUUCCCGUAUAACAAAGCUACUUCACCAUCCCAUUCGAGCCACUUGGGGUUGAGCUUUGCCGCUAAGUUCAACUGAUAUCCUUGCCACAUUUUCCCUUUAGCAGUAUGUUCUUUGCAGCCCCACGAGAAAAUUAUCAUUUUUUGAACUCAUACAUUACUCCUAUUAACUUCAACAAAGAGUUAUACUUGAAUAAAUCCACCAAAAGAAUAAUGGUUUUCUACAUUAAUUUAUCAAAUUAAUAGGAUACACAAUCGUAAAACUCUUUUAACAGUUUCCUUUACAGCCAAACAAUCAAUUAAAGAAGUACAAAGCCAAACGGAGAUUGCGAAGGUUGUGAUCAUAGCACUAUGAUGGAGGGAUAAUUUGAUGUUGGGCGAUGAGGAUGGUGAGAGAUGUGUGAUGGGAGAGGUAGAAUCUUGUAUUUUGGUCUAAAAGGUAUGUAAUUGGUUAACAGUACAAAAAAAUUGAGGGGGUGGCCUUUUCAAAAAAAAGAGAAAAUUGAAAAGUGGAAAGUGGUUAAAUUAGUAAAUUUAUUUAAGUGAUUUAAUGAACUUCAAAAUAGAUUAGGAUUUUCUUUUUAUAAGAUCUCUCAUAAGUUUUAAAAGAUCUUGUCGUGUAUUUUUUAUGAUAAUGUAUGGGUAAGAUUCAACUUUUCUAUUUAUUUAAGAGCAAUUAUAUAGGUACAAAUUCUUUUCUAUAAAUUAUUUUGUAUAAAUGGAUGUGUCAUCAUAUGAGUGGUUGAUGAAGAUAUCACUUGGCUCACGUUAUUUUUAUUGUUUUAUGUUUUCAUGCAAUCAAUUAUGUAAUGCAACAUUAGUUUGUAUAAAAAUACUUUGUACAAGAGUUCGUAGUUAUUUCAUACAUUACUUCUUCUUUUUUCCUCCAAUUUAUUAACUACCAAUCACCACAUGAGUAUUUGGUUAGGACAAGAUCAAAUUAUGAUAGAAUCUUAAUUCCUUUGCGGUCAAGUAAUAAGACUUAUAUACUCUUAGUUAUAUUAUUUACUUAUUUAUUUAUUUUAAAAGGAUUAGGUGUUCCUACUAAAUACAUAACCCUACAAUGCAUACAUGUAUUUGUUGUUAGAUGCACUUGAUAAGAAUCUAAUAAACUAAGGUGUUUAUACACCAAGAGUAUCCAAAAGUGUCACAUAUAUUUCGAUUUAUUUGUAUAUAUGUCACACUGUCACCAACUGAAUGCUACACGGGUUAAUACUAACAAGAGUCUGCCUAGAACAUUCUUCAUCCCUAAACCAAGAAAAUUGCUCUCUUCUAAUGCAAUAAAACAUAGAUGAACAGGAAAAUAUAGAUGAACAUGCAUAUAAUUACAAAUAUUUUUCUUUUCUUUUUGAUAAGAGAAAGGAGGGGUCCAAUUCUUACUGUCCAUUGUUUUACUUAACCAAUGUGGUAAGUAUGUUUUUCCAAAAUGGUUCCUCCUUGAGUAAAGGCAAUCUCACUCCUUCAUUGAAGAGGGUGUCUAUUCCUGUGAGUUAAGAUAAAUUGAUUUAGUUGUAAAUAAAUUAAUCAUUAGCUUAACUAGUUGAGCAAAAUUUGUUAUCUUUGGUUUACUUAGUUAAGUUGAGUUUGAUAUCAAUGAUAACAUGGCAGCUGACCUGGCUAAAAUUAGUUACAAUACUAACUUUACAAUAGCAGCAUGCGUGAGAGGCUUGUAGAAGAUUCAAGAUCACUAUAUAUAUACUCAUGCAACAAAACAAUUAGUUGAGCUUAAUACAUUUUGAAAUCAAUUCACAACUCUUUGAAUUUUCUUUCAAUUUCUCAUUAACCAAACAAACACUCAAACUUUUAACUCUAUGAAGUACUUGAAACCUCGAUUGGGAUCGACAACAGUAGAUUCUAUAAAUGUAUCAAUUCAUGCAACACUAAGUACAGUGUCUUGGUUGAAAAUUAUUGUUCCUUUAUAUCCAAGAAUUCUAUAAAUGGUAAAAUUCAAAAAAGGGUUUUUAGGGGGAAACAAAGUAAAAAAUAAACCUAAAACCUAUAAGAAAGCUGCUUUAAGUGGAGAUGAGAUCAAUGGAUUAAAGCAAUGAAGGAGGAAGUGGAGUUAUUAUAUAAAAAUUGUACAUAUGAACUUGUAGAAAAACCAUAAAAGAGGAAAGCGGCAUGCUGUUAGUGGCUGUAUAUAAUUAAACAAGGCAAACCAAGAGUCAAACAAAAAAGGUAUUAAGCCAAGCUUGUAGCCAAAGGCUUGACUCAGGAAGAGGGCAUUGAUUUUACAAAGGUUUUCUCACCUGUGGUCAGGCAUGGCUGAAACGACCCACUCCGAAUUUCCUCGGGCGCGUCAAUCUAGUCUCAUCAAAACGGACUUGAUAAUAAUUCUAUUUAAUAAGGAUUCUAUCGAAAAUUCGACAGAGUCUCCUUUAUAUAUAUAUCACUCCCAAUCUAAAAAUAUGUAAAACGAACACUCCCAAAAUAAUUCAAUACACAACAAACUCCAACGUUCAACAUCCUCAACCAAAACGCUGAGUUUACUCAAGAUAUCUCCAGGGUCUCAAAAUAUAAUAUUAUAACUAAUAUUAAUAUCUCAAUUUAUUCUUAAUUCCAAAAGAAUAAUAUAAAAAAAUUAUACAAUCCCAAAAGAACAAGAUGACUAGGAUAUUCUAACAAAAGGAUUCAUCUAUAUCUUCUAACAUCAUCACGUGGCCAAAACUCAAAAUAUAUUACAAUCGCUGGGUCGAUCUGGUGUACCUGCAACCUCCUAGUGGGGGAAAAUAUAAUAAAAACGGGGUGAAUUUAAAACUCAAUGAGAUCAGUGAGUGGAUAGUAAUUUUUAAAAAUUAAUUCUUACUUUAAAUGAAAUAAUCAUAUCAUUUCCAAACACAAUUUUAUCAAACAAUAUGCAAGAAAAUAGUAGUAAAUCAUUUAACAUUUAAAUCAUAUCACUAACCAUGAAAAGCAUAUAUAAUAUCCUACCAAAUAACCAUGGAAAUCAUAUCACAAUAUCAUAUAGAAUACAUACACAAAUCUGAAAAUCAUCACCAAACAAGUAUCCAGGGGAAUAAUCUCGUCGUAUCCGAACCUCAACGGACGGGCAAUGACGUACUAUCUGGGUAACGUCACGCCCCGGAGCUACACGGAUAGACAGAGAACUACCAUCUCAUAUCUCAUUACAUCUGUGCAUGCAUAAUCUAGUCCCCAAGGGACAAAAGCUCCCAACCACACGGCCCAAAGCCUUUGUAUGUACGCAGACGGGCCCCAAAGGUAUGUAUCUCAUCUGUAUCAUCUGUAUCUCAAUAUCUGUCUGUAUCUCAUAUAUAUAUAUAUAUAUCUGUAAUCAUCAUACUGCAUGCAUAUGCCCCCAAAAAGCAAAAGCGCCCAAACAAACGGCCCAAAGCCUCUAUGUGUGUUCAGAAGGGCCCCAAAGGCCUAUAUCUCAUCUCGUAUGUAUCACUGUAUCUGGAGAGGAAAUGUACUGUCUAAUGAUUUCAAAAACAAUCAUUACACUCAUAUUCACAUACAUUUUAACCAUACUUUAAAUUAUACCACAUUUGAAUCCACUUUUCUUAUCUUUAUGAUACUAUCAUGCUUUAUUCAAAGUCGAUACGCAAAAUCAUUAACCAAACAUUUUAAUAUAAUAUCAAUGCGUUAAUAAAAUCCAUUUCAAGAGAUCAUUAAAUCAGAACAUUUAAAAUACUUAUUUCGCAAACAUGCUUUGCUAUCUUAAUAAACUAUGAAAAUAGAUUUUGUAUAUUCCACUCACAGUGACGGUAUUCACACUCGAUUAUCGUCCACGUCCGCGGACCGGUUCUCGCCGCGGAUCCUCCUAAAUAAAGAAAAUGACAUAAUUAUUUUCCAUAAAUCGGAAUUCUGACUAAAUUUAUGCAAUAAAAUCAAAACGAACAUCUAUCCAUAAUUUACAACUCUCGUGUCAAUAAAAUUUCUAAAAUACCCUCGAGUCCAUAAAUCAUUAAAAUACUCUGAAAUCGUAAAUCACCGAAUUACCCUCGGAAUCGUAAUUACACCCAAUCCUCAAUUCCAUGAAUUACUAAAAUAUCCACAUGCUCAGAAAUUACAAAAUUGCCCUUAUGGUGUAAAAUUAUCGAAAUGCCCUUGCCGGUCAACGGUCACCAGAAUUUGGUCAACGCUGGCUGAGAAGCUCAAGUCUGAAAGUUCCAAUCAAGCUGAGUUCAAUGGUACCGGCGGUUAGCUCCAACGCGCGGCAACGACCCCGGAAUCUAGCUCGACAGCCGUGAAUUUCCAACAAUUGGCCAGCGCUGAAACAGUGACUCCCAGUGCCUAUGGAUGGUCAGAAAUGGAAGAGGGAGUCGUGAGGAACAAAAUCCAAUCGGUGGUGUCACCUAAAACCGGCGAAAAUCCCGGCGGAGCAAAAUGGAAAAGUUGCGGGUUUUUAAGCUUUGGACGCGGGCGUUCUGGUUGUUUUUCGGCGACGUGGACGACAGGGGUAUGAUGGCUGGUCUUAAAGCUUCAGAUUGGUACCAAGCUUGACCGGAACGGUGGCUGAAAAUGGAAGUUACGACCAGGUUUUCGGGUCGGGUUUGAUAGGUUCUCUCUCACUCUCUCACACGUGUGUCUCUGUUUUGCUCUGUUUUCCAGCUUCUUCUUUUAUUUUUAUCAACUUCUUAACCGCCUCAUAUUUAUUCAUUUAAUUUUUCACAUAUGUUACAAUAGCUCUAUAAGGAUAAUUCUAUCAGUUGUAGAAGUAAACAACAUGCAUCUAGAAUAGAUAGACGUAAAACUGCAUUUUUACAUGGUGAGUUAUAAUAGCAAAUUAUAAUGACUUAACCUGAAGGCUUUAUGGAUCAAACAAGGGUUGAUUGGGUGUGUUAAAGAUCUCUUUAUGGUCUGAAGCAAUUACUUAGACAAUGGGCACCUUUGGUUUGAUAGCUUUAUGAUGAAGUUUAGUUUUCAGAAGUGCAACCUCGACUACUAUGUUUACUUUAAAGAGGUUUUUGGUGAAAGGGUGUAUUUAAUCUUAUAUGUGAAUGAUAUGAUUAUUGCAAGCAAGUGCAUGAAUCAAAUGAAGUACUGAAACAACAACUUAGAGAGAAGUUUAAAAUGAAAGACCUCAGACCAGUCAAUAAGAUUUUUAGAAUGCAAUUUAUCAAUGAUAGGAACACUAAUACUUUGUUUCUGACUUAUGAAGAAUACAUUGAUAAGAUGCUUAAAAAGUAUGAAUAAUUUAUUCAAAACCAGUCCAAACACCUUUGUUAGCUCAUUUUAAAUUAUUAGAACAGCAGUGUCCCAAGAUUGAAUCUGAUAAGUCCAAAAUGGUGAAGAUACCUAAUAUAAGUGCUAUAGGUUGUUUGAUGUAUUCUAUGAUAUUGACUAGGCCUGAUAUUUCAUAUGUCAUGAGCAUUAUUAGUAUAAAUAUGGCCAAUCUUAGAAGGAACAUUGGAAAACAUUAAAGUGGAUACAUAGGUAUCUAAGGGGAACAUUAGCUCAUUAUUUAUGGGGGCCAAAGGAAAAAUGAUUGUCUAAUGGUCAUGUAGAUUCAGAUUAUGCAGGGGAUUUAGAUAGGAAAAGGUAUCUUAUAGAGUAUCUAUUCACUUACAACAAUUGCACUGUCAACUAGAAAGCUCAAUUGCAAACUGUAAUUGCUCUGUCAACUAGCAAAGCUGAGUAUACAGUUGUCGUAAAAGCAAUUCAAAGAAGCAAUAUGGUUAAAGUUAUGUUGAGACAGCUCGGAGUUGAUCAGAAGAUUGUGGUGAUAAAUUGUAACAGCACAAAGUGCUAUAUGUUUAAACAAAACCCAAACUCACCAUGAAAAGACCAAGCAUAUUGAUAUAAGCUACACUUCAUCAAGUUGGAGACAUCAAAGGCAACUAUGAAAAUUAAGAAAAUCCAUACAGAUGAUAGUGUAGCUGAUAUGUUAACCAAGGCUAUUCCAAGUGCUAAAUUUAAGCUUUGCUUAGAUUUAGCUGGUAUCUGUGAAAGAUGAAUUACAGGAAAGUGAAGAAAAAAACGGCAAGUUUAGAAAGAGUUUCAAAUUCAACGUGGAGAAUAAGCUUGAAACUAGAUUCGAAGAAGUGAUUUUUUGUCAGUUUAGGUUUUGAAGCAUGUAUGACUUGUCAGCCUUAUGAAAUUAAAUGGAGCAAAUGACAGUAUAUCAAUGUCAGACAUUUACUUAAGUGGAGCAUAUGUCUAUCACGUGCGAUCGCUUAUCAUUCUUUAGCUCAAAACGGAGAUUUGGGGGACUGUUUUGAUUAUUUAUAAAAGUCGUAAGUUAAGCAUGUGUUUGAACCCAGUUCAAGGCCGUUAAUGGUUCUUACACAAGCGGGAACAAUCUGGGUUUGUUAUAACAAACCCAAAACACAACUGGCCAACUUGAGACCUUUUUAGAGUCCUUUUGAUCAGUAUAUAAUUCUAGAGGCUGUGAUUGAUCAAGAGAGAAAGCUUGUAACUUCUUCUUUCGACUUGUAACUUGUUCUCAGUGAUUCAAUAAAGAUUUGUUGUUCAAUUCUUCAAUGGAUAUAGGCCAUUCAAUUCUUCAAUGGAUAUAGGCCAUCUCCAGGCCGAAUCACUUAAUAUUUGUAUCUCUUGAUUACUUGUUUCUAGUUUAUUCAUUGUGUGUGUUACUAUUUGCUAUUUCAGAAUCAUUAAUUGGAGAGUUUAGUAAGAUCGUAGAGGUUCUAAAUUGAUCUUAAAUUGGUUUAAGAACUAACACAUACGUAUUGUUUAUCUAAAAAUUUUUUAAAAUUUAUUGGGUCUCAAAAACAAUUUUCAAAGGAAAGCCAAGUUACAACCCAGUCUAACCCUAUGUUAUCUUCGCCUCUAAAGGAGACAUAAUUUAUAUGAAAUGGUUCUUUUUAAAAAAUUACCAAAUAGCAUCACUUAGAAUUAAUGUAACUUCCUAGCUGAAAUAUAAAAACUUUGGCAUUAAAUUUGCUGUUGCAGUUUUUAAUAUAAUAGUUUAAUUUUUUUAAUCUAGUGAUUUUUAUUUUUAGUUUAAAAUUAAUUAUUUUUCUAACAUGGUUUUAGAGCAAGCUAAGAUCUCAUCUUCAAAUCUCCUUAUGCUGAUUUUGCGUUAAUCAACUUGUUACUUAUUUUGUGUUGAUUUAAGGAAUAUUAUUUCCAUCUUAAUUUGUUUUUCGCCUUUCUCUAUUUAUGGGGAUCCACGCAUUAGUCACUCUUCUAAGAAAUAUAUGUGAACAAAAAGGAAAAUGUUAAGUGAACUAAAUAUAUACUAAAAAAAAAUGUUAAUAAUGUUAAAAAUUAAAUGUUUAAACCAGCGCGGGAUUACCUAUUUUUUGUCCGAAUAGUAUUAAUCGACAAAAAUUCAACGAAAGAUUGUCACUGAAUGCACAAAGUAUCCCACCAGGAUUUUCUUAACAUACAAUUCAAGUUUUGGAGUACCCACUUGUCAUUGUUUUCCGAAUUUUAGAACUAGCUUAUUCAUUACAAAGGAAAAGUGCAACUUUUGAUAAAACUUGCAAUGGCAAUUUGAACUCUAGAUAGAGAUGCUGUACGGAACUCCUUUUCCUGUGACACCAGAUUUGUCCGCAAGUGGCAUCAAGAUCUCAUAAGGCAGACUGCCAGCUCCAUGUCUAUUCUUCAAAUUCUUAUCUGCAUUCCUCAAAUUAAUAAUCCCUUUAAGCUCCAUCAACCUGCCCUGAAACUUUUCGAAGGCACCCUUUAUAAUUUUAUCUUCACCCCACGCUGGUUCCAUGUUUUUCCCCAAAUAAUCCUCAUCAGGCGAAUGAGCCGAUAGCACGUCGAGAACACUGAUUACUGCAGUAGCUUGCUUCUGAUUGGGGAAGGUAGUCAAAAGUGCAGCUUCAGGUCUUUCAAAGAAAAUUUGCCAUUCAUCAUCAGAUGGAUCUUCAUUUGGCAUGUUGGCUCUUGCAAUAGUUGGCCUAUUGGGAAAGUAGGCUGCAUAUUCGUACUGGCCAAAAUUCACAGCUGCAUGGAGACCAGAUGCUACCCAAACGAUAUUUGUGAUGGUAUCAAUUAAAUCCUUAGGGCUAUUGAGGACAGGCCACCAUGUUUCAUCCUGCUUGUCACCGUGUCCGACAGUUCGAAUUUCAGUCCACCAAGCUUGGAGCUCUUCAUCAGACUCUACAAGGCUUGGAUCGGGAUAGUAGUGACUCACAUUGUCGGAAACCCAUUGUUUUAUGAUAUCCCAGAGAUCAAGACCGUCCUGAGCAAAAGGGUAGUCUUCAAUUGUUAGCUUUAAGCCGUGUGGAGAACUUGGAUCUUUAACAGCCAUUCCCCUGGAAAAUUGGGAAGAAAAAGUAACCUUAAAUUUGUUCUUCACCAAAAGUAUAUUUAAGGAAUAAUUCAAUAUCAACGGUGAAUAAUUCUUAGGGUAAGUAUAUACCGUUAUCUUAAGAGUACACGUUAAGAGAAAUAUCCGUGCAGAGAGUUUAUAGUUUUGACUUAUUUACCUACUAAUAAGGUCUUGAGGGAGUGCUUGAUGGUCAAAUCGCCAUUGCUUGUCAUAGAUAAUAGAGCUUAGCAACAUACUGUAUUUUCCAGGCAAGAAUGUGGAUUCGAUGACUCCACCUGCAUUAAUAAGAGAUUGUCGAGCUAAAGAAUUGAUCUCCAUUGUGUAUCGGAAAUGUGGCUUCAACAAUCUAUUGAUAGGAUGCAUUGCACUGAGUUGCCGAUGGGCUGCAAUUGCAUAAGGUUCUACAGAACAAUGAGUUCUCAACCUGAAAAAUGAAUAAGCAGCCCACUGCUAGGUCAAAGGAAUUAAUGGCUGAUUCCAGUAUUUAUUAUGUACGCUUGUUUAAUUUUUUUUUUUUUAAAUAAACUUACCAAUGACUGAUAAGCUGGUGAUAGCCAGAAUCAUGAGCAAGAACAUGAGCUUUGGCUAGCUUCCAAAGCCAGCUUUUAGUAGAAUCGCUAGAGGGCGUAAAUGCUUGUUUCCAUUGUGGCUUGCCGUCCAUUGGAGGCCGAGUUAGUUCAAUGGCUAGUGGCCUCAAUGUGCCAUCUGGGUUCAAGUAGAAUACAGUGCGAGAUCCAUACAAGGUUCUGUCUCCGAGCUCUCUCACUUGUUCUACAUACGGCAGAAAUAGGUCAUGGUAAUCUAAGAUGAACAGCUUCUUUUGAUUUAGAGCCUGCGUUAACCCAAUGUUUAAGAAGUUUAGCUUACAAAUUAAUUGGGCGAAAGAAAUAAUUUGCUGGUCUUAUCUUUCUUAUUUAUUGAUAUAACUAAAGAUUCCCAUCCGCUUCAUAAUUAUUUUUACCUCUUUAACAGUCGUACAGCCUUUAAUUUCACUCUCAAUCAUUUCUGUGGUGAUUGCUGAUGCUGAUGGACCAUAGAUUUUUGGGUCGAGUGAGCUUUUCAACGGCCAUUCCUGCAAAAAAAUUUAAUCUCAUGCUAAAAAAGGUUUCAAGCAGUUUUUUACUUAUUCACCCGAAUUUAAAUAUUUUAGGGAAUCAAAAGCAAAAAUUAAUUUAGAUUUUACCCCCUCCUAUCUUUAGAUCGAUGUUAUGAUGGAUUUUUAUGGUAUCAAAGCCAACUCAUGUGGGUCUCACGCUACCUUAUCAUAUGACAACAUCAAACAAGGCAACGGUCGGCAUGCGACAAGGUGUUAAAGAAAUUGCAUCUCACGACUGAGAAUAAAAUAAUAGGCCAGGUUUAUAACAUGAGCAGACUGUUGACUAUGAGUUAGGCACUGAACUUCUAUACUAAAUGAUUACUUCUCACGAUAUUGCCGAAGACAAAUGUUCAGAAUUAUAUAUAUAAUACCGUAAUCAACCGUAUGCUGCAAGGGUUGAGACCAGCUAAAGUUUCCCUAGCAAAUUCCUCAUCCCUAAACCAAAAGAAUCUGUCUCCUGCAAAUGAGAAAACUCACAGAUAAUUAAACUAAAGCAACAAAUUGAUUAAAGCAAUAAAGCAUGCAUAUGCAGCUUGUUUGUGUGACAAUUAAAGAAGAGAUUCUUACUCUUAAAUGUUUCAGGACUCGUAAACUUCAAAACAAAUUCGCCAAUGUCUUUAAUUUCUUCAACAAAUCCGGGAAGUAACGAUUUCCAAAAUUCUGCAUCUUUAAUUUUAACUCCUUCACGGAAGAGUUUGUCUAUAUCUGUGAAGUUUGGGAACCCAUCGGUGUCGACAAAUUCGGCUUUCAAGUUUGGUAUUAGUGAACGCAACAGUCCGAACAAUGUCCUUAUAACAAACGUUGUUUCCUUUAUCGCCGAGAACUCUUCAUCCCUUGGGACAUAAGGCGAAAUAGGUAUCAAACUUUGGCUUGGCACCCUUUCCUCCGACGCUUCGUCUGCACUAACAAACUAAAUAUUAGCUUAUGUGAAAGGUUUUUCUAGCUUAAGAAAAUUCGUCAGAAUCAGACCAAACCUUUAAAAAAAUAUGUUGCAUAAACAAAAAGUUGUUGCACUAACACUAAAUCAUAAUUUACCAGUUUUACAAUGUGGGCGUCCAGUUCUACAACGUCUAGGAUAAGGAUGCUGUUUUCCACCGAGUACUGGCCGUUUCAAUUCUUCAUCUUCGUCAGGAUCUCCAAGAUCAUUGUAGACAUCAUAAUCAUAUAUUCUAUCAGCUUUUUGGCGUUCCCCUUCUCCAUUGCCCCGUAAAUUAACUAGCUCGGAAUAUCUUAAUUUCUGUAAUCCAUUCGGUGUUUUUGACGGCAGGUAUGACUGGUCAAUAAAAAAAACACAUUAAAAAUGAAAAAUCACAUUAGACCUUGGCGUCAAAUUAUUGUAACUAAAGUGUAACAUGACUUAUGUAAGGGAAACUAAAAAAAAGAUUGAGACAUAGUUAACUUAGUACAUUUAAAAGAAUCAGAGCAAAUUUGAAACUGACCUUGUUAGUAAAGAAAAUUCUCGGGUCUUUGCUAGUAUUUGGCUGAACCCACGAUUCACAUGUUAUGGUCACAAGACCACUUGGUAAACCAUCAAGAACUAUAUCUUUUAAAUACAUCUCAAGAGCGUGCUCAUUUACCACUAAUAUUGCACCAAUUUCUCCAAAAUCAACUGGAACUUGGAAUUCUGCUUCAUAUUGCACCUCACAAUCCUUCACUACUACCCCCUUUAUUUUUGCAUUACCACUAAUUUUGGGUUUAUCUGAAAGAGAAUGUGGAAAAAGAAAGUAGAACUAUUAAAAAAAGUUUAUUCUUAGAAUAUUAGAAAAUAUGUAGUUUAAAAUGUUUUAAAAUUAGGGGUGGGCACCAAGCUCUGAAACCCACCCCACCCGCAUGAUUUUUUGCGGUUUGGGUUAAGUUGGUAAAAAAAACGGGUUGGAGUGGAUUGUUAAAUUCCCAUCCUAUACUGCUUGUAGGCCUGCCAAACUGUAUUCAUCAUAAAUAUAUAUAUAUACACACGAACAAAAAACAAAAAUAUAAAUAUGAAAAGAUAAUAAAACUCUCUCAAUGAAUUAAACUUAUAUUGAUUGUUGGUAUUUAGACUUUAAUGUUUUAUGUUAAACAAGACUUUGAAUUUUUGGACUUUUUUUCCUUAACUAUAAACUAAUAAUUUAUUUGUUAGACUUUGAAAUAUUGGAUUGGUUUUAAGGAAUUUUAUAUUUUUGUUUUUAUAUUUUUUUAAUUAAUUUAUUUAUUUUGUAAUGUUUUAUUUUUAUACCGUGUUAAAUUAGAUUAUAAAAGUGAGCUUUUUUCAAAAGUCCAAUCCAACCCCUCCUAACUUGUACUUUUGCAGGUUGGGUUAAAAUAUAUAACCAGUUAUGUUGGGCUAGACUUUUUCAACCCGCACUAUAUGCGAGUUGGGUUGGAUUUACACAAUUCGACCCAUGCCAACCCCUACUAGAACAUGGAAAGUAAAAAUGUUAUUAAGCAUGUUUUCCAAGUUUAGAAGGGUAAACAUGGGUUCACUAUGUAAUUUAGGAUCCUUGAAAUGAGGAAGAAAUUAAAGGAUAAUAAAAGUUUGAUUAUCAUAUCUAUUCGCAGUACUUACUUUCAUCCUUGGCACUAACAAGCUCCAAUUGUAGUGAUUUACUGAACAAAUCUUCUACGUCAUCAAUGACUUGACCACCAGCCGUAAGCGGAUUGAUAGGUGGUCGCACAGUGACAACAGCCGUAACACCGUUUGAUACAGCUGUAUCUGCCAUAGCUUUGACACUGUUACUAGGAACAGACCCAAGUCGAAUUUUGGGCCCCUUUUUAAAUGAAGGACUUGACUGAAUUUGGCGAAAAACAUUGCCAUUUCCAUGAAGAAAUGGCUUCGAAAGUGGCAAUAUGGUUCUAAUAGAUCGAGUCUGAUGAACCAGUACUGGGUUAAACAUUGUUAGUAAUGACUAGAAGGAGACGCUUGAGAGAAAAGCUUUUCUAUUUCUUGGCUGCCUGUGAGAGACUUGAGUGACCAUUCUUGUCUUUAUAUAGAAAUUUGAAGACAUGAUGGCGCACAAAAAAUGAAGCCAAAUUAGAAUAGGGUAAGUAGGCAAGACAAUUUUGUCUUUAAUUUAGAUUGCAAAAACAUUCUGAAUGUAUGUCGAUAUUCAUUUGUGGUCGAAAAUCUUAAUUCUUAAUUAAUCUUGUUCUUUCCUUGUCCAAUACUUGAUUUUUAUCUGCUAGUUAGGUCAGAAAUUUAAGGAUACAAUCCUUAAAUUUGAAUUGCUAAUUAAUUUUUUUCUUUUCUUAUACACAAUCAAAUCCGUGAUUUUCUCUGCUAGCUAGGUCUAAACGCACUCCACAGCUUUUUUUAAUUUUCAACCCAUCACUUUUUUUAGGGUAAAAGUUCAUUUAGUCCCUAUAUUUUGAAGUUAGUAUCCAUUUAGUUACUAUAUUUUUAAAAAUACCUCAAAUCAUCCCUACUAUUUAGGGGUGUUUAGAAUCCAAUCCGAUCCGCUCAAUCCGUCCGAUCCGCUGAAUCCAAUCCGUAUAAAUCUGAUCCGUGAAUUGGUGGAUUGGAUAUGGAUUAAAAAUUUAAAAAUCCGCAGUCGAUGGAUUGGAUAUGGAUUUACUUCUGUAAAUCCGCAGAAAUCCGUGAAUCCGCAAAAAAAUAAAUAAAUAAAUAUAUAUAUAUAUAAUUAAAAAUUUAUUAUAAAUUUAAUUAAAAAAAUUAUAAAUGUGACAUUGCAUAGUUACUAAGCACUAUAACAUAUCUUAACCAUUACCCAAUAAUAAUAUAAAAUGAAAAAUAAUUAAAUAAUCAAAUAUACAAAUAUAACUUGUAAAACUUGUAAAACAAAAUAAAAGCAAAGUCACACGCACUAGUAAAAGCAAAGUAACAUAUCGCCAAGUUACCAACAAUUUGCAAACAAAAAACCCUAAACUUCCCCGCCGUCACACACAAUAGCAACACUCAAUACGAGUUGGAUACACUCUCGACACGGAUUUAAAGGACAUCGGCCGUGCGAUUCUGGCAAGAGCAAGCCAUCUUCUUUCCCAAGUCCAUCGAGCUACUUCAGAUUCACUGGUUCCAACUGAACAAUUUCACUAUCACAACCUUCAAGAUCGCCACUCGUACAGCUUCUCCUGGUUCUCAUCGUGGAUGGCUCUGUAAUCACCACUUUUCGACAGGCGCAACAGCCCUGGUGAAGGAUCAGACUGUGUUUGGUUUCCAAAAUUUCGCCAUUUCAAUUAAUUGUGGCUUUUUUGAACAAUUAAUUUCGGUGUUAUAUUAACAUAUUAUUGUAACUUUAUUUGAAUAAUUAAGCUUGGUGUGUUAUAUUUUGAAACUUUGAACAUAUUAUUGUAGCUUUAUUUGAAUAAUUAGUCUCGAUGUGUUAUAUUUUGAAACUUUAAAUGUAUUAUUUUAGCUUUAUUUAAACAAUUAAUUUAUUUAAAUUUUAUUCAAUUUUAAAUUUAAUUGGUAGCAAAAUUAUUUUUAUAUUAGAUUUUUUUAUUUCAUUAGUUGGAGAGAACUAAAAAUUGUUAAUUCGAAAACUAAUGCGGAAAAUGGUGGAUUGCAUAUGGAUUGAGUUAAAUCCACAUCUGAUCCGCACACGUAUGGAUUGGAUAUGGAUUGAGUCAAAUCUGCAUCCGAUCCGCAGAUGUAUGGAUUGGAUUUGGAUUGAAUUUUAUCAAUCCGUGGAUUGGAUUGGAUUGAAAAAUUAUAAUCCGCAAAAUCAUGGAUCGGAUAUGGAUCGAUGUCCAAUCCGUAAAAUCCGAUCCGUAAACACCCCUACUACCAUUAAAUUAUUGACACUCUUGCCAUUAUCUUUUAUUCAUUUUAACUUAUUUUUAUAAUAUUAUCCUAUUAUAAUAAUUUUUGUAGACAUUAUUAAAAAGAAAAAAAAAUAAAUUACCAGUUGAACACUAAAAAAAAUAAAAUAUAUAUAUAUUAAUUUUUGUGGAACAAUCUCUUGAGUUAAAAUAUUAAUUUUUCUAAAAAAUUGAUAAUGUAAUUUUUUACAAUAUUAAUUUUUUAGACAUACGUGAGCUUCCAAAAAAAUUAAUAUAUACCUUUUUUAUUUUUAUUUUUUUUGAGUUUAAUUUGAUAAUCUAAUUCUUUAUUAAUAUCCAAAAAAGAAACAUUAUUGUAAGAGUGUAUUAUUGUAAAAGCAAGUUAAAAAGAAUAAAAAAUAAUGGCAUGAGUGUCAAUAUUUAACAAUAUGGAUGUUUUGAGGUAUUUUUAAAAAUAUAAGAACUAAAUGAGCACUAACCUCAUAAUAUAAGAACUAAACAAACUUUUACCUCUUUUUCUACAAUGUUAAUUCUACAGUCAUUAAUUAUGAACAUUACGAACCAGUCUAUCUGUCACUUUUUUUUUCAUUUUUUCUUUUCACAAAGUGUCUGUCUGUCACUAUAAUUUCAAAGACAUUGAUUCCCAUAUGAGGGAAACGACGAAACGUGACAUUAUCUUAUUCCCAUUGAUUUAUAGCCUCAAAAUUAAUAUCUAUUUUUGUUUGUAUAUGAUUCUUUAAUAAUUACAGUUUAGACGCUAUUACCUAAUAACUCGAUAGCUCAAAAAGUAUUUAGCUGUCGGUGACAAGAUUACUAAUGUGAUCAUGAAGAAAAUUUAUUGGUAGGAAAUAAUGCCGUUUUAGUCGAGAUAGAUGAGUUAAAAAUUAUUUUAAGCCUAUAUUAUUUAGCUAAUCAAUACAUACUAUCAAUCAACGUAGACUACUUGUCCUAUCACCUCUUGUCAUGUACAAGCCCUUUUUUUUAUCUUGUCUAUAUCGAGUGGUAAAUGAGUACGUAUGAGCCCACUCAUAUAUAAGUUUAAUUCUAAUAUUAUAUAAAAGCUCAUAAACUAAACUAAUACUCAAAAUUAAGCUUGCUCAAAAAUUGAGGGGAUGAGCUUCCAAAUCAGGGAAUAGAUAAUCUUGAUUUAAUAAAGAUAAUACAAUUGUUACUGUUAACGGUAUCUUUCAUAUUUAGUCAAUAAGUUUCUAUCCCAACUAAGUUUAUUGUCAAAAUUUUAUUAGGGGAGUGUCACUCUCGCAUUUAAAAAAUGAAAUUUCAUUCUUAUGGAUUUACAAUCAUACAUGUUCAAUUUAUACAAUUUUAUUUUUUUUAUAAACCCUCAACUAAGUGAGAAGAUUAAUUAAAUUGAAAAAUAUAAAGAUGAAUAAAUGCAGAGAGUUAUUCCACCAAAAUCCAUAAAGAUCUAAAACAAAAAAUAAAGUGAAUUGAAUUUUGGGGUUCUUUGAGGUGUUAAUUUGUCUAAUUGUGUCAUGUUAAAUUUUUAAACAAACAUAUACGACCCAUUUAUUAAUCAUGUUGAAACAUCAGCACAUGAAUAUGACCACGUCUAUGAAUCUUGUUAACCCAUUUAACAUAUUUAAUACAAAAAAUUAAAAAAAAAGAUAUAUCAAUAACCUUAAAAAUAGGUUAUAAAUAAGUUAAUAUGACACAAAUAUGACGUGAACAAGUUUAUAAUAGAAUAUGGAUAAAAUAUAAGCAAUAAAUUUAUUGUUCAACAUAUAUAUUAGUAAUUUUUUAAUAAUGUUGUACUUAUUAAUUGAUAUUCGUGUCAUGAAUGUGUAAUCGUGUUGAGAUUGUCCAACACAAAUAUGAUACAAUUAUUUAUCAUGUCGUAUCAUAUCAACUCAUUUAUUAAUUAUAUCAAUAUUUGUCAAUACAAAUAUAACAAAAAUCAUAUUAUAUCUAUGUUGUGCAAUCAUGUUGUGACCCAUUUUAUCAUCUCUAGGAGUUCUUCAUACCACAAGACCCAAUUUAUAUAGUGAUUUAAAAGAUAGAAAAUGAAAAUGACGCAAUUCAUAUAAUUUUGCAGAGAAUACUAGUGAAUUUGGGUUCUUCUACAAACUUUCUUGUUAGGUGGGCCAAAAAGAACCAAAAACAAAGAUACAAAGAAAGAUUAAUCGCUAUAAAAUUGAAGGAUUAUAAUUAAAUGCUAAGUUGAAUUUUUGUUGAGCACUAAAUUAAUGGUCAUAAUUUAAUUUUUAUUUUAUUUUUUUAUUUCUUUUACCUAACAGUCAUUGAUUUAAUGUUCAGCACUGACUCCUUGUCCAAAAUUAAAAUUCAUUGCUAACUCUUUGUUAAUUAGUUAACUAAAUGAUUGGUUGAGCAAAUCAAUGUCAAUCAAUUGCAUUAUUCCUAAAUUAUACAUAUUUAUUAUAUUUUUAAUUUUUUCUAAUUUCAAUCGAUUUGUAUAAACUUAAGAUUGGUUAUCAAAGAAAAUGAAAUUUAUUUUCCUUUUUAUUAUUUGCCUCAGUGGGAUCAAGAUCCUCUGGAUACUGUGUAUUUAUUCGAGCCUUUGGUUUGUUAAAUUUUUUGUACAUGCAUUUUAAUUUUUGUUUAGUGCUACAUUACAUAUUGUUUUGUUGGGAGAUUAUCACUUUUUCCUAUAUUAAAAUUAUUAUAUACUACUUAGUCCUGAAGUGUUUGUAAUAGUCAUCACCUCUUAUAGUUACAAACCAAAUAGAAAGGGUAAUUUUUUGUAAGGACGAACAAGUCUUUUGAUAAGUUAUUACUGAAUACAAGAAUCUUAAAAGCACAAAAUGAAAAAAAUAAAGACAAGAAGUUUUUCUUUAUUUUAUUUUAGGCAAACCUCGACGGUUGGAAAUAAAGACAAGAAAUUUAAAAAGGCUAAACAAAGAACAAAAAAAAAUUAGAAUAAGUAAAAUUUACCUAUUUCACAUGUGUAUAGUACACGAGUACCAAGACACAUGAAUCAUGGACACGGACCGAGUCUAUUAAGACACUCGUGUAAAACAUUUUGUAACAGUAAAACCUCUUUUAAAAAGAAAAAUACCAUUUCCUCAUUAAUAUCAACACCAACGUUUUCAAAAUAUGUGCGCGGCUUUAAACAUAGGCGAAAUAGAUAGUUACCUAGUCUUUCAUGUUAAGAAGACCUAUUGUGGUCAUUUAGGUUUAUUAUUAAAUUAUUAACACUCUUGUCAUUAUCUUUUAUUCAUUUUAACUUAUUUUUAUAAUAUUAUUCUAUUAUAAUAAUUUUUGUAGACAUUAUUAAAAAAAAAUGAAAAUUACCAGUUGAUCACUAAAAAAAAUAAAAAAUAUAUAUAUUAAUUUUUUUGGAACAAUCUCUUGAGUUAAAAUAUUAAUUUUUCUAAAAAAUUGAUAAUGUAAUUUUUUACAAUAUUAAUUUUUUAGACAUACGUGAGCUUCCAAAAAAAUUAAUAUAUACAUUUUUUAUUUUUUUAUUUUUGAGUUUAAUUUGAUAAUAUAAUUCUUUAUUAAUAUCCAAAAAAGAAACAUUAUUGUAAGAGUGUAAUAUUGUAAAAGCAAGUUAAAAAGAAUAAAAAAUAAUGGCAUGAGUGUCAAUAUUUAGCAGUAGAAAUGUUUUGAGGUAUUUUUAAAAAUAUAGGAACUAAAUGAGCACUAACCUCAUAAUAUAAGAACUAAACAAACUUUUACUCCUUUUUCUACAAUGUUAAUUCUACUGUCAUUAAUUAUGAACAUUACGAACCAGUCUAUCUGUCACUUUUUUUUUCAUUUUUUCUUUUCACAAAGUGUCUGUCUGUCACUAUAAUUUCAAAGACAUUGAUUCCCAUAUGAGGGAAACGACGAAACGUGACAUUAUCUUAUUCCCAUUGAUUUAUAGCCUCAAAAUUAAUAUCUAUUUUUGUUUGUAUAUGAUUCUUUAAUAAUUACAGUUUAGACGCUAUCACCUAAUAACUCGAUAGCUCAAAAAGUAUUUUAUAGUAAAAGAGCAGUUAAAGUUGUCGGUGAAAAGAUUACUAAUGUGAUCGUGAAGAAAAUUUAUUGGUAGGAAAUAGUGCCGUUUUAGUCGAGAUAGAUGAAUUAAAAAUUAUUUUAAGCCUAUAUUAUUUAGCUAAUCAAUACAUACUAUCAAUCAGGACUCGACUAGCUUACAGAAUCUAUAAGGUACAGACUGCAGCAUCAGCCGUUGGAUGUGGUUGGAUGUGGAGUGAGAAACUGAACAAUAGAAAAUCGGAUGGUGGGAUGACGGGAGAUGUUUGUUACAGAAUCUGUACCAUAGACAGGUCCCUAUCAAUCAACGUAGAAUAUUUUUCCUAUCACCUAUUGUCACAGGCCUAUUGCUUUGUCUUGUCUAUAUCAAGUGGUAAAGGAGUACGUAUGAGCCCACUCAUAUAUGAGUUUAACCCUAAUAUUAUAUAAAAACCCAUAAACUUAACUAAUAUUUAAAAUUAAGCUUGCUCAAAAAUUGAGGGGAUGAGCUUCCAAAUUAGGGAAAAGAUGAUCUUGAUUUAACAAAGAUAAUACAAUUGUCAAUGUUAACGGUAUCUUUCAUACUUAGACAAUAAGUUUCUAUCCCAACUAAGUUUAUUGUAAAAAAAUUAUUAGGGGACUGUCACUCUCGAAUUUAAAAAAUGAAAUUUCAUUCUUAUAGAUUUACAAUCAUACAUGUUCAAUUUAUACAAUUUUAUUUUUUUAUAAACCCUCAACUAAGUGAGAAGAAUAAUUAAAUUGAAAAAUAAAAAAGAUGAAUAAAUGCAGAGAGUUAUUCCACCAAAACCCAUAAAGAUCUAAAACAAAAAAAAAGUGAACGACAAUUUGGGGUUCUUAGAGGUGUUAAUUUGUCUAAUUAUGUCAUGUUAAAUUUAAGUAAGAACAGAUACGACCCAUUUAUUAAUCAUGUUGAAAUAUCAAAAUAUGAAUACGACCACGUCUAUUAAUUUUGUUGACCCAUUUAACAUAUUUAAUACAAAAAAUUAAAAGUUAAUGUAAAAAAUUAACAGAUAUGUCAAUAUUAUUCUUAAAAAUAAGUUACUAUGAUACAAAUAUGAUGUAAUAAGUUUAUAAUAUAAUAUGUAUAAAAUAUAAGCAAUAAAUUUAUUGUUCAACAUAUAUAUUAGUAAUUUUUGAAUAAUAUUAUACAUAUUAAUUGAUAUUCGUGUCAUGAACGUGUAAUCCUAUUGAGGUAGUCCAACACGAAUACGACACAGUUAUUUAUCGUGUCGUAUCAUGUUAACCCAUUUAUUAAUCAUAUCAACAUUUGUCAACACAAAUGCAACAAAAAUCCUAUAUAUCUAUGUUGUGCAAUCAGGUUGUGGCCCAUUUUACCAUCUCUAGGAGUUCUCAUACCGGAUAAAAAUGAAAAUGACGCAAUUAAUAUAAUUUUACAGAGAAGACUAGUGAAUUUGGGUUCUUCUACAAACUUUCUUGUUAGGUGGGCGAAAAAGAACAAAGAACAAAGAUAGGAAGAAAGAUAAAUUGCUAUAAAAUUGAAGGAUUAUGCUUUAAUGAUAAGCUGAAUUUUCGCUGAGCACUAAAUUAAUGGUCAUAAUUUAAAUUUUAUUUUAUUUUUUAUUUCUGUUACCUAAAAGCCAUUGAUUUAAUGCUCAACACUGACUCCAUGUCCAAAAUUGAAAUUCAUUGCAACUCUUUGUUAAUUAGUUAACAAAAUGAUUGGUUGAGCAAAUCAAUGUCAAUCAAUUGCAUUAUUCCUAAAUUAUACAUAUUAAUUGUAUUUUUAAUUUUGUCUAAUUUCAAUCAAUUUGUAUAAACUUAACGUUGGCUAUCAAAGAAAUUGAAAUAUAUUUUCCUUUUUGUUAUUUGCUUCAGUGGGAUCAAGAUCCUCUGGAUACUGUGUGUAUUUAUUUAUGCCUUGGGUUGUUAAAUUUUUGUACAUUCAUUUUACUUUUUGUUUAGUGCUACAUUACACAUUGUUUUGUUGGAAGAUUAUCACUUUUUCCUAUAUUGAAAUUAUUAUAUACUAUUUAGUCCUGAAGUGUUUGUAAUACCUCAUCACCUCUUAUAGUUACAAACCAAAUAGAAAGAGUAUUUUUCUGUAAGGACGAACAAGUCUUUUGAUAAGUUAUUACUAAAUACAAGAAUCUUAAAAGCACAAAAUGAAAAAAAAAAAUAAAGACAAGAAGUUUUUCUUUUCUUUACUUUUAUUUUAGGCAAACCUCGACGGUUGGAAAUAAAGAUAAGAAAUUUUAGACUAAACAAAGAAUAAAAAACUAAAUUAGAAUAAGUAAAAUUUACCUAUUUCACAUGUGUAUAGUACACAAGUACCAUGAGUCCAUGACACAUGAAUCAUGGACACGGACCGGGUUUAUUAAGACACUCGCGUAAUACAUUUUGUAACACUAAAAUCUCUUUUAAAACAAAAAAUACAAUUUCCUCAUUAAUAUCAACGCCAAGGUUUUCAAAAUAUAGGGGCGAGGCUUUAAAUAUAGGCGAAAUAGAUAGUUACUUAGUGUCUCAUGUUAAGAUCUCAUUGUCGUCAUCUAGGCCUCAUAUGUCAAGAAAACUCUUUACUUUUUGGUAUUUUCUUGAUAUAUUCAAAUUAAUAAAAUAGACUUUUUAAAGUUACUUAUUAUAGAAAAAUUUAUUUUUUAAGUGUCUCUUUAAUUAAUAAUUAUCUUACAAUUAAGAAUUUUUAUACAAAUUCUAUAUUUGAUAACCUUAAUUUUAAAAAGCUAGAAUUAAUAGUAUUGUCUAAACAUUCAUUAAUUAUUAUUUUUCUAAGAAAAAUAUUAAAUUCUUUAUCUGUCUAAAAAAUAUACUAUUUAAUUAAUAUUAUAGAAUUUCUUACAUUGAGCUCUAUAAAAAAAAUUAUUACAUUUAUUGGCUCACUUUUGAAGGGAAAAAAUAGUUUAUUGAAAUAAUGAUUUUAAAGAAAUUAAAUAAAAUAUCUUCUUGAUUACUUUUUCUUUUUGAAAUUUCUUAUUAUCUUGUUAGUUGUUAACAUUCAAGAUAUAAUAAAAAAAUUAAUUGAUUUUUUAGUUUUUUUUAUGUUUCUUUUGAGUGUUGAAGCUACUGAAUGUAAGGAGGUCUUAUAAAAAAAUUUUGUCUAAGGCCCAAUACUAUAGAGUCAAUCCUAUCCAAAAAAUAAUGGCACAGGGAGAUUGGAAGGGGUAAAAGAAGCAUUUGAAAUGUAUUGUAUGGAUUUAAUUGUUUUAUCUUUUAUAUACUAGUCUUCUAUGUAAUUUAUAAAAUUUAUAUUCAUUCCGAUAUUGAUACCAAAUUUUAGUCACGACAUUAUAUAUUCUUUCUAUCAAUAACCAUUUAAUGGCUCAACGAAUUUAUUUAUUGUGAUUAAUGGAACUGUAUGCCACAAUAAUUGCGCACAGCCAACUCAUGUACAUGUGUAACAUAAUUUAUGGACGUUCACUAGGACAAAUAAUUUAGGUAGAGACGAGAAAAUUGUUUUCUAAUAACAAAAUACUUUAAAUAAUUUAGUAUCCUAAAUGAUGUUAUAUGACCGGGUCAUUGGGUCUACAUGUGAUACUAUGUGACAUAAGCUAAAUAUGUUUUGUGUUUCAAAUGCUAUUGUUUUGUUAAAAGGAUUUAAAUGGCUUUAUGAUGAUGUGAUUUAUUUUUACUAAAUGAUGAUUUACAAAGGUUAUUUCUCUUAUUGUUAUGUAUAUCUAAGAAGUUUUAUUAAAUUAUAUUCUAAUAAUUUUUAGUAUUGUGCAUAAAUUUAUUUGCCAAGUUGACGGCUCACCUCUUAUUAUAGACUUAGAUGAUGUGAGCUCAUGGUCUUAGGAGGGAGAAUAAGAACUCUGUUUAUUUUGGAGAUUGUUGUUACGUUGAUAAUUUAAGAAUAAUUUAGCUUAUUUUGGAGGUUUCGAACAUUUAUUAUUAGUUAUUACUUUAAAAGUCUUAAAUAUGAGAAUUAUGAAAUGUAAUUUCACUUCAAUUCUACCAUAAUGCCUUAUUAGUGGGAUUGGGGUGUUACAAUAUGGCUCAUUGCUUCUAGUCAGAAGUCGGCUCUCCAGCAUGAAAACUUUAGGGAAUAGAGUUCGUGUAAUGCAAUUAUCGCACAUAAAUUUUUCUGUUAAAUAGUUGUAAGUUACAUUUAUAAAGUCUUGUUCAGUAUUGGAUGUGUGGCUUAAGAUCUACUAUUAUUGUAAAAAAAAAGUUGUAACUAUAAAUAAAAAAAAUUAAUAAUAUAAUAAAUAUAAUUUUACCAUUAAAGAUUAAAAACUACACUUAGCUGAGUACAGUAUCGAACAGACUCUAAUAAGUCUGUCUCCCACAAACUUUUUGUUUUGGUCAAUUAUAGAUUCUAUAAGUUCUCGGUGGCAAAAACUUUAAUUUUUCGGUUACAUCAUAAAUUGCAUUAAAUGCAUAAACAGUUCAGUUGAAGGAAGCCAACUGCCAAUAAUAAUAGGUUGUUCCCAGCUAACAUCCAACCCGUCAUCCAAAUUUAAUAAUUUCUUACUUAAAUGUCUCUGACAUCAUAAUCAUAGCGCGGGUAUCGAAGGAAGCGGGCAAUAAUCAAAUCAAACGAGUUCCAAAUUCACCAGAAAUGUAAAAAGAAAACAAACCGAGUUCUCAUGUUCUUAAAUUAUCACAUGGGUUACAUGUGUUGUUCUGAUGAAGAUUUGGUGUCACCUGUACAUUUGCUUCAACGUACAUACAGCAACAUAAGAUAAGCAUUCAAUCCUACUCGCUUUCUUUCACCUAACAUUUUCUCCAAAUUCAUUCAACAAUUGUGGUGGAGAUUGGUGCGGCGAUAAACCUACCUACCGCACUACAAUUGCCAUGCAAAUACUAGAGUACAGUACAAUAUAUCGAUUGCAAAAUAAAGAUGGGAGAUUGUCAAUUUUUUUCUAUUGAAAUUUAAUUUCCGACAUUAUAAUUUUACAGUACUAAUUUAUUUUAAAUAAACUUUUAUUCAUAUUUUUUAAAAAUUACAUAAAUCGAAUAUGUUGAAAUUAAAAUAAAAAAUGUUAAAUACUAAAAAUAAGAAAAAUUCUUAUUCUUAUUUUCUAUUUUUUCUAAUCUAUUCAUAUCCUUAUUUUUAUUUAUUCUAAUCUUUUUUUAUUAUUUAUAGGCUGAAAGGAUAUCAAUAAAAAUAAUAAAUAAAAAAUUUAAAAAGAUAUUUUAACCUUCAAUGGAUAUUUGUUUUUCACAUAAAAUGCAACAAAUACAUUUUUUAAACUUUUUUUCUUAUAAUUAACAUUUUGCAAACUGCAAAUGCUAUAUCAGGCCUUGUACAAUGCAUAGCAUACAUCAAGCUACCAAUAGCACUAGCAUAUUCUAGUUGUGCUACUAUUCGGUCUGAAUUCUCUAGUAAUUUAAUACUAGAAUCACAUGGGGUAUUAGCCUCUAUAUAAUGAGAUUGACACAACGAGUAACCUCCACUAUGUUUCUUCACUUUGACACUUAAGAUAGUAUCUACUUCACCAAGAUCUUUCAUCUUAAAUUGUGAAGUUAAAUAAUUCUUCGUAUCAUCUACUCCUUGCAUAUUUGUUCCAAAAAUAAGCAAGUCAUCAACAUACAAGCAUAUAAUCACACCAAAAUCAUUCGUAAAUUUAAAAUAUAUACAUUUAUUAGCAUUAUUAUGCUUAAAACCAUGAGAUAAAAUUACCGAAUCAAACUUCUCAUGCCAUUGUUUUGGUGCUUGCUUUAAACCAUAAAGUGAUUUGACUAACUUGCAUAUCUUUUUCUCAUUUCCUGGCAAAACAAAUCCCUCAGGUUGUUCCAUAUAGAUUUCUUAAUCAAGAUCACCAUUAAGAAAAGUGGUUUUAACAUCCAUUUGAUGCACAUACAAAUUGUUCAAUAAAGCAAUUGCAAAUAGCACUCUUAUAGAAGUUAACCUUGCUACCGGAGCAUAUGUAUCGAAAUAAUUAAACCCUUUGGCUACUAAUCUAGCCUUAAAAGUUUGCAAAGAACCAUCACUAUUGUAUUUUCUUCUAAAUACCCAUUUGCUGCUAAUUGGUUUAGAUCCUAGAGGAAGAUCAACCAAGACCCAUGUUUGAUUCGACAUAAUCGAAUCAAUUUCAUCAUUUACCGACUCUCUCCAAAAAGAAACGUCUCUAGAAGACAUAGCUUCGCUAAAUGUCUUUAGAUCUUUUUCAAUAUUUAACAACAAUGGUACUUUGUUAAGUACAUUCUUUCUAUCCCCUUCAACUAAGAAGAGUAGUGCUUGUGAUGAAAUAAAAUCCGGAGCUAAACUCUUUUCUUUCUUUUCAUGUUGACUCCUCCUUGGUUCGAAAGAUGUCAUAGACUCUUUCCUUUUAUUAUUGUUAGUGGAGGUAACAAGAGUAUUAACACAUGGUUGAUCAAUAAUUGAUUCUAAUUCAAUAUUAGAAUCAUGUUGAAAUUUAUUCUAAAUAAAUUCAACAUCUCUAGAUUCCACAAUCACAUUAGAAUCUAAAUUUAACAACCUAUAAGACUUGGAAUUUUCAGCAUAUCCUACGAAAACACUCUUUAUACAUCUAGCACUUAACUUUGAUGAUUUAGGAUCAUGUAUUUUAUAAAAAGCUAAACAACCCCAGACCCUUAAAUACAUCAAGUUUGGUUUUCUUCCUUUCUAAAUUUCAUAAGGAGAUAUAUGUGUUUUCAAAGAUGUAAUUCUGUUAUGAAUAUGACAUGCAGUGAGUAAUGCUUCCCCCCACAAAUUAUUUGGUAGUUUUGCAUUAAGGAUCAUGGAAUUUAUCAUAUCCAUGAAGAUCAUAUUCUUCCUUUCAGCCAAAUCAUUUUGUUGAGGAGUAAAUAGAGCUAAUCUUUGGUGAAUAAUUCUAAAUCCUUCACAAUAAUUAUCAAAUUCAAUUGAGAAAUAUUCACCACCUCUAUCACUACGAACCAUUUUGAUUUUCUUAUCUUUUUGGUUCUCAACUUCAGCUUUAAAAAUUUUAAAUUUAUCAAAAGCUUCAUUUUUUGUUCUAAGUAAAUACACAUAAGUGUAUCUAGAAUAAUCAUCAAUAAAAGUGAUAAAGUACCUCUUACCUCCUCAUGUUAAAACGCCAAUAUACUCACAAAUAUCGGUAUAUAUUAAAUCCAAUAUUUGAAUAUUUCAUUCGACUUUAGGAAAAGGUUUCUUAGUUAAUUUAGCUUGGAUGCAGAUUUCACACUUAUGACCUUUAACAUCAUUGCAAUUAAUCAAACCAUGCUUAGACAUGUAUUUCAAAGAUCUAAAAUUCAAAUGUGCUAAUCUAGCAUGCCAAACAUCACAAGACUCAACAAUAUAAGCUCAGUUGAUAUUAUUAUUAUUAAUGCUGAGUUUGUACAUUCCAUCACAAAAAUACUUUUUUCCCAACAAAUAAUCCAUUCUUUGAGAUAAUACAAGUAUUACCCUCAAGCACAAUCUUAAGCCCAUGCUUACACGUACAACUAGCAAAAAUAAGAUUUUUCCUAACGGAAGGUACAUGAAAGACAUUAGACAAUGUGACUUUCUUUCUAAAAGUAAAGUUGAUCUCAACUACUCAUUUCCCUGCUACUAUGGUUGCAUUAUUAUUCCCCAUGAGAACCAUUUGUCCUUUCGUUUUUUUUUUGUACGAUAAGAAAAAAUUUCUUAUCAUUGCAAACAUGAAUUGUUGCACCCGAAUCGAGCCACCAAUCAUAGGACUUAGUUUCAGGCAUAUUGGUUUCGGUAAUCAUGUCAAUUUGCAUUUCAGAAACCAUAGCACAAAUCUCUUCAUAUUUGUUUUAAAUAACAUUAGCUUUAUGGGAAUUUACUUCUUCCUUUUUCUUCUUGAAUCUGCAAUCACUUUGGCGAUGGCCUUUCUUGUCAUUAAUUCAUUAUUAAUUUUUCUAAGAAAAAGAUUAAAUUCUUUAUCUGUCUAAAAAAUAUACGAAUUAUUUAAUAUUAUAAAAUUCCGUUCUGCACUUUAUAAAGAAAAUUAUUAAAUUUAUUGACUUUUCCUUUUUGAAAUUUCUUAUUAUCUUGUUCAUUGUUAACAUUCAAGAUAUAGUCAAAAAUUAAUUGAAUUUUGAGCUUUUUUAUUUUAGUGUUGAAGCUGCUAAAUAUAAGGAGACCUUAUAAAAAUAAUUUGCCUAAAGCCCCAAUACUAUUGAGCCAAUCCUAUUCAAAAAAUAUAUUUUAUAAAUAAUAUACUUUAGGAGGACCAUCAGUGGCACAUGGAGAUUGGAAGGGGUAAAAGAGACAUUUGAAAUGUAUUGUAUAAAUUCAAUUAUUUUAUGUUUUAUUUAUUAAGUUUAUAUGUAAUUUAUAAAAUUUAUAUUUAUUGCGAUAUUGAUAACAUAAUUUUAGUCACGGUAUUAUGCAUUUUCCCUCAGUAUAUUAUUUUUCUUUCUAUCAAUAAGCAUUUAAUGACUCAGCCAAUUUAUUUAUUGUAAUUAAUAGAACUGUAUGCCACAAUAAUUGUGCACAGCCAAUUCAUGUACACGUGUAACAUGAUUCAUACACGUUCCCUUGGACAAAUAAUUUAGGUGGACACGAGGAAAUUGUUUUCUAAUAACAAAAUACUUUAAAUUUUUUAAUUGUCGACGUUCAAUCUUUGUCCAUUCUGCAAUAAGUUUUUUUUUUUUUUUUUAACAUAGAAUCUGAGGGAUAAAGAUAUGGUUUUCUUAAGAUACAUUUAUUAUAACUUAUAAUUAGGUUUUUUAGUGUAAAAAUAAAUAACCGUGUAAUAUGAUGUCAGGUAGAUCAACGAAUGAAUUUUAUUUAAUUAUAAAUUACAUUAAACAUAACUUAUGGAGACCCUAAGGAUGUUUGUAAAAGAUAAAUAAAGUUGACGAAUCUGAAGCUCAUUUGUCAAUAAAAUUGAUGACUUUGAAACUCAGUUAUCAAUAAACAUUCCGAUCACAGCCAUUUCAAAUCACCAUAACCUAUCAUCCCUCAAAACAACUGAACAAGUUAAGCCGAUUUAUUCACUUCCUUCUCCAAAGCAUUAAAUGCGCUCUUGUUCGACGUGAACUGAUCUCAAAUGCUAUAACUCACAGUUAGCUAGAAGAAAGAAGAUAAAUAGCUUAAACAAGAGGGACACAAUUAUUGCGAUUUCGUCAAAUUAAUGGAUUUUUGGGUUAGUUUUGAAGAACACCCAAAUGUUUUGGCAAAUUUUUCUGCGCACCCACCUAUUUUCACAACUAUCUCUGCACACUGAAAAUGUUAAAAUUUUUCGUCAGUUCCCCUUUUUUAUUGUCUUUUUAUUUCAUUCCAAUUCAUAUAUGAAGGUAAUAUCUUUUCAUGGAUAUGGGUCCAUGAUUUUUGCCCCAUCCAAAUACUGUUACGGCAUGGUUUUGAGUUCUAUUACUGCGAUUUUAUACAAAGAUGUGUUUUUCUUGUAGAUUGAAGAUUUUGAGCUCCAUUUCAAAAAAAUGUACAAGGUAUAGAUUAAUUUCUACAUGAGAUUUACUAACAGAAGUGGAGAUUCUUAAAUUAAAAGAGUUAAGGCAUAUUUUUAUUUGUAAAAAAUAAAAAUUACAAGGAUAAAACAGGAGAUGCAAGUAAUUAAACACUUAAAUUAUAAAAAUGACAACAGUUAGAUCGGAAUGCUUUAACUCUAAUGACUGACUCCGAACAAGAUAAACUGGGGUUAGGUAUCCUAAAGGCAACAUAGCUGGACCUUUUCAUUUUUUUUUUCAUUUUUUUAACGUGAUAUAUCGUGUGGUGGCCAUAUGUCACCAGUCAAAUAUUAUUUUAAUUCGCUCUUUAUUAUAAAUUUUGAGAGACUACGAGAUAUAGUACCUAUUUCGGUCGCUUAAUUUCGAGUUAUGUCACGUGAAAAAUGAAGCUAAAUAGGGCAAAAACAACGGACAAAUACAAAUUAUCCUUGCACAACUUUUUUUUUCUUUGCAUGUCGGAUUAUUAGUGGUGGUAAAUUUUGAAGAAUUAGUUAAUUGAUCUUCUUCUUUUCCUUCAUGAAAUUCUUGAUUUCACACUUCUAGAUAUGAAAGGACUCUAAAAGUUAACUAAUAAUUAUCACCUAGCACUGCUAAUUCAUCAGUUUCACACACUGAUAAUAAUAAAAAAAUUUAGAAGUUCUUCAUCCCAGUUAGAUAGAUGGAUGAUUUCUUCAUCACAUCUAUAAGAAAUUAAUAUAAUUUGGAGGAAUUUUACAAAUAUAUCAAAGGUAAUACAACUGAUGAAUAUAUGUAUGAUAUGUGUGAUUGAAUUUAAUGUAUACAUCACUUGUAUGGUGGUUUUUUAAAAUAAAUAUAUAUAUGUCAUAGCAUCAUUUGUUUGUUGUACAACUGACAUGAUAUCUCUAGUGUAUUUUAAAAAAAUUUCAUAAUUUGUAUAAACUUCACUUGUACCAAUAAUAAUAGCCCAAAGGUUCAAUUCAUACGAAACGGCUGAAAAAUAAAUAUGGAAGUAUACCCUUAACAUAAUUUCAAUAUAAAUAAUUGAUGGACACUGAUUUGGGCAAUUAAUCAUUCAAUUAGUUAACGAAAAUUUAGAUACUGAUUUGGGCAGUUGAUGUAAAUCUAAUAAAUAACAAACCCCUCAUUACUUGUUAAAUACAUACCUCGGCAAGAUCAUUAAUGGGAUCCACUAUAACAUCUUCAUUAUCCACCGAAGAGCCAAGAUCGUUAAUCUGCAUGCCGUGGAUUCUGGAUUUCAUAGCUUUAGCCUUAACAUAAGCCGGGAAAAUUUUCGAACCUCUACUCCAUCUUUGAGCCAUCUAAUUUUAGCCUUAUGCCUUGGUCCCUCAAAAUUGGGGGAUAAAUCUUUGGAGUAUGCGCUGGUUGAAAGUUGGAAUAUAUCUGACAUUGAAAGUUGGAAUAUAUUUGACAGUGUUCAUUUUAUAAAUUUACAGUUUGGAAAUGUAAAAAUUGUAUGGGUGAUUUUGUUUACUUUCAAUACGAUCUCUGUAUGGUAGGUAUUAUUUGGUUUUGUUACAUGAAAUUAGCAAGAUUUUUCCAUGGAGCUCGGAACAGUUCAUCUCCUUUCAUGUGUUACUUUCUGAUGCUCAAAAACGAUAUUGUUUACUUACAGCCAAACAAUUUAGUUUUGAAGUGAUAGUGUUUACUUUUGCGGACUAUAUACUAUUUAUGGCCAACUUGAAAGGUCAUUUAAUUUUUUUAAUUUUUUUAUAUAAAAGUCAAAUAGGUAAUUUUGAUUUUUUUCGGAGAUCAUUUUCAUUUUCAUUUUCAUUUUCUUUUCUGUGAUCCUUUUGAGUCCAAAAUUAUUUAAUAUUGUUUUUAAAUUUUUUAAAAGAUAAGUGUGGGUAAAAUCUAAAUUUUCACUCAGAUGACCUAUAGAAAAAUAAUGCUAAGAGAGAAAUUUUUGUCUUUUUUAAGAACCUUGGCGAGUCAGGUAAUUUUAUUUAUAAAAGUAACAUACUAAAACGAGGAUCGUUGUCCAUUUAUUACAGGUAAAUAAAAAGAUACAAUGCAUACUAAAGUUGACGAACACCAAUGCAUGCAUUCGAAAGUUUUGGCACAAGAUCCCGACUUCAGCAAGUCUAGAUAGAGAUGCUGUAUGGAACUCCUUUCCCUUUGUCUCCAUCUUUCCAAUAUGGCUUCAAGAGAUUAUAUGGAACAACCCCAGCUCCAUUUCUGUUCACCAAAGUGCUAUCUUCAUUCCUUUCAUCAAUGAUUCCUUCAAGCUCCAUCAACCUGCCACUAAACUUCUCGAAUGCACCGUUUAUGACUGGAUCUUCACCCCAUGCUGGCUCCUUAUCUUUCCCUAAGAACUCUUCAUCAGGAGAAUGAGUCGAUAGCAAAUCGAGGGUAGCUAUAACUAGAAUGGCUUGAUCCUGAUUGGGGAAGGUGUACAAAAGUGCAUCUUCAGGUUUUUCAAUGAAUGUUUUCCAAAUUUUUUGUGUUGGAUCUUCAUCUGGCAUGUUUACUCUUGCAAUUGUUGGCCUGUUGGGGAAGUAGGCAGCAUAUGUGUAUUGGCCAAAGUUUACAGCUGCAUGGUGACCAGAUGCUACCCAAAUGAUAGUUGUUAAGAUUUCAAUCAAAUCCUGAGGGGUUUUCAGGACAUGCCACCAAGGUUCAUCCUUUUUGUCAGCGUGUCCGACAGUUCGAAUUUCAGUCCACCAAGCUUGGAGCUCAUCAUCAGACUCUACAAGACUUUGAUCAGGAUAGUAAUGAUUCACAUAAUCGGUAACCCAUUGUUUUAAGAUACCCCAUAGAUCGAGACCGUCCUUGGCAAAAGGAUAGUCGUCAAUUGUUAGCUUUAAGCCGUGUCGAGCAUUUGGAUCUUCAACGGCCAUUCCCCUGGGUAAUCAAACCCCGAAAAGGAAAAAAAGUUACUCUUUAGAUUGUGUUAUCUCUGUGUGUCUAAACAACCAUUUAGAAAAAAAAAUUAAUGAAAUCCGUUUUACAAUUGAAAUAACUACUUGGAGUUGCUUUGGUAAUGAGGUAAGCCAUGAUUGUUGUGAAUAAAUAGUUAUAGUUGUUAAAUAAAAGUUAAUAUGUUUGAUAAAUAUGAUUUUUAAAAAAUAUUUUUGAUAAAUUAGUGAAGAUGUUAUAAAUUUUUUAUCAAACAAUUAUUUGAUAAAAUCACUUUGCCUUAAUAGUCGCACCUUGUGUUUACCAAAUGGACCCGUAGUGACUUUAUUACCUCUUAAUAAGGUCUUUGGGGAGUGCUUGUUCGUCAAACCGCCAUUGCUUAUCAUAGAUAACAGAACUCAUCUCCAUACAAUAUUCUCCAGGUGAGAAUGUGUUUUCAAUGACUCCACCAGCACUAAUAAGUAUAUCCCGACCUAUAGCAUUGAGCUCCAAUGUGUAUCGAAGAUGAGGAUGCAACAAUCUAUAGAUUGGAUGCAUCACACUGAGUUGUCGAUUGGUAGCAAUUAUGUAAGGUUCUACCACACAAUGACUUCUUAACCUACAAGAGAGAUCGUGUUCAAUAAUUAAUUAAUCACAUGCUCAUUGGAAAAAAAAAAAAGUUCUGAACUAGGAUAAAUUAUUACACAUACCAAUGGCUGACAAGCUGGUGAUAGCCCGAAUCAUGAGCAAGAACAUGAGCUUUGGCUAGCCUCCAAAGCCACGUCUUAGUAGAAUUCCAAGAACCCGGUGUAUACACUUUUCUCCAAUGUGGCUUGUCGUCCAUUGGAGGCCGAGUUAACUCAAUGGCUAGUGGUCUCAACGUGUUAUCUGGAGUUAGGAAGAAUACAGUGCGGGACCCAUACAAGGUCGUGUGUUCGAGCUUCCUCACUUUUUCUACAUAGGGCAGAAAUAGGUCAUGGUAAUCUAACAUGAACAACUUCUUUUGUUCUAUAGCCUGCAUAAAAUUGAAGUUUAACUUACAAAUUAAUUAAUCGAAGUGAAACUCAUAUUUAAUUAUUGAACAUAGAUGAUUUUUCUUAGUGAUUGAUAUAAACAUAAAAUUGGGUGUAUAAUCAGUGUCGAUACCUCUUCAACAGAAAUCAUUGCUCCAAGUUCUUUUUCAAUGAUAUCUUUGGUGAUUGCUGAUUCUUGUGGACCGUAGAUUUUAGGAUCGAGUGAGCUUUUCAAAGGCCAUUCCUGCAUGAAUUUAUGUAAUUUUUAUUCUCCAAUAUACCGAAUCAUUUUUCUGAUACAAUAUUCAUUAAACAGCUUGACUUAGUAGUUUAACCGAUCGGAUAAUUAAUUGUCCACUAUUAAUAUUCACGGCGGCAAAUCUCAAUAUAUAAUACCGUAAUCAACUGUAUGCUGCAUGGGUUGAGACCAGCUAGUGUUUGCCUAGCAAAUUCCUCAUCCCUAAACCAAAAGAAUUUGUCUCCUGCAAAUGACAAAAUACAUAAUGAUUUAGGGUUCGGGCAUCAAAUUCCUGUGUGAGAAAUUAAGAAGAGAUGCUUACUCAGCAUUGCCUCAGGAGCAUCGAACUGGAACACUUCUUCGCCCAUUUCUUUAAGUUUCUUAGCAAACCUGGCAAGUGAGUUUAAGAAACCUGGUUCUGCUUCAGGCAAACUAAAUCCAUCUUCAUUGAAGAGUUCGUCUAUCUCUGUGAAGUAUUCAAAUUUUUUAUCACCAUCGAAGAAUUUUUCGAUGUAUGGUAACGCAGCAUGACACAUUGAUUUAUAGUCUUUCAUAUGAUCAAAUGCUUCCUGCUUUACAUCCGAAAACGUUUCAUCUCUUGGCACAUAAAUAUAUUUAUCUCUUUUCUCCUUCAAAGGAUCUGCCAUUAAUAUUACAAAAUCGUCAAGAAUCAGGAAAAAUCAAAAUCUUUCAACAAACGAAAUAUAUAAUAUUUGUCAAAUCUCCCAACUGAAUUAACUGUUUGGGAGGUUAAAUGUCAUCUAAGUAUGUUCUAAAGAAGUCUAACAUAACAUCUGUAAUGUGCUUCAUCAAUAAAAUCACAUGACAUUGGUACAUUAUCUUUAUGUUUAUUUUUUAAACUAAAAAUUGAUGAAGGAACAACAUAUCAUACUGUACCAGAUUCAUAAUGUGGACGUCCAGUUCUGCAGCGUCUGGGAUAAGGAAAUUUUUUGCCACCAAGCACCGGUCGUCUUUUGUCAGGAUUUCCGAGAUCAUUAUAGACAUCAUAAUCAUAUAUUCUGUCAGAUGGUUGACGUACUCCUUGUCCAUUGCCUCGCAAAUGAUAAAGCUCUUCAAUUCUAAACCUCUUCAAUCCAUCCGGUGUUUGUGAUGGCAAGUACGACUGACGGAGAAAAAAAUGUUUGUAUUAAACAAAACUAAUGCAGUACAAACAAAUGAUAAUAACAAAAUCAUAUGGGCCUAACCUUGUUAGCAAAGAAAAUUCUCUUCGGUUCGUUUUUGUUCUUCGGUUGAAUCCAUGAAUUACAUGUUAUGUUCACAGGAUCACCAUUUGAGAAACCAUCAAGAACAAUAUUCAUCAAAUAGAUCUCAACGUGGUGCUCAUUUUCCACAGACAUUGCACCAACUUCUCCAAAAUCUGAUGGAACGUUGAAUGUUGAUUCAUAUAGUUCAUUUCCAUGCUUAUCUUUGCCUGCUUUGCGUGCAUGAGCAUAGAUGGUUGAUUUCUCUGAUCCCGUAGCUGAAAAAAAUGUGGGAAAGAACAAAACGAUCAAAAACAGUUUUCAUUCUUCCAGAACAUUCUUGAAAUUUUUCAGAACAUGGAGGGAGAGGGGUAAAAAUGUGAAAAAAGAAAAGUUCAUUUCUCAGAUUCCAAAAGUUGACAGUUAGCAGUAAGGUCGUAAUAAUAGUCGUACUAAGCUUUCAAAGAACAUAAAAGACAAGUUACCCAAACUGACCGUAUUACAUUAAGUUACCGCUUCAGUAGCUCUCCGCAUGGUUUUUUUUAUUUUUGCCCUUAAAAAAAUGGCUUCAUAAAAUGUUUUGCAGUACUUACUGUGAUCAAGGUCGGCGCUAACAAGCUCCAAGCGGAGUGUUCUGCCUAGAAAAUAAUCUUCAUAAUCGUCUUUCCAUGUUGCUUUCACAGUGACUACAGCAUUAAUUACGCUGACGGAUUUUUCAGUAGAUGUUGCUAUAGCUUCGAUAUUUUUACUACUAACAUUGUGUCUUUUUGAGUGACAACUAACACGAACUUUGGAUCCUAUUUUAAGUGAAGGACUUGGCUGAACUUGACGAAAAACAUGGCAAUUUCCAUGCAGAAAUGGCUUGGAGAAUGGAAAUAGGACUGUGGUAGGGGUAGAGUACCGAUGAACUUGUGGUUUCAGCAUUUUUUUUUGGUUUUCUGACUAAAAGGAUAUGCUUGAGAUUUUGCUAAAGAAAGAUUGACUUAAUUAUAGGCUAGCUGUGAGAGACUUGGGAGACCGAUCCCCCCUUUAUAUAGAAAUUUUGAGGCAUAGAUGAGAAAAACUGUAUUUGGCAGUAUUAAUUAAUUUCGUCUUUUCUGCUAUUCAUUUCUUGACUUUACUGAUAGCAGGAGAAAUUUUAUGAUACAUCAAAAGUACCAUGUCAGUCAUAUAAUAAGUAAAUAAUGAUGUGAUAUGUAUGCAUUUAUUUUAAAAAAUCAUCAUACAUGUGAUAGUUAUAUUAAAUUCAACUACACAUGUCAUGUAUGCAUCAAUUAGUUGUAAUAUUUCAAAAGUAUUCUAAAAUUUCUCCUGAUAGUAGAUAUGAAGCCACAUGAAAAAUCUAAUAAUUGAUUCAAACCUUUCGCUUAUGGAAAUUUAGAAAUAUUAAUUAAUCUUGUUAUUUUCUUCUAUAAAAUUCUUGAUUUUACACUACUAGCUCGAUAUAUGAGUGCAUACAAAAAGUCUAAUAAUUACAACUGAUCACUUUAGGUAUCUUGAACCUAUUUUCAAUUUGCGAGGAGUUCCAAAUUUGGCUUUGUGUACUGUUUACUUUUCUUUCCCUUUAGGCUGCUCAAUUAUACUCUUUCACUUUAACUCUAUUUCUGGAUAAAAAUAUUAAAAUUAUUUCUGAAAAGUUCUUCUGUCUUGAGCAGAUUUUAUAUGGUUUCUUCAUCACAUCUCGUAGGAAUAAAUAUUUUGUUAUAAUGUAUUGAUAUGGAGUCUGCAAACUUUCUAUUCCCAUUAUUAUGUAAGUAGGUUUUUUGGCUUAUCCUUGUCACGUGGAAAACUAGUGAGAGCUGCAUGGAUUUGGCUUGAUAUAAAAACUCAUGUGCCUGAGUCAUACACAAAUACUAGCUCAAGAGCAGAGAAUUGCCUCAAACUUACAUUAUUGGCACAAUAACAAUUCUCAACCAAUAUAGAUAAUAUCCUCAACACCUCAUUCUAUUUUUCUUUUGUACUAUUGUAGUACAGAAUUAAUUAGAAGGUUUUGGAGUCUGCUUUUUAAUAUAUUAAAAUGCGUCCCAUAUUAAUAUGGUAGUCAAUCAAACUAAAUAUGUGCCUAAAAUUCUAGUUUUAUAUCUUUUUCAUAUUUUCCCGUUUAAUUAGACCUAUUAUUAGGUUUUUCUAAAAUUAAAAGGAAACGUUAAUUAUUAAGAAAAAUUAGAUUAGGUAUACGUUUUAGUUUUCCAUUUUUUUUUCAAUUAUGAUUUGGUUUCCUAUUUGAGUUAAUUUAGGAAAAUGAAGUUAUCUCAUUACAAAGGGCAAAGACUACCUACAUCCCCAAGAUUUGAAAAAAUAGCCAUGCAGACCCCAAGUUUUCAAUAAGGAACAACAAAAAUCCUUUGGACUAUAAUAGCCUUUGUAGAUAGUAACUAAAGAAAUUGACUUUAAAAAUUUUUAAUAGAUACAAAUAUAAUUUAGAUAGUUUAAUUUUUGUGGUAAACUAAUAAUAUUAGAAUAUUUUUUAAUAUAUUAAAUAAAUUUUAAAAUCUAAAUUAUUCUAUUUAUUUUAAUAAUAUAUAUGUAUUUAUUAUAAAAAAUUUUAAAUGAAUCUUUGGUUUAAAUAGAUUCUGCAAUUAAUAAAAUAUAUCUCAUAUAUUAAUAAUAUCAAAAUCAUUUUAUAUAAUAUUGAAAAUCAUUUUUUAUUUAUUUUAAUAUUAUAUUUUUAUUUAUUACAAAAUUUAGUCUAAUAUAAUAUACGAUUGUAAAGUAUUAAAACAUUUUUCAAAAUAUUAAAAUUAUUUUAAAAUAUAUGCAUUGUUAAAUUUAGUUAAAUAUUAUAUUUUUAUUUAUUAUAAAAUAUUGGACUCAAUUUUUUUUGAGUUAAUAUAGCCAAAAGAUAUUAUAAUUAAAAUAGGGUCUUUGUUUCUAAGAAUUUACAAGAUUAUUUUCUUAAAUUUUAGAGGUGCAAGUGGGUUUUUUUUUUUUUUUUUGUCUAUUAUAAAUCCAGACGUAUGUUUUUUAUUGUUUAACAAAGUAUUGAAUCCAAUAAAUUCACGUGUAUCACAUACCUGUACAUUUAUUAUGGACCGAUAAAUUUAGGCUUAGAUGGUUCCAGCUCACGUGCCCAUCAAUGGGUAAUCAGUAGUUGAAGAGUGCCAUUUAAUUGAUCAUGAAUUAAAGUCUUUGCAGAGGACGAUAAAAGUCUUUGCGGAGGACAGGUCCACUACUUGUUUUCUCUGUACACGAGUAACACGAUGCAUGGACCACCACGUUUAUGACAUAAAUAGGUUACCAUCUUGUAACUGUAAAACGACUCACUUAAAUGUUUUUAGCUAAGUUAAUUGAUAUUGGGAUCCCCUAAGUUAUAUUUAACGUACCUUACAUCUAUUUACAUAAAUAAUGUAUGAUGUUAGGUAUAUGAAAUAUAACUUAGAGUUUGAUUUGAUAUUGUUUGGGUGAAUUCAGAGUUCCGAAAGAGUUUUCCCAAGCUUUAUUUUCAUGUAGGAAGAGCAUGUAAUAAUAUUACAGCUAACAAGCACAUCAAAUCUUUUGGCUCAUUCUCUAAAAUUAUUUGAAGGCUAUGGUUUGAAAUUUAGCUCUCAUUAGAGCCCAAGAGUUCCAUGAGGAUCCAUGAUGAUAUUGACCCGGCAAUUAUGUCGAGAUGUGGUGGAUAUACUGGCAUGGAAGCUAAUGAGGCAUUGGGAUCGAGUUAUCACGCGAUAAGAGUAUAUGAACUUACAAGAUCGAUGGCCACCUCUAGACUAACGAGAAAAUCUCUUGGUCAGCUUGGGCCUAUACCGAGAACAAAUUAAACGGAGAGGAUGAAUGAAUGAAUGCGCGUGUCUGAAGUUCAAAGUUGAGUACAUCAACCUGUUGGGAUUACUGAUUUCAAACGUGUACUUAAAAAGAAUAAAACACAGAGUAUGUCCCUAUUCAGAAUUCAGUCCAUAUCAACCUGUUCAGAAUUCAUCCAUUUUUGGCAUAUCCCUAGCAGAAAAUGUUAGGUAGGGCUCAAUAAAACACAGAGUAUUGUUUAAGUCAGUAACUACGGAAAAAUAGUAUAAUCGUAGUUUUUUUUUUUUUUUUAAAUUUGUAAACGUAUAGUCGUAGAGUGAAAUGCUUUAAAUCUAAUGACUGAUUCACAAAAGACAAAAUGGGGUUAGUUACCCCAAAGAACAGACAGCUGGACCCUCCUUUUUUUGGCUACACUACCAAGAAUCAACCCAUCACAUUUCUAUCCCAUUUCGGAGAGAAAAUAAAAAAUAUAUAUAUAUGAAAAUGUUUUAAAUCUGACAACCGAUUUACAACAAGACAAAACGAGGAUAGUUACCCUGAAGACGAAAUAGCUGGACCUUUUAUUUUUUAAUUUUUUAGCUACACUACAAAUAAUCAAGCAAUCAAAAUUGUAUCUCGUUUCGGAAAGAAAGGAAAAAGAAAAGAAAAAAAAAUGUACCUAAAAAUAAAUCACUAUCAAAUAAAUCAUGAGAGUAAUUCCAACAUUAAUUUGUAGUAUUUUCUUAUGCUUAACUCACACGUGUAUUGAAACUCAAACCUGAAACUUGAGUCUUAAGAAAGUCAUUUCUUAUCAUUGAUGCUAAACCUUAACUUCAAAUUCCGAAACAUUCAUUAUUUAGAAUUUUUUUAAAAAAUGAUAUAUUGCUACAAUCAAAGUGAUCUACUGGUCACUAUUAGAAAUUUAAUAAGACUAAUUAAAUUUAGAUUGUGCUAUUUAUUCUACCCACACUUUUAUAAGAAAAAAUAAUAAUAUAUGAGUCUACCUAUAAUUAGAAAGGAAUAGAAAUCUGAACGCCGACAUGUAAGGGCGCCAAUAUAUGCCAAAAAGUGGGUGUAAAUGCUAAUGGCCCUCAUCACAUAAUUGAUUAAGGUAGCGUUUACUUUUUGGAUUGGAUUGGGAAUCCUGGGGAGUGGGAAUCCUAGGAUUGGGAGUGUGGAGUGGGAGUGGGAGUAGGUUGUUUACUUACACUGGAAUGGAAGCAUGGAAUGGAGAUCAGAAUCCAAUUUAUGUGUUUACUUUGUCUUGGAUUGGGAGUAAAUAGUUUCAAAUUACAAUUUUAUCCUUAUUUAAAGAAUUAUAAUUUUUAAUUACAAAACUAAUAAAAAAUAUAUUUAAUGAAUAAUAUUUAUUUUAUUAUAUUUGUAAAUUUAUUAUAAUUAUUAAUAUUCUUAAUUAUGAACAAUAAAUUAUUAAUUGUAAUUUUAAUAUAAAAUGAAAUGUUAUUUUAUUUUAUUUAAUAUAAUUAUAUUAAAUUUAUUAUUAUAUAAAAUAAUAAUAUAAUAUUAUUUAGUACAAAAUUAAUAUUUUCUUAGAAUAAAGUAUUUAUUAUUAUUAUUAAAUAAAUAUAGUACUAUUAUUUUUAAAAUAAAUAUAAUAAUAUUAUAUUUAUUAAUUCUCUAUUAAUAUAAUAAUAUUAUUUUAAAAUAAUUUUAACUUAGAAUCAAUGUAAAUUAUUAUUUAGUUAAAUAUAAUAUUAUUAUUUAAAUAAAUAUAAUAUUAUUUAUUUUAUUUUAUUAAUUAUAAAAUAAAAAAUAAAAAAAAGGGUAGAAAUGGGAGAGGUGUCCCACUCCCACUCCCCACUCCAAAAAUGGGUGGGAUCCACGGAGUGGGACUCCCAAUCCCUCUUCAUUUUAAGUAAGUAAACGCUGGAGUGGGAGGAAUCCACACUCCUUACUCUCACUCCAACAAGUAAACACAACAUAAAGAAAUUCGUCCACUUUGUUUUGUUUUACUCGUUAAAGUCUUCGAAGAAAGGACAACUCCAUCACGUGUAUCACGCGUCAACAUACGACAUAUGGACCAGUAAAAUUAAUAGAUCAAGCUCCCGUGUUUUCACAUACGUGUAAUCGUCCCCUGCAUGCAUACGUGGUCCCUCAACCCUUUGUCCAUUCUGCAAUAGAAACGAUAUAUAAUUAAUGACAACGAUACAUGUGAAACGCGUGUAGAGGACAAUUAAUCUCUUUCAUAUAUACACGCACGUGAUCCUUUACUCGAACGUAACUUUUUUUUUUCAAUAUGGAUAUAUUAUUAAAUCUUAUGAUUUAAUAAAAUUAAUAUAAAUAUAUUAUUAAAUUAUAUACUUUUUAAACACAUUAUUAAAUCGUAUGGUUUAAUAAAAUUAAUAUAAAUACGUUAUUAAAUCAUAUAUUAAAUAUUGAUUCUAUUAAAUUAUAUACUUUAAUAGAAUAUCUAUGCGGAAAAAAAAUUAAGUGUCCUCACCUGAAAAUUUAUAUAUGUAACAUAUAUAUUUGCAUAACCUCUCUAUUUAUUUGAAGAUGGAAGGUAUAAGUUGAAUUCUCUUAGGUUAAUCUCGUCCCGCUUAAGAUUUGGAUUGAGCUAUAUACGAAUAUUUCAGCUCAAUUUUCCUGGUUAGAGUUGAUUUUUCCUUUUUUAACUUGGAAAAUGUGCUCCCCGUUUCUAGGUAGUGUCAGCUCCAAUGGCAAACUCAGGAUUUUAAACUUUUGAGGGGCUUAGUAUAAAUAACAAUACAAUAUCAAAAUUUUUAACAAAAAAAUGUGACAAAAUAUGGUAGGAUCGAUAUGAUGUCCAUAAUUAAAUUAAUAUUCAAGAUCAUUUUGAUGAUUCCUGCUAUGCUCAAUUGUACUUAGUUAAAGUUAAAUCAACUUAGGACAUUCAAAAUGAUCAUGUAUGCGUAUAAUAAAUUGAGCAUGGCACGCAAAAAUUGAGCUUUUGAUUUCAACUAGAAAAUAGAACCGCGCUUCACGCGGCUUUGAAAAAAAAAUUAGUAUUAUUCUUUUUUCUUACUUUACACUUGAUGAAACUGAUAAAAAAUAUGAAUUGAUUUUUUUUUAAUAUAAGACAGUCUUAUAAAAAAAAAGUUAUUAGCCAGCAAUACAAAUAAAAAAAGCAACGCAAGAUAAAGAAUAAAAUCAGAGAGUACAUUAUAGAGUGAUUUUAUUCAUUCUAAUUGUGUGUGUACAAAACAAAAAGAUGAGCUAUCCUUUUAUAGUUACAUACUUACCUCAUGAACUUAAUGAAAAAUUAUGGAUCAUAAUUCCUUGUGAUUUUAUUCAUUCCAAUUGUGUGUGUACAAAACAAAAAAAAUGAGCUCUCUUUUUAUAGUUACAUAAUCACUUCAUGAAAUUAAUGAAAAAUUAUUGAUCAUAAUUCUUUAUGAGAUAGUGAGAGUUAUAGGGAAGUUAAAGGUUGCUAAUGUGAGAUAGUGUGGAGACUAAGAGAUAUAUGUUAUGAACAUCUACAUUUAUUUUAAUAAAUUCAUAACACUCCCCCUUGGAUGUUUAUUACAAAGAAUAUGUCUCAUUAAAACCUUUACAUAAUUGUUAUUGUGUAAUAAUAAUCAAAUUAAUUAUGAGAAUAUAAAAAGUCAAAUCUAAAAGAAAAUUUCUCUAUUUAUUAGAUAAUAGAUAAUAUAUAAAGAUGAGAAAUGGUGAUGCCACAUCACCUCCUCAAGUCUCAACUUUAUAUAUAUACUAGGAAAUAGAACCGCACUUCGUGCGGCUUUAAAAAAAAAUUAGUAUUAUUUUUUUAUUACUUUGUAAUUGAUGAAAUUGAUAAAAAAUAUGAAUUAUUUUUUUUAAAGAUGACGCAGUCUUAUAAAACUAAUGUUAUUUAUAAAAGUUAAUUAUUUUUUGUUAACAUUAAAAAUAUAUAUUAAUGUGUAUAGUUAAGUGUACACAACAUUUUCAUCAAUAAAAAUUAUGUUCACACUAAUCAACUCUCUAUUUUUUUUUUUGUACUAACAGACUCUCACAUCUUACAAAGCCUUACCUUUAUUAUCCAACUAUCUUUAUCAUUAUUUAACUCAUAAAGAAAAUAGUACUCCAUGAAGCAUACAAUACUAAAAAUUUAAAUAAGUCAAAAAAUAAAAACACAAGAACAUUUCUAAAGAGGAUGUUGGUUAAAUAAUAAAAAAAACUCAAACAUAACAAAUCUUAAAUGCUUAAUAUUUAUAGAACUUGAAGAAGGCAAAAGAUACUAAAUAAAAGGUUGCAUAAUUAAAUAUGGGAUUAUGACAUUAAAAUUAGGUCAUAUGGUAUUGGUGAGGGAAGAUGAAGGAACCUUCCUUCCUAUAUUAAUUAGUUGAUGUAUUUUAAAUCACUAAAGUUUAGUUGUUGGCUUAAUAAAAUAAAUGAAUGUUUCAAAACUUAUAAUUAAUUUAUUAUUAAUGGUUACAUAUUGUUGAAUUUAAAUAAAAAGAGGAAGAGACAUGUAAUCUUUUGUAAUCUAUUAAUUAUUUUAUAUUUUUAAUAUUUUGUAAUGUAAUAAUUUUUUAAUCUCAACCAAUAGAUUAGAUAAUAGAAAAUAUAAAAAGAUGAGAAAUAAUAAUGCCACAAAUCUUAACUACUUAAUAUUUAUAGAGUUUGAAGAAGCCAAAAGGCACUAAACAAAAGGUUGCAUAAUUAAAUAUGAGAUUAUAGCAUUAAAAUUAGAUCCUAAUGGCAUUGUUGAGGGAAGAUGAAGGAACAUUCCUUCCUAUAUUAAUUAAUUGAUAUAUUUAAUCCACUAAAAUUUAAUUGUUGGUAUAAUAAAAUAAAUAAAUGUUUCAAGAUUUAUAAUUAAUUAUUAUUAAUGGUUACAUAUUAUUGAAUUUAAAUAGAAAGAGGAAGAGACAUGUAAUCUUUUAUAAUCUAAUAAUUAUUUUUUAUUUUUAAUAUUUUGUAAUGUAAUUAUUUUUUUAAUAUCAACCAAUUUAUUAGAUAAUAGAGAAUACAAGAAGAUGAGAAAUAGUGAUAUUAAUAAUUAUUUUUUAAUUUCAACCAAUUUAUUAAAUAAUAGACAAUAUGAAAUCAUGAGAAAUGGUGAUGCCACAUCACCUCCUCAAGUCCUAACUUUAUAUAUAUAUAUAGAUAUAUAGAUAUAGAUAGAUAGAUAGAUUAAUUCAUGUAUUUUAUGCCACUAAAGUUUAAUUGCUAGCAUAAUAAAAUAAAUAAAUGUUUCAAAAGACUUAUAAUUAAUUAUUAUUAAUGAUUACAUAUUGUUGAAUUUAAAUAGAAAGAGAAAAAAAAAGUACAAAGAAUAUCCACCAAUAGUUUAGAUAUUUUAUAUAAUAAAAAAUAUAAAAAGAUCAGGAAUGAUAUUUAUUAAUAAAGUUACUAUUUAUUAAAUGAGUUAAAUACAAUCAAAUUAAUUAUAAGAAGAUGAAAAGGCAAAUUUUAAAAAAAAAUCUCUAUUUAUUAGAUAAUAGAGAAUAUACAAAGAAGUAAAAUGGUGAUGCCACAUCACCUCCUCAAGUCCUAGCUUUAUAUAUAGACUAGGAAAUAAAACCGCGCUUCGCUCGGCUUUAGAAAAUAAAUUUAAUAUUAUUAAUUUUUUUCUUUACACUCGAUAAAACUGAUAAAAAAUAUAAAUUAAUUUUUUUUAAAUGAGACAGCCUUAUAAAACUAAUGUUAUUUAUGAAAGUUAACUACUUUUUUGUUAAAAUUAACAAUAUAUAUUAACGUGAAUAGUUUAAGUGUACAGACCUUAUACCUUUUGUAGUUGAUAAGUUCCAAAUUAAAUUUAGUAAUUGAGGAUCCUUAGCAAUGCGUUGAAUUAUAAAAGAAAUAACUAAAAUACAUGUAAAGACUUUUACUAACUUGCACAACGUUGGAGAUGGUAGAAAAUCUUUCAAUUAAUGAUGCUACAUAAUCUAUUUAAAGAUUUAUGUAGAUUUUGUUUGCACUUGUGGCAGAGAAAUUAAUCUCACCUGUUUAGAGCAAAUGUAACCUAAAACGAAACUUGAACAAAAUCCAAAAUUGUGUAUAAUAUUAAAACAGCCACAUUGCAUUUGAAAAUGUUAAUUAGUGGGAUCUAAAUAAAAUAAUCACCUUGGAAUUUUUUAAUGGUUGUAGAAGUUACUAUCACAAUACAAGGACCCUCGUCUUUCUUGUACAAGUUUGGAUCAAACAUCUCCCCUAACUUUCCCCAUAAAGUAAUCUUUGUUGUUACCGAGUUAUCCAUAAAAAUUAACAAAAGUUAGUAAUGUAAAGAGAACCAAUAAUUAAAAAAUAACAUAAAUAACUAAAAAAUAUAAAGUCGUAGUUUUCUUGAUUAUAUUCAACUUACUAAUCCGUUAGAAUUUUUAUAUCUCUUUUUUUCCAACCAGCUCCAACGAUCUCAAUAUCACCCACACCACAUAAACUUCCGAUAACAUCUGUAAUAUUAUGGAAAAAUAACAUAAACAUGUUAAAACAUAAGAAUUAAUAAUUUCUAAUAUACGCUUAAAGAUUAACAAACAUUAAUAAUUAAAAAAAUACCUGAGAGGAUUGUGUUAUCAUUCACACGUAAAUCAAUCAAAUUCGGAGAUACGAAUUGAAAUCCAUUAAUCGGAAUCUUGACAGUUCCUUCUUCUAACCUCUUAAGAGAAGUUAUAACCAAGAAAAUAAUCUUAUACUGAUUUGAAAGUGGUCUGUACUCGUCUGUAGUUGAAACAACUUUCAAAUUCUUGACAUUGUACAAAGAACCCUCACUCAACAUGUGCUUAAACCUUGUCACUAAAGUUUUCCUGAUUGUUGCAUGCAUUAGAUUUUCCUACGAAAAAAAAACACAUACUACAUUAAGUGUGAAACAAUUGGGAAAAAAAAAUUAGAGAAAACAAUGGGAGAAUGAAUUUUUUAUACAACCUUUUCAUCAAUAAAAAUCAUGUCAACACUAAUCAAUUCUCCAUUUUUUUUAGUAUUAGUAGACUCCCACAUCCUACAAAGCCUAACCCUUAUCAUCCAACUAUCUUUACCAUUGUUCAACUCAUGAAGAAAAUAGUACUCCAUGAAGCACAAUACCAAAAAUUCAAAUAAAUCAAACAAUAAAAAUACAAGUAUUUUUCUAAAGAGGGUGUUGAUUAAAUAAAUUAAAAAAAACUAAACAUAACAAAUCUUAAAUAUUUAGUGUUUAGAGAGCUUGAAGAAGCCAAAAGGCACUAAACAAAAGGUUGCAUAAUUAAAUAUGAGAUUAUGGCAUUAAAAUUAGGCUCUAGUGGCAUUGUUGAGGGAAGAUGAAAGAACCUAUCUUCCUAUGUUAAUUUGUUGAUGUAUUUUAAGUCACUAAAGUUUAAUUGCUAGCAUAAUAAAAUUUGAAGGAGCCAAAAGACACUCAACAAAAGGUUGCAUAAUUAAAUAUAUGAUUAUGGCAUUGAAAUGAGGCCCUAGUGGCAUUGUUGAGGGAAGAUGAAAGAACCUAUCUUCCUAUGUUAAUUAAUUCAUGUAUUUUAAGCCACUAAAGUUUAAUUGCUAGCAUAAUAAAAUAAAUGAAUGCUUCAAAAGACUUAUAAGUAAUUAUUAUUAAUGGUUACAUAUUGUUGGAUUUAAAUAGAAAGAGGAAGAAACAUGUACAAAGAAUAUCCACCAAUAUUUUAGAUAUUUUAGAUAAUAGAAAAUAUAAAAAGAUGAGGUUGAGGGAAGAUGAAAGAACCUUUCUUCCUAUGUUAAUUAGUUGAUGUAUUUUAAGGCACUAAAGUUUAAUUGAUAGCAUAAUAAAAUUUGAAGAAUGUUUCAAAAGACUUAUAAUUAAUUAUUAUUAAUGGUUAUAUAUUGUUGGAUUUAAAUAGAAAGAGGAAGAGACAUUAAAAUUAUUAAAAUUAAAUUUAGGCCCAUAAUUAAAUAUAAGAUUAUGGCAUUAAAAUUAUGCCCUAGUGGCAUUGGUGAGGGAAGAUGAAAGAACCUCUCUUCCUAUGUUAAUUAAUUCAUGUAUUUUAAGCCACUAAAGUUUAAUUGCUAGCAUAAUAAAAUAAAUGAAUGUUUCAAAAGACUUAUAAUUAAUUAUUAUUAAUGGUUACAUAUUGUUGGAUUUAAAUAGAAAGAGGAAGAAAUAUGUACAAAGAAUAUCCACCAUUCUUCCUAUGUUAAUUAGGUGAUGUAUUUUAAGGCACUAAAGUUUAAUUAAUAGCAUAAUAAAUUUUGAAGAAGCCAAAAGACAAUCAACAAAAGGUUGCAUAAUUAAAUAUGGGAUUAUGGCAUUAAAAUUAGGCCUUAGUGGCAUUGUUGAGGGAAAAUGAAAGAAUCUCUCUUCCUAUGUUAAUUAAUUCAUGUCUUUUAAGCCACUAAAGUUUAAUUGCUAGCAUAAUAAAAUAAAUAAAUAUUUCAAAAGACUUAUAAUUAAUUAUUAUUAAUGAUUACAUAUUGUUGAAUUUAAAUAGAAAGAGAAAAAAAUUACAAAGAAUAUCCACCAAUAUUUUAGAUAUUUUAGAUAAUAGAAAAUAUAAAAAGAUGAGAAGAUGAAAAAUUAAUCACUCCAUUGAAUUAAUGAAAAAUUAUGGAUCAUAAUUCCUUAUGAGAUAGUGGGAGUUAUAAGGAAGCUAAAGGUUGCUAAUGGGAGAUAGUGGGGAGACUAAGAGAUAUAUGUUAUGAACAUCUACAUUUAUUUUAAUAAAUUCAUAACACUCCCCCUUGGAUGUUCAUUACAAAGAAUAUGCCUCAUUAAAAUCUUUACAUAAUUUUUAUUGUGUAAUAACAAUCAAAUUAAAUAUGAGAAGAUGAAAAUCCAAAUCUAAAAAAAAAAUUUCUCUAUUUAUUAGAUAAUAGAGAAUAUACAAAGAUGAGAUAUAGUGAUGCCACAUCACCUCCUCAAGUCCUAACUUUAUAAAUGAAAGAACCUCUCUUUCUAUGUUAAUUAAUUCAUGUAUUUUAAGCCACUAAAGUUUAAUUGCUAGCAUAAUAAAAUAAAUAAAUGUUUCAAAAGACUUAUAAUUAAUUAUUAUUAAUGAUUACAUAUUGUUGAAUUUAAAUAGAAAGAGAAAAAAAAAAGUACAAAGAAUAUCCACCAAUAUUUUAGAUAAUAGAAAAUAUAAAAAGAUGAGGAAUGAUAUAUAUUAAUAAAUUUACUAUUUAUUAAAUGAGUUAAAUACAAUCAAAUAAAAUAUGAGAAGAUGAAAAGCCAAAUCUAAAAAAAAAUUAUCUAUUUAUUAGAUAAUAGAGAAUAUACAAAUAAGUAAAAUGGUGAUGCCACAUCACCUCCUCAAGUCCUAGCUUUAUAAAUGAAAGAACCUCUCUUCCUGUGUUAAUUAAUUCAUGUAUUUUAAGCCACUAAAGUUUAAUUGCUAGCAUAAUAAAAUAAAUAAAUGUUUCAAAAGACUUAUAAUUAAUUAUUAUUAAUGAUUUCAUAUUGUUGAAUUUAAAUAGAAAGAGAAAAAAAAAAGUACAAAGAAUAUCCACCAAUAUUUUAGAUAAUAGAAAAUAUAAAAAGAUGAGUAAUGAUAUAUAUUAAUAAAGUUACUAUUUAUUAAAUGAGUUAAAUGCAAUCAAAUUAAUUAUGAGAAGAUGAAAAGCCAAAUCUAAAAAAAAAAUUCUCUAUUUAUUAGAUAAUAGAGAAUAUACAAAGAAGCAAAAUGGUGAUGCCACAUCACCUCCUCAAGUCCUAGCUUUAUAUAUAUAUAUAGAUAUAUAGAUAGAUAGAUAGAUAGAUAUAUAUAUAUAUAUAUAUAUAUAUAUAUAUAGAUAGAUAGAUAAAUAGAUUUGUCAAACUUGAAAAGCUCAAUCUCAAUAAUAAUAAAACAAGAAGAGCAUCAAAAAGGAUGAAGAGCAUUAACAAGGAGUCAAGGAUCAGUUAUACUUUCAAAUUUUAAAAACAUGCAAAAAAAUAUAUAUAACAACUAGGUUGGAGGAAGAAUUGAUUAACGAAGCAAAAUUUAAAUGCGACAUCCAUAUACAUCUUCAUCUGAUCAUUAAAUAAAUACUCAAAGAGUAUAUAUUGACACUAAUUAUUCAGGAUUUAAGGCCUAUUUUCUAAAUAGAUAAAUCGUGAGUAAAGAGUCCACAUUAUUGUUUAGGAGGAAAUUACUAAGCUUCACUAGUUUUGUUUUAAACUUACAAUAAUUGUUAAGAGGAAAAGAAUUAAAAUUCACCACAGAUAUGGGAAAUCCUAGUUUUUUUGUUCUUGAUAUGGAAACCAUAGCUUUUCUAGUUCGUAUAAAGAGAAUAAAAGAGACAAAAUUAACCAAGGUCCUCGGUUCGAGACUUGGGAAUACAGUUGCGUUAAAUACUUGUUGGGAGAGCUUUGUCGUCCUAGUGGUCCUACCCGGCUCGAAUCUGGAUUAGUCGAGGUCUAAUGUGGUCUUUGGAUACCAGAUGGUUUAAUACACCAAAAAAAAAAGAGACAUAAUUAAGAAUGAUGAAUUGAGGCUGAAAUAGUGAUUAAGAAGCCAAAAAUAGUGAGGCACUUUUGAAAUAUUUAAUUGUAACACGACAAUACACAUCAAUUGAGUUUAAAGAUAACAAACAAUAUGCAUCAAUUGAGUUUAAAGAUAAUAAAAUGAAGUGUUAUAUAUAUAUAUAUAGACCUUCUCUCAUGCGGGCGCCCUCAUUUUCUUUUUAUGCAGACACGUUAUUAAGCCAUAUAAUUUCAUAAAGUCAGUAUAGACACGCUAUUAAAUCACAUGAUUUUAUAGUAAAUUAAAUACGAACUCUAUUAAACCAUAUAUAUGCUUUAAUUAAGAGUCUAUAAUAAGGCGGUUGCACCUGAAAAUUUUUCUCUCUUUUUAUAUAUAUAUUGAUGAUUAUAGUAAUCAAUAUUAUAUUGAUCCUAAAGAGUAUGAUCACCUUUUCAAAUAACACUCACAAAAAAAAAAAAGUAAUUUAAAUCGGGCUCAAAUCUUCUCUUGAUCUGAUCACCAUCUAAACUUUUGAUGAUCAUAGUUUAUUUCUAAUUAAUUGUUUAUUUAACUACUCACAAAACAUGUAUUUUUGUCCCUUACUUUUUAAAAUUCGAUGAAAUUCCAUCUCUUUAUCUCAAAAUUGUCAAAUACACAAAAAAAAAAAAAAACUAAUCUUCAACAAUAGAAAACAUCAAAAUGGAGAAAGCCCGAAGUUUCAUUAAUUUGAUGUGAUAAUCGCUUAGGCCGUAUUGAUUCAAUAUUGAUCUCUUCGUUGUUGAAAUUAAUAAUAUUCUUAUGCCAAUAGUUUUCUUAUUCAUUGAAACUCCGAUGCUCCCCAUAUCGAAACCUGCUAGAGAUCACGAAGAAGAGUAAUAACAGGGAUCAGUUAUACUUUACAAUUUAAAGCAUAACAAAAAAUAAAAACUAGGGUGGAGGAAGAAUUAACAUUUGUUCAGAAUAUAAGGAAAAAUUAAGGAUGUGUUGACAAAAAUUAUAUUUGGACAAUUUCACCCUUUGGUAUUGUGGUUUCAAUAUUCAGUAUAAAAUAAAAUUUUUUUAAAAAAAAACUAAGCUUUAAUGUAAUCCAAUCUAUUAACUAAAUAAGUAACAAAUUAAUUAUUAUAAAUUAUACUUAAAUUUAUCGAAACUGACAAGCAUGAAGAGCGUGACUGGACAAAUUAUUCGAGCGUCGUUUAUCAUUAUAUAAGCAAACGAUCUGACAUCCACUUGCAAGAAAUGGAGACGACAUGAGAUCCAAAUCAAUUUUUGAAACCGAUCGACAUGUGUAAAAAGUAAGCUUUAAUGUAAUUUAAUCUAUUAACUAAAUAAUCAGCAAAUUAAUUACUGUAAAUUAUACUUAAAUUUAUCGAAAUCAACAAGCAUGACGAGUGUGACUCGACGUAUCAUUCAAAUGAUGCGUCGUUUAUCAUUAUAUAAGCAAAUAACAUGACAUCAACCUACAAGAAAUGGAGACGGCAUGACAUCUAAAUCAAUUUUCGGAAUCGACAAGCAUAAAGAUAUGUGCCAAUGCAUCAAAUGGAUGACGCGUCAUUAACCCUUCAUAAAGUAAUGACAUCACGUUCGCCAAUAUAACAAAUCGCUAGUUUAUUGUUAUCCUCCAAUUCUGGAACUGACAAGCAUAACCAGUAUGCACCCAUGCAUUGAUUUAACGACGAGACGUUUAUCAUUUUAUUAUCAAACGAUAUGUCAUUCAUGUAUUUAACUUGCAAACGACUUGUCAUCCCUUUGCUGAGCCUGAAAAAUGGUAAACAAAAUUAUGAAGCCGUAUUUCAUAAUUGGGUGUCUCAAACAAUUUCCAAUAGCCUUAAAAGUGACUAUAGUUUAGUUUAUCUACAACAAAAUGUCUAACUUCCCUUCCCCUUGUAUUUGUGAUUUUCACCAAAUAGAUUAUUAACUUUGAUGCUUUAUACAUAAUUAUCCACUUAUUGAUAAAUUAUAGAGUAAGAAUAUAACUAUAAACUUUUGUACAAAUUUUUUUUUGUACAAAAUGAUGUGACAUGAUUUAAUUAGUUGGAUUAAAUAUCUAUUGGUUCACAUGAUUUGUAUUUUUAUUCAACCAAUGAGUUUAUGACAAAUCGAUUUGUACAGUAAUUUGUGACUGUAUUAUCACUCUAAAUUAUACGUUGAUAGCUUCUAAACUUUAGUAACCAUUGUUGGCUUGUCAAUCCAAUUGAAGUGCCUACAUGAUCCACAAUCUUUUUCAUCUUCCUUUGAACUACAAUUAAUAUUUAAAGUUAUAAAGAUUAAAAACCUAACUAUUCUCUUUAUAUUGAAACAUCUUCUUUGUGUAUGUGUUGGAACAUCUUUUUUUUUUUUUAAGGAUUACUUGACUUUAGGAGAUUUCUUAAACUUAAUUUUAUUUUUUAUUAAGCUUUUCAUGUUUAUGGAUAUUAUGUUCAUUUUAUUAUUUUAAUUAGCUGUAUUUAUUUAUCAUCAAAAUCAAUCAUAUCAGAAUAACAAAAUAAUUUUCAUUUACAAAAAUUAGAGGCCUUGCGAGAUUAAAAGAGGGUUUUGAAUCUGUGAUUUUUUAUUUAUUUUUUUAUUAUUUUUUUUGGGGGGGGGGAGCUAAACUGUCAAGAUUUGCUUAAUUUGAUUAUAAAUAUUGGAAUAUAAUGAGUUUUUUGGGUUUCAUAACUGAUAAGGUUAGGCAUUAGGGUAAAGAGUCCACAUAUCCAACUAAGACACUUCUUUUUAUGUGUUUGAUAAGAAAUUUUAAGGACGGCCAAUAGCUCAACUAAACUUGAAAAGCUUAAAAAGGGCUAUAAAAGCAUUUCAAGGCCCAUAAUGGGUCAACCACUUGGGCUUAGCCCAAGUGGCUCGAACCCCCUCCCUCACAAAUUAGCCCAAGUGGCUAGAGCCCCUCCCUCACAAAUGUGAGGGAAGGGGUUCGAGCCUCCGCAGUCGCAUUGUAGGGGUUUAAUUUAAAUAUUCUUCCUUGGAGUCCUUGAGCUCGAGUGAAGACAGUCUUUCUCCCAGGAUGAGAGUUUGACAUCCCUCGAAUAUUUGAGAGGGUUAAAAAUCUGAGCGGUGUCAUAUCAGCAUUCAUAUCAAUAGGGCUCAGUAUAAAUAUAUGAUUGUACAUAUCAAUUAUACUCUCAUGUAAUAUGAGUUGUAAUUUGAACUGUAAUUUGAGCAAUAGUCUCAUGUAAUCAAAAAAAAAAAAAAAGGCCCAUAAUGGGUCCUCUUCGGCUCUUCCCCUAACCCCAAUUUAUAUUAAGUCUUUAAUUAGUGGAGCUAUUAGCACCAUCUAAUAAUCUCAUAAACCCAUAUUCUGAAUGCAUCCCUGAUUAAAGAACUAAAAUUAUUCAAUUUACUAAUAACACUCAUUUAAAUUCCUUAAAUAGUCUGAACGUCUUCUUUCUCAUUGAACCUUAAAGUAACUUUUAAAAAUUAAAAACUCUCAUGACCAGUAUUAACAUUUUAACUGGAUAUAGAAGUCUUAUUAAAAAUAAAAAUAGAUAAAGAAGUCAAUAAUCAUAAUUUUUCAUAGGCAAUAAAGAAACUUCAAAUAAGAAGCCACCAUGACUAAUGACCCUAGUCACCUACACUCUUCCUUAAUUGGCUUUUCAUUUCCCUAUUUAUUUUAUAUUCAUUUUAAACUUGGAAAAAGCUUUCAUAUGGGCCUCUAAUUGAUCCAAACAAAGCAGGCUCGUUGCUUUAUCACUCAAUUCGGUCUCUCUCACUCUUUUUUUUUUUUUUUUUUUUGAGGGAGGAAAAUAAUUCGUUCCCCUUAAAAAUAUAAGGUGCAUAGAAUUUUUGUGAUUUCAAUCAAGAUUAAAUGUCUAAAUAUAUAGCAGUGGAGUUUUAUAAGAAUUUUUGACAGGUGCCAAUACUAUCACUCGUUCUUAAAAAAUUCUUUAUUUUAUUGCAUUUAAAUCAAGAUUAUUUUUCUAUUGUAAUUAAAUAUUGUAUAACGAGUUAGAAUUAUUGGUUAAUUUCAAGUAACUAAUGCAUAAUUGUUGAUUAAGUGAUGCUACUGAAGAUGUAAGAAUUUGAUCCAUAUGUUAGUUGGUUGAAUUCCCCUUCUUCAAAGUUUUGCACCAAAAUACUUAUUCAAUUCAGAUCUAAAUUUAUUAGGGAUAAAAAUUUAUCAAAUUGUGUUAAAAUUUGAUCAUUAUUAACUAAUAUUUGUAAUGACCUGGGGGUGUUGCGCAUAUUAUCUUGUGUCACAUGACAAAUUAUAUAUAAUUUGAAAUGAAAACUUUGUUGAUGCUUAACACUAGGAUCAUUGGUAAUUAACACGAAAGAUAGAGAAUUAAUUACUUAAUAAUAUAACACCGACAGCAACAAUUAACUGCAAUUUAUUUUAUUCAUUCUUGAACUCAUUCUCAAAAGUUUUUAUUGACACAACAUUCGAGCGAUUGCAACAACAUUUUCAACUCUAGAUAGAGAUGCUGUACGGAACUCCUUUUCCUGUAACACCAGGUUCCGAAAAUGGCUUCAAGAGCUCAUAUGGCACCAUCCCAGCUCCAUUUCUAUUCCUCAACUUGGGAUCUGCAUUCCUUGCAUCAAUAAUCCCUUCAAGCUCCAUUAACUUGCCUCUAAACUUUUCAAAUGCUGCAUUUAUAACCGGAUCCUCACGCCAUGCUGGCUCUAUUUCUUUUCCUAAAUACUCCUCAUCAGGAGAAUGAGUCGAUAAAACAUCAAGAAUAGCCAUAACUUUAGUAGCUUGAAUCUGGGAAGGGAAGGUAUUCAAAAGUGCAUUUUCAGGUUUUUCAAGGAAGAAUUUCCAUUGUUCAUCAGAUGGAUCUUCAGUGGCAAUGUUGCAUCUUGCAGUGGUUGGCCUAUUGGGGAAAUAGCCUCCGUAAAUGUAUUGGCCGAAGUUAACAGCUGCGUGGUGACCAGAUGUUACCCAAACAAUAGUUGUGAUGAUUUCAAUUAAAUCCUGAGGGGUUUUCAAGACAGGCCACCAAG